rnacentral:lncRNA from 1 species
AGGAGAAAGCUCUCGACAUCUUCCGGAGUUUAAGAGAGAAGAGAAUUGUAUUGUUGUUAGAUGAUAUAUGGGAGCGGCUUGAUUUAACAAAAGUGGGCGUUCCACUUCCCGGACCAAAAAAUACUACCUCAAAAGUCGUAUUCACAACCCGUUUCUUCGAUGUUUGUGGUAGCAUGGAAGCUCACAGGACGUUCGAAGUGGCAUGCUUAUCAGAAAAGGAUGCUUGGGAACUGUUUCAAGAAAAAGUAGGAGAAGAAACUCUUAAGAGUGAUCAUGAUAUCGCUGAGCUAGCCCAAACCGUGGCCAAGAAGUGUGGUGGUUUGCCGCUCGCACUUGUUACUAUUGGUCGAGCUAUGGCCAGCAAAAAGACAGCCGAGGAGUGGAGACAUGCAAUUGAAGAGUUAGGAAGAUCAGCUUCAGAGUUUCCAGGUUUGGGAAAAGAGGUGUAUCCUGUUUUAAAAUUCAGUUAUGAUAGUUUGCCGAAUGAGACGAUUAGAUCUUGUUUCUUAUAUUGUUGUUUAUAUCCUGAAGAUUAUGGCAUUCUUAAAUGGGACUUGAUUGAUUGUUGGAUUGGUGAGGGAUUCUUAGAGGAAUCUAACAGGUUUGGUGCAGAAAACCGAGGAUACUACAUUGUGGGCACUCUUGUUCAUACGUGUUUACUAGAAGAGAUAGAAGAUGAUAAAGUAAAAAUGCAUGACGUUGUUCGUGAUAUGGCUCUAUGGAUAGCUUGUGAAACUGAGAAGGAGAAGAUAAACUUUUUGGUUUGUGCAGGUGCUGGAUUAAAGGAGGCACCGGAUGUUAAAGGAUGGGAAAAUGUGAGAAGAUUGUCAUUGAUGCAAAACCAAAUUAAAGUUCUGUCAGAGGUUCCUACAUGCCCUCAUCUCCUCACUUUAUUUCUUGACUUUAAUAGAGAGUUAAUGAUGAUCGCGGGUGGCUACUUCCAAUUUAUGCCUUCUCUCAAAGUUUUGAAGAUAUCAAACAUUGGGUAUUUCAACGUUUUGAAAUUACCUUUGGGGAUGUCAAAGUUGGGUUCACUAGAACUUCUCGAUAUUUCACAUAGCAGCAUAGAGGAGUUACCAGAAGAGUUAAAGUUGUUGGUAAAUCUGAAAUGUCUGAAUUUGAGGUGGACAGAUGUGUUAAAUAAAAUUCCACGGCAACUAAUAUCAAAUCUUUCAAGGGUACGUGUGUUGAGAAUGUUCGCUACUGGCUAUGAUCGUUUUCAUGAAGCAUCAGAAGACAGCGUUUUAUUUGGUGGGGGUGAAGUUUUGAUACAGGAAUUGCUCGGUUUGAAAUAUUUAGAGGUAUUGGAGUUGACCUUGGGAAGUUAUCAUGCUCUCCAAAUUCUUUUGAGCUCAAAUAAGUUAAAAAGUUGUAUUCGAUCUCUUCUCCUCUUCGGGUUCAGAGGUACAAAGUAUUUUAUUGAUGCUACGGCUUUCGCAGAUCUAAAGCACCUCAAUGAAUUACAGAUUCAUGAUUGUAGGGGGUUGGAAGAGUUGAAGAUUGAUUACACAGAGAUAGCACAAAAAAGGCGGGAACCUUUUGUUUUCCGCAGCCUUCGUCGUGUUACUAUGGUUUCGUGCCAUAAAUUGAAAGAUUUGACAUUCCUCGUUUUUGCUCCAAACCUCAAGUCUAUUUCGCUAGGCGAUUGCGAUGCUUUGGAAGAAAUAAUCAGCGUUGGAAAAUUUGCUGAGGUUCCUGAGAUGAUGGGACAUCUAAGCCCUUUCGAAAAUCUCCAAAAUCUUGACCUAUCGUAUUUGCUGGCUUUGAAGAGCAUCUACUGGAAGCCAUUGCCUUUCACUUAUCUGAAAGAAAUGGUGGUAAAUGGGUGUGAUCAACUUAAAAAGCUUCCACUCGAUUCCAGCUGUGCAGAAGAGCGUAAAUUUGUUAUUCGCGGAGAAGCACACUGGUGGAACUGCCUUGAAUGGGAGGAUGAAGCCACUCAAAUUGCUUUUCGUUCCUGUUUCCAGCCUUAUUCCUGAGUGGUGGUUGCAAAAUUUGAUUUCUGGUGUGGUCUUUUAUUCUCUGUUUUUAUUUAAGUUUCUUUUCCUUUCCUUUUCCUUUUUUUUUUUAAUUUCUCCUGCAAAUCACAAUUAAACAUUGAAUUAUAUGGAAUUAAUGCUUUAUAAAUUUGCCGGCACUGCCUUUUUUUUUUUUUGUCGGAGUGAUACUCUAGCUUUUGACUUUUGGUUGUCAAAUUCUGCUCUGCCUUUUUAAAUUGAUGCUUUAUUUAUAUUUUCUUAGUGAUUUAGUUUCCUGUCAAAAGACGAACGAGAAGAACAUUUGAAUUAAAUAAAUGCUCGCAAAUUUGCGGUAAAAAGAUGUAAUUAGCCGAGAAAAUAUUAAAUAUAGUAGCCCUCUUUACAGAAAAUCAAGUGGAAGUUAAUUCAGCAAGUUAUAUUCUUGAUUAAUUCCUUUUCUGAAGUUUUUAUUUUCUAUGGUCAAUUAUACCUUCAUACUAAAAAUUGCUGCUAUUGGGUGUUGAGUGUUAUGCUAAAAUUUUGCCCUAUUUUGGGCCAAUAUUUUAGAAGUGAAACAUACUUCAGAGUUGAAGUAAACUUUGAAAAUAGAGAUAAUGAUUAAUUUAGAAGAGAUGCAAGUAAAAGAUAUUCUAAAAAAAAAAAAGCAAUAUGUCCCUUUGGAGGGCAAACUUGUCAGUUUGAAAAAGUUACAUGCUUUGGAUUGAUAGUUGCAGGAUAUUUGUUUUGUCACUGUGUAUUAGGUGCGUUUGGAAUUGAAGUGUUGUAGUUUUUAAGUUAUAAUUGUUGUAAAAAAAAAUUGUAACUAUAAAACAAAAGUUAAUAAUAUAUAAUAAAUUUAAAUUUAAAUAAUAAUUUUAAUAAAAUUAUUAAAGAUAUAAUAGAUUAUUUAUUAUACAAGUGAAAAUUAUAUCAACAUAUCUUUCAAGUUACAAUAGUUAUUGAUUACUAAACACUUUACUGUUGUAACUUUUAAGUUAUAGCUAUUUAACCUCAAUUCCAAACGCAUCGGAGAAGUCACGCCUAGUGAAGAAUGUUAUGAAAGAGCAAAGGAUAUUCCUAAUCGAGCUCUAUUUGAUUAUGUAUCCAGUGAAUGGAUGUGUUGUUGGAAGAUAUUUGAGUGCAUUAGUUCAUUUGUGUCGGUCAAUGUGCUUUUAAUGAUUUUUCCACUUGUUUGUUGUAAAAGAUUAUUGUAAAUUGAAAUGAAUUGGAUGUUGUAAUAUUUUCUCUUUAGUGGAAUUUCACCUUGUAUGUAUUCAGUUGUGUUGUCUAAAAUUUUACAUUCGAAUAAGUUUUCACCUAAAAUAUUAGCAUGAGUUGUGGCCCUUGAAACUUUGGUCAAAAUUAUUGUUAUUAUUUCUUACUAGAUGUAAACUUUUUAUUAAACCUCGUUAACAUAAUUCUUAAUUAAAAGUAUAGGUUAGUGUCGGUGCAGAAUUUGCAACACCAAAUCCUGCCUAGGCAAGUGUCAAAAGUGCAAAAUAAAUGAAGAGAAAGCACGAAUACAUGAUUUAGAUUAGGAUAGAAGGAAACUUAAAUCCUAGAGAAAAGGAUAGCUAUAUCCCAAGAUUUAAAAAAAUAGUCAUGUAGAUUUUUAAGAUUUCAAUAAGCGACUAAGAUUUUCUUUUGACAAAUAAUUUCCUUUAGCUCUAUUAACAAAAAAAAUAAAGACUCAAAUAUUUUAUAAUAAAUAAAAUAUAAUAUUAAAAUAUAUGUGAUAAUAUAGAAAUUUUAAAUAAUUUCAAUCCAAAUAAAUAGUUAUGUUUUACAAGCUAUUAAACAUAUUUUAUUAAAUUAAUAUAAAUGUUUUAUAAAAUAGGAACAUAAUAUUAAAAUAAAUUUACAAAAUUUUUAAGAAUUUUGAAUGUAAAAUAAUUUUAAUAUAUUAAUACGUGAGAUUUUUUUAUUAUUAUAAAAAUUAUUUAACUUUAAGAUUUUUUAAAAUCCUUACAAUAAGUAUAAAUAUAUUAUUUACAUUUAAAAAUAUUUAAAUAUUAUUAACCUACAAUUAUAUUUGCAUUUAUUAGAAAAUUUUAAAGUCAAAUAUUUUGCACUUCUACAUUAUUAGAAUUAUUGAACACAAAGAAAGAAACAUAUAUGCUUUAUAGCUUUAGAAAUUGUUUUCUUUUACAUCUGGAAACAAAGAUGAUGAUUAUUAUAAGGAUAAAAAAUGGAUAAAGAAUAUUAAUGAUUAACGAAAUCUCUGUGCAAAUUGAUUUUAGUAGAAAAAGAGUGAGAUGAAUGAUUUCUUUUACAACUAGAAACAAAGAUGAUGAUUAUUAUAAGGAUGAAAAAAAGAUAAAGAAUAUUAAUUAUUAAUGGAAUCUCUAUGCAAAUUGAUUUUAGUAGAAAAAACGAGCUAAAUGAUUUAGACAUUCAUUCUGUGUUUAUUUUUGUGAUUAGCAUUAAAAAUUGUUUAAUUAUCAAACGAUAAUAAUGUUAUUUUGUACUUAUGUUAUAAUUUAUAUUUGUGUUUAUGUAAUAUAUUAGAAAUUAUUAAUUAUGUUUUAAAUAUAUCUAAUUUUGAGUAUAUUUGUGUGUUUAUUAGGAAAAAUAUUAAUUUUAGAUAAAUUGAGGCUCCAAACAAUUAAACGGAGGUCAAAUUUGGAUUCCGGAGGUUUGAAAACCUUAAGAUCAGUCAAGAUCGGCUUAAAAUUAGGUUUGUGUAAAAAGAGUUGACUUUUUCUGCUGACCGAGCACUGAUUGGAUGAUGAAAUGAGCUUACAAUAGAUAUGAGUGCAUGGGAUAACUGGCAAUUUUGACUAAAUCUCAACCGUUCAUGAUUCAAUGGCCAUGAUUGUGCCAUGUGGUAGUGGUUGAUGAAGCAAGUUGUAGGAUCUGAAUCUUUGUAUACGGGUCGACCUGAUCCGCCCAUUAACUCGCCAAAUCACAACCGUUCUUUGGCCAAAUCGGACGAGUCAAACGAUGCCACAUGUGAAGUUGACUUUUGAAGUUUGACCAGCCAUUGGAUCUUGAUCUAAAGGUUGUGAGAGCAUGAAGCUUAUGGAGCUUAUGAUGGACCGCAAAACACUGGAUUAUAAAUUUAUUUUUCUAUAAAUAGAGCCUCAUUUUUAUGUUUUUAAUUAUCUCUACAUCUCUCUUCUUCUCAAAUUCUCUCCAUCUCCCUGUAAUAUUUUGUAUAAUUAUUUUAUUAAAUAAAUUUAGUUUUAUUUUCAAUUUUAGUUGUUUUUAUUACUUUUAAUUAUAAGUAAUUAAAUUUUAAUAUUUCUUUUUAUUUCAAUUAUGCUUAACUAAAUAAUAUUAGUUGGGGUAAGGUGAAACUCUUAGGAAAUAAAUAUGAUUUAAUCAAAUUUUAUUUUUAAUUUUAUAAAUUAAAUUAUUUUCUAUUUAAUUUUAUACAUAUUUUAUAUUUUAAAAUUUUGAUUUAUUGUAGACAAACAAAUAAAUUUGGCACAAUAAAUUCUUAAGAUCUUAAUAUAAGGUAUGGUAAAAUGGUAUUUUGACUUAUUGUAGACAAAUUAAAUUUUGACACAAUAAAUACUUAAUCCAUCAUAAAAUUAGAGGGAAAAUAAUAAUAAUUUAUAUAAUUAAUCUUUUGGGCAAUAAAUUUAAAAAAAUAGCAAAAAGAAUUUAUUGAGUUUUAUUUACUACUAAGAGUGGAUCCACAAUCCUAACUAGAUCAAUUUCAUAAUUUCAUUUAAAUUAAGUUGUUUUUAUUCAAGUUUUUAUUUCAAUUUUUAGAUAAAAUAAAUUAAAUUAAUUAAAUCUUUUCUCUGUAGAUCGACCUCAGACUCACCGAGGACUGACCAAGGUAUAAUACAACAAGACACUCUUAUAAUUAAGAGUUUAAAAUUACUUUUAAGUUGUGUCAUUUUGGAUUGGUGAAUUAGAAUUAUUGACAACGCUAACUUCAUCUUCACAAUUUGCAAUCCAAUAGCAGCAAUUGUCACCGAUAAUGAUAUCUCCAAUGAUAAUGACGAUUUUAUUAUUAUUAUUGAUAAAAAGUAUUAUAAUUAAUUAAUAUAUUAAUGUUAAUAUUAUUAUUAUUAAGAUUAACAAUAAUUAUUAAUAAUAACAAUUUUUUGAAUAAAAAUAAUUACAAUAAUUUAAAUAUAAAUUAAUAAUUAUGACAAUAAUUAAUUAAUGUCUUUUUAAUAAUUUACUGAUUAUCACAGUUCAAGUAAACAAAUUAUUAUGAUUCCUAUUCUCCAUUUCCAUUUCAGCUCACUCCGAUUCCAAUCCAUUUCGACUUCUGCCUAAAAAACUCACCAUUAGUGCUAUAGUAAUAUUUCAUAUAGAGAAAAGUAAAAUCUACACCUAAGAUUAAGGUAAAGGACUUCAAAACUCUCUUUUGAUUAUAAUACCUUUUGUCCUAAUUAACUUAAAGAUUUUGAAUCUAAUAUUUUAUAAUAAAUAAAAAUAUAUUCCUAAAAUAAAUAUAAUAUCAAUAUUUAAAGUAUGUUUUAAUAUUUUACAAUCUAUCAGACACAUUUUAUUAUAUUAAAGUAAAUUUUAUAAUAAAUACAAACAUACUAUUAAAAUGAAUAUACAAAAAAGUUUAGAGUAUUUUGAAUAUUAUAUAAAAUAAUUUUAAUAUAAUGCGUGAGAUAUAUUUUAUUAAUUUAAAAUGCUAUUUUACCUAAAAAUUUAUUUAUGAUAAAUUAAUAAUUAUAUUUUUAAAAUUAUUUUAAAUAUUAUAAAAAAUUUAAUAUUAUUAGUGUUUUAGAUAGAUUAAAUUAUUUUAAAAUGCCUUAAUUGUUUUUACUUUUAACGUUACCGGCCUUUCUUAUAUUUUAUUGCAGCUAACAAGAAAAAGCCAGAUCAUAUUCCACAAAAGCAAAAGUGACAAAACAACCAGCUGGAUUCUUUUAUUAAACUACAAAUUAAAGGAUCCCAUUAUCUUACAACUAAUGUAAGAUACAUCCCUCACAUAAAUAGUAUAUAAACUCCACAUAUAUACUGUUCAUGUGAGGAAAUGUACCUUACAUUAAGAUAGUGUUUGCCCAAAUUAAAAUAGAUUUUUUCGAUGAACUACAAAUUAAAGUGGAUUCUUUUGAAUAUAGCUGGGGUUAGGGUAGGCUCUUUUAUUUAAGGCAAGUCUAGAGUAGUCAAAGACGAUUAGGCUCUUUUAUUAAACUACAAAUUGUAUAGUCUUUUUCAAAUUGUUCAGAUGCUUAUAAAUUAGUGGCCCCUUGUAAAUUUAACUGGAAGUGCCAAUCAGAGAAAAGUUCAAUUCUAAAUAAUUGUUCCGAUAUUUAUAAAUUGGUGGCCCCUACAAUCCUCAAUAAUUGUUCCGAUAUGUAUAAAUUGAUGGCCCCUACAAUCCUCAAUAAUUGUUCCUAUAUUUGUAAAUUGGUGGCCCCUUAGAAAUUUAACCGCAAGUCUGCAAGUGACAAUCGGAGAAAAGUCAUAAUUUACAAUCUUCCAAGGGAAGUAGGGAACCAGGGGAUAUACAAAGAUUAAGACAUGUCAUUCAUUUUUUUGGCUGCAUUCCCUUUCGUGUUCUUAAUAAUUGAAGACAGGUUGUUCAUUACAUGCUUACUUUUCAAAUGUGGAGCCGCAGCUAAUGUCGCUACUUUAAUUUGGGAUUAAAUUAGGGAAACAUUAUAUUGUAGUAUGCACUAACUUGAUGUUUAUCUAAACUCCUUAAAUUUAAGACAGAUUAUGGCAUAAAUAAGAAUAUAACGAUAACAAAAGAGUAUAUAAAAUAUUUAGAGUAUUUUGAAUAUUAUAUAAAAUAAUUUUAACAUAAUGCAUGAGAUAUAUUUUAUUAAUUUUAAAUGCUAUUUAACCUAAAGAUGUAUUUAUGAUAAAUUAAUGAUUAUAUUUUUGAAAUUAUUUCAAAUAUUAAAAAAUUAAUAUUAUAGACUAAAUUAUUUAUAUUAUUUUUUAUUUAUUAAAAAAUUUUUAAGUCAAUCUUUUUAAUUACUAUUCAAAGAAUAUAAUGAUUAAAAAAAUCUUUAUGCCUUCAUUAAAAAUUUAAAAAUUUACAUAACGAUUUCUAUAAAUAUUUAGGGUAUAUAUGAAGCACGGUGGAGAAGCUUUAUUUAAUAUUAUUGAUUUAAAUAAUAUCUCAAUUAAAAAUGUACAGAGAAGAAAUUUCGGUGGGUAUUUUAGUCUUUUCAGCAAUUAUCAUGACCAGAUCUGCCUUUGGCCUUGAAACGUCGGUCAGAAAAGUUUUAAAGUGCUUUAAUUGUUUUUAAGGCCGCUAAUAACUCUGCUCGUGCAAGUUGAGGAUAAAUGUUAAAUUAAUUACAAAAGCAAAAGGCUAAUUUAUUGAAGACAAGUAAAGCAGUCACGAAUGGUACAUGCCUAAUCUUUUCUAUAUUUACAGAAACACAAUUUUUUUUCAAUCCGCCGCAGCUUCUGUUAAAAUUAUCUUGGUUUCUCGUAGUUGAUUUCUAUUAUCCCAAAAAAAAAAAAAAGGUAACUGUUGAUGCCGAAAAAUGAUUUCAACAGCUGAAUUUAUUUUUUUUGGAGAAUUACAGUGUGAAUCCAAGCUCAAACGCAAGUCUGAUCGCAACUUUCUAUAUCUGCUAAUCAGAAAACACAGUUAGGAUACGCCGGUGGGGUUUCGGCUAGACCUUCCGAUACUUAAGUCAGAAAUUAUGUAUAAAAGGAGAAAAAUGAGAAUGAAGAAUUAUGAAUGAGUUAAAGUCAAGUAAUUUUCCGGUAGAGGGGUUGAAAAUCUUGUAGAAGCUUUGGUUGAUUUUGCUAACCCCUUCACCUGAUGCGCUCUUCAGUUUAAAUAGACUCUUGGUCGUGUACGGUUACCUCCUUAACUUCAGAAGUUGCAAGUGGUUGUCAGUUGGAGGUGGUUUAAAUAGAUCGUGGCACACAACUUCCUUAUAAAUUAGGCCACGUUCUCUUAACUAGCAAUUUUCCAUGUCAAGCUAAUUCUCAGGUCGGACAAGAGAAUUUCAAGGUCGGAUUACUUCACUUUCAGAUUAGACAGAUGAAUUUCUCAGUCGCUCAUAUAACGUUAAGGUUGUAUUCUUAAACUAAGUCAUUCACAUAGAUCUUAGGUCGUACUUAUAAACCAGGUCGCCAACAUAGGCUCCAGGUUGUACUUAUGAGGUUAGCUCAACAACAAUAAGUUUUGAGUAGAUUAGGAUCGACUAUAUUUUGAGACACUACCAGAAAAAUCCAACCCAAACACCAGUCCCCUAAUUUUCAAUACUGGAAAGUCAUUGCCAGUGUUGGAAACUAAUGGAAAACAUUUCUCAAAACCCAAUACCAGUCCCCUAGUUUUCAAUACUGAGAAGAUAUGAACGGUAUUGGAAACUAAAAUAAUUAAGAAAGAGCAAUAUAGCCACAAGCAAAAGAAAGACGGUGUAGAGCGGAACAAUGAGCAAAGAGAAGAGUAAAAAGAAAACUUCAGGUGUGGACCAAGAAAAUAACCAUGACCAAAUGCCUCGAGGUGAUAGAGUCGGGGUUGAGGGUGAGGUCUUCCUAACUAGUAGGGUUGUUGAAGACCAAGAGAGAACUUCCUAAAUUUAAUUAUUACAAUGCUUGCCCUUUUUUGCAAUAUGAACUUGUGUAGACCGUAUGCUACUGAACUUUAUUUUGCCUUUGUAAUCGGAUAAUUAUUAUGCUGACCUUGCCUUUUUUACUCUUUAUUUACUAGGGUUGGUUAUGAAUUGCAUUCCGUAGACUGAGCCCAUUUAAGACUCUGUUGAGGUCAAACAAAUAGAUAUGGUCAACUUUGGUAGCAAUAACACCAAGCAAUGACCUUGAAUUCACCAAGAUUCUAUCAUUUCGAUAUCAAUCUUGAUAAGGAAAAUGUUGACCUCACGAAAAUAUCAACUUCAACAAGAUAAAUUGUUGACCUCAACAAGAUAAAUUGUUGACCUCAACAAGAUAAAUUGUUGACCUCAACAAGGUUAAGUGUAGAGCUAAAAUGCCAACCUCACGACAAGGAAAAUGUUGACCUCACGAUAAGGAAAAUGUUGACCUCACGAAAAUGUCAACCUUAACAAAAUAGAUUGUCGACCUCAACAAGGUUAAGUGUAGAGCUAAAAUGCUGAACUCACGAUCUCACGACAAGGAAAAUGUCAACCUCACGAAAAUGUCAACCUCAACAAGAUAGAGUGUUGAACGCAAUAAGGUUAAAAUGUAAAGCUAAAAUGCCGACCUAAAAAAAAAUUGAAAAUUGGAGAACUUAAAUGUUAAGCUUAUGAUCAACCUCAACAAGGCAAUGACUGACCUCAAUAAAAUUGAAAAUUGGGCAACGACCUCAACAAGGCAAUGGCCGACCUCAACAAGGCAAUGGCCGACCUUAAAAAAAAUUAAAAAUUGUAGAACUUAAAUGUUAAGCUUAUGGCCGACCUCAACAAAAUUGAACAUUGUAGAACGUAAAUGUUAAGGCUAUGGCCAAACUCCACGAGGCAAUGACCAACCGCAAUAAAUAGAAAAUUGUAGAUUUUAACUUAUGGCCGACCUCAAUAAGGUAAUGGUCGACCUCAACAAAAUUAAACAUUGUAGAACGUAAAUGUUAAGGCUAUGGGCAAACUCCAUGAGGCAAUGACAAACCUCAAUAAAUAGAAAAUUGUAGAAUUUAGCUUAUGGCUGACCUCAAUCAGGCAAUAGCCGACCUCAACAAAAUUGAACAUUGUAGAACGUAAAUGUUAAGGCUAUGGCCAAACUCCACGAGGCAAUGAGCAACUUCAAUAAAUAGAAAAUUGUAGAACUUAGUUUAUGGCUUACCUCAAUAAGAAAAUGGUCGACCUAAAUAAAGUAAAGGCGAAUUUCGAUAAAAUUGAAAAAUGUAGAUCUCAACAAGAUAAAAGUUAAGGCUAUCUAACCACAAGGUAAUAGCUGUCUUCAAUCUCAAAAAGGCCGAAUUACAAUUAGACCUCAACAAGGUCAAAAUGACAAUCUCGAUCUCAAUAAGAUUUGAUAAAUUUUUCAGGUAGGACCUCAACAAGGCAGCAAUGUCGAUCUCAAUCUCAAUAAGAUUGGAUGAAUUUUUCAGGUAGAAUCUCCACAAAGCCGAAAUGCCGAUCUCAAUCUCAAUAAGAUUGGAUAAAAUUUUCAGGUAGGACUUAAAUAAGGCCGCAAUGUCGAUCUCAAUCUCAAUAAGAUUGAAUGAAUUUUUUUCAUGUCAGACCUCAGUAAAGUCGUCAUGUCGAUCUCAAUCUCAAUAAGAUUAGAUAAAUCUUUUCACGUUGGACCUCAAUACGGUCCAAAAAUGCCGAUCUCAAUCUCAAUAAGAUUGGAUAAAAUUUUCAGGUAGGACCUCAACAAAGCUGCAAUGUCGAUCUCAAUCUCAAUAAGAUUGGAUGAAUUUUUUCACGUUGGACCUCAGCAAGGCCGCCAUGUCGAUCUCAAUCUCAAUAAUAUUGGAUAAAUCUUUUCAUGUUGGACCUCAAUACGGUCCAAAAAUGCCGAUCUCAAUCUCAAUAAGAUUGGGUAACUUUUUCAUGUUGGACCUCAAUAAGGUCACAAAGUUGAUAUCAAUCUCAAUAAGAUUGAAUAAAUAUUUUCACGUUGGACCUCAAUACGGUCCAAAAAUGCUGAUCUCGAUCUCAAUCUCAAUAAGAUUGGGUAAUUUUUUCACGUUGGACCUCAACAAGGUUGCAAUAUCGAUAUCAAUCUCAAUAAGAUUGGAUAAAUUUUUUCACGUUGGACCUCAAUAAGGUCCAAAAAUGCCAAUCUCAAUCUCAAUCAGUCUGGAUAAAUUUAUUUCAUAUUGGACCUCAAUCAAGUCCAAGUGUCGAUCUCGAUCUCAAAUAAGACCGGUCACAAGUAGAUAAGAAAUAAAGUUGCACUUUUAAAUAACCUCAUUGAUACUAAUAUAACAGAAGUUAUAGAAUUGAACGCAUAACAAAUUGAAAUAACAAAGAAACAAACUUUCUUAGCAUAUUUAAAGAAAAUAAACAAACAAUAUUUAAAGAAAAUAAACAAACAAGGACAUCAUAAAUAAGAUAUAUCUUAACUGAUAGUAUUUUCGCAGGUGCUCUGCAUUCCAUGCCUUGCCAACGACCCUGCCAUCCUGAUAACUUAAUUUAUAUGCCCCAUUAUCAAAUUAGGGUAGCACUUUAUAUGGUCCUUCCCAGCUCGGCCCUAGAACUCCAUCAAUAAAUCUGAAGCUCAUUGGAGAUGUCAUCCAUCAUUUUUGUUCCCACUCUUACCACCCUGCUCGGAUCAACCUCACUUAUCGGCAUGUUUCAUUUCUUCAUUAGGUCACUGUUGGCACAAUCUAUUCUCAGCUCGUGGGUCGAUACUCGUGAUCUGCAUGGAUUCUCUUGCAGCUGUAGCGUAACAACUUCGAGCUAUUUGUUGCUGGCCCCUCAUCACUCCAACCCCAUAUUGAACUCUAAACUUCACACGUUGCAUGUGGGUUGAGCUCACGGCUCUUACUAUCCUAUUGAAAGGUCUACCCAAAAUAAAUUGAUAAGGGUUGGGCUCAUCAACUACCACCCAUGUCACCAUCACUGUCUUUUGUAGUGGGUUGGACUUUAUUAUCAGUGGCAAGUCAAUCAUCCCAAGGGGAAUCAACUCAGCUCCGCCAAACCCUUUUAGUGAUGUUCUGACGGGAUCAAGCCUAAGGUCCCCUAUUUGUAGAUCUUCCAGGGUUUGCUUAAACAAAAUGUCGACUGAGCUUCCUCCAUAUAUAAGAGCUCGGUUCAAAUCCUGCCCUACCAAGGUAACCUUCACUAUGAGCGCAUCCUCAUGUGGAUGUGCGACCGCUUCCUCGUCCUCGUCUGUGAACAUGAUCGGCACCCUUUGAACCCGUUGCUUCUUUGGUAUUGAAACAUUAAAAUUCAACUUAUAACUUUCUAAUGACUAUCUACUAUAAUUUCUCCUUGAACGAUUUGAGUCUCCUACUAGGGUCGGCCCUCCCAUAAUCAUCAUCGCUACAUUAUCUCUGAUGUCUCCUCUUCUCCCACCUAUUCCUUGGUCAUUCACAUACUCCUUUAGAUAUUGAUUUUGCACUAGCCACAAAAUCUGUUCUUUCAAGUCUAUGUAAUCUGCAGUUCCAUGUCCGAACACAAUGUGAAACUCGCAAUACUUGUGGUGAGCACUUCUGCCCAGACUUCUUACAAUUGGCUUUGGCGGUUUAAGUAGCCCCUUCUUUUCUACUACAACAUAUAUUUCCGCUCUGCUUUUGUUCGAUGGUGUGUAUCUUCCACUCUACUCUAAUAAGUUCACCCCAUGGUCAGAUCUCGAUACUCUCUGUUCUAUAGGCAGUGGCAACCUAUUGUAGUCUCUUGCUCGGUUCUCCCUUUAGUUCAUCUCAUAAUUAUUUCCUCUAUCUCGGCCCCAUCCCAUUAAUGAGAUUUAUCUCAUUUCACGAUUUCUUUCCCAAUCUCGACCCGACCUUUCUGGUCAUCUGUAAUUGAACAACUCUCCGCCGUAAUGACGUCUAUCAUCCGAGUUCCUCCUCGAGCUAUACUCGAGGUUAUCACUUGACCCUCUCUCUGCUCUUCCAUUCUCCUAUUUUCUUCCUCUGCAUCUUCAGUUUUCAUAUCUAAUUUUGUCUAGUCGUACGCCUCAGCGUAUGUUGUUAUCCCCUUGUUAUAUAAGCUAUUCCAUAAUCGAUUGAUUCUCAACUCCUUCUUUAAUCCCUCUAGAACAUCUGGAAGAUCAAAGGCCCCUAGAUCGGUAACCUCUCUAUGAUACCUGGUCACAAAACUCGUCAAACUUUCAAAUUCUCCUUGGACCAAUUUUGUCAAGCUGCUCAUAUCCUGCUCUGAUAUGCAUGAACCUCUAAAAUGCAUAGCGGAAAGCACACAUAACUCCUUGAAAUUUCCUAUGCUUCUAUUCUUUAAUCUCCGGUACCAUUCCCAUGCUUGUCCAUCUAGAGUUAAGGGAAAAAUACGGCACCUUUGAAAAUCAUUCAAACCUUGAAUUACAGUCAUCUCAUUAAACUUCUCCACAUGAUGAUUUGGGUCAGUUUUUCCUUCAUACACCAAGACUUGAACCACAUACUUGGGUGGCAAAGUUACUGCCAUCACUUCAGGUACCAAGGGGGACUCGUCAUCGAGUAACAGCCUUCCUACCACUUUCUUGCCCUCUGUUUUCGCCUCUAAUACCUCUAAGGUUUUUUGAAAUUGCAGCAUUCGUUGCUCAAGCUCAUUUGCCCGUUGGGGUCUCUCAGCUCUUCCCUCUCUCUUUCUUGAUUCAAGUCAUUGAUUCUCCCCCUCAACUCAUUCACUUGUUCUCCUGCACUUCUAUUCUUUUGUCGUACCCCAACUUGUGGUAGUCCCAUUCCGCUCUGCUGUUCACCAUCAAGCUCUUCCCUCUCUCGCGCUCCACUACAUUUUGGAUCACUAGCUCGAACGUGAGCCUCUCUGACUUGGGCAUCAACCAGCCCCCGAUCAUCUUCUCAAAUCUCGCCAUUUGCCUCUCAAUCCCUUCUCUCCAUCUCUUAUCUGCCGUGGCAUUCAUUUCCUCAGCCAAUUGGCGCAAGGUCUACGUAUCUUCAUCCUUAUCAUCUAUCACUAUUUUGUAAUCCGAUAGCUUCUCCUUCUAAAUCUUCAAACGUAUGGCUUUUCGCACUGAUCCCCACAGAUAGCGUCAAGAUGUUGAUGCUGAAAAACGACAUGAACAGCUGAAUUUGUUUCUUUUGGGGAAUUACAAUGUGAAUUUAAGCUCAAACGCAAGUCUGAACGCAACUUUCUAUAUCUACCAACCAGAAAACACAGUUAGGAUAUGCCGGUGGGGUUCCGGCGCAGACCCUCCGAUGCUUAAGUCAAAUUAUGUAUAAAAGGAGAAAAAUAAGAAUGAAGAAUUAUGAAUGAGUUAAAGUCAAGUAAUUUUCCAGUAGAGGGGCUAAAAAUCUUGUAGAAGCUUCAGUGAAUUUUGCUAACCCCUUCACCUGAUGCGCUCUUCAAUUUAAAUAGACUCUUGGUCAUGUACGGUUACCUCCUUAACUUCAGCCCGCUUUCUUCAGUAGUUGCAAGUGGUUGUCAGUUGGAGGUGGUUUAAAUAGAUCGUGGCACACAACUUCCUUAUAAAUUAGGCCACGUUCUCUUAACUAGCAAUUUUUCAUGUCAAGCUAAUUCAUUGGUCGGACAAGAGAAUUUCAAGGUCGGAUUACUUCACUUUCAUAUCAGACAGAUGAAUUUGUUAGUCGCUCAUAUAGCGUUGGGGUUGUAUUAUUAAACUAAGUCAUUCACAUAGAUCUUAGGUCGUACUUGUAAACCAAGUCGCCAACAUAGGCUUCAGGUUGUACUUAUGAGGUCAACUCAACAACAAUAAGUUUUGAGUAAAUUAGUAUCGACUAUAUUUUGAGACACUACAAAAAAAAUCCAACCCAAACAGUAACAUUUUGCAAAUCUCAAUCGACGGUGCUAUUUUCAAUCGUUGCCUGGAUUGCUUUCUUGGAAAAGCAGCAUCUAUAAGAAACCUGCAAAAAAAUGUUGUAGCCUUGGAGACUGAAUUGGGAAAACUAAUCGAAGCAAAGAACGAUGUGGUGGCGAGGGUCGUCAACGCUGAAAGGCAACAAACGAUGACAAGGCUGAACAAAGUUCAAGGCUGGCUUUCGAGGGUGGACGCUGUUAAAGCUGAAGCUGAUGAAUUGAUAAGACAUGGCCCUCAAGAAAUUGAGAAACUAUAACUUAGAGGCUACUGUUCCAAGAACUGCAAGUCAAGCUAAAAGUUUGGCAAAAAAGUGGCUAAAAAGCUAAGAGACGCCGGGACUUUAAUGGCCAAUGGAGCAUUUGAAGUGGUAGCUGAGAGAGCUCCAGAAUCAGUAGCGGAUGAAAGGCCUAUCGAGCCCACAGUAGUAGGCCUGCAAUUGCAACUCGAGCAUGUUUGGAGAUGUCUUGAAGGAGAAUCAGUCGGAAUUGUUGGCCUAUACGGCAUGGGCGGUGUCGGUAAAACUACACUAUUGACCCAUAUCAACAACAAAUUUCUUGAGAGUCCAACUAAUUUUAAUUAUGUGAUAUGGGUCGUAAUGUCAAAAGACUCGCGACUUGAAAACAUUCAAGAAACUAUCGGGGAGUAGAUUGGUUUGUAAAAAUUUGCCAAUUUACACAGCAAACAAUUUCCACCCAAUUAAUGUUUUUUAGAAAAUUGUAAAAAUUUGGAGUUAUGAAAAUAGAAACUAUAUAAUAAGAAGAAAUAAUUUAAGAUUUUAAGAUUUAUAUAUAUUUUAUAAAUAAAACAUUAAAAGAGAUGCUUGUUAUUACGAUGAAAUUUUAUGAGUAAGAUGAUUAACUUUAAUAUAUGAGUUUGUAUUUUAUAAAUUAAUCAGAGGUAUUUUAGAAAAUAAAUUCAAAAUGGGAGUUAUAAGAGUUUUAGAGUGGUGUUAAAAGCUCAACUCUUUUGAAUUUUACUGCCCAAUUAUAUAGUACAUUAGCGUGAUUGUUAUGUAUUCAUUUUUUUCAGAUACAACAAACGAGCUGCGUAGUGCUCAAAUAACAAAAAUUAAUAAUUUCACACACCCAUAUACAUAUAUGUAUACAUAUAGAUACAUAUUAUAUUUAAUUAAGCAAAAGAAAGAACCCCCUGUACGACGCCAGUGAGAAGAGAGAGAGAGAGAGAGAGAGGAAGAGAGCUUUUUGUGUUAUAUUUCAUAAUUUUUAUUUAAUUAAAAAUAUUUGUAGUUUGGAUUUGGGCGCCCCAAAGAAUUUCUAAAUCAAAACCUUAAUUUUUAUUAGGUCUUGAGCCUAUUCUCGAAAUAGAUCCUAUUAUAUUCUUAGGUGGUGUUUGGUUUUAAGAAAAUGGAAGAGAGGAGAGGUGAAAAAAGAAGAUGAACGGAGAGGUGAUGAGAGGAAAAGAGUGUAAAAAUUAAUUGUUAUUGUUUGGUUUCACAUUAAAUUUGAAAGGAAAAGAAAUUACAUAUUUUUUAUUUGGACGAAUAUACCCACUAUUUUAAUGCUAAUAUUGUUAAUAAAUUAAAAAAUAAUAAAACUAUGAAUUAAUUUAAUCUAGAAAUUACCUAAUUAAAUUAAAAAAUUAUUUUUUAAAAAAAUACAGCAUUUGGCCAUGGACAGCCUCCACGUUGACCACCGUUGACUGGCGAAUUUGACUGUCGUUGACCGUCAUUUUUCAUCGCGUUAAAUGCAUAAUAAUAAUAAGAAAUGAAUGAUUUAUUCAUUGGAAGUGUUAAUUUUGCAGAAAAUACACUAUAUAGUAGGAAAUAUGAGAGUUAAAAUUUUCCCAAGCAUUUAAACAAGACUUGAGGUAAAUAACAAUGUAUAUUAGCAUUUUUAAUCUCAUAGCAUUGUAGAUGGACUCAUGAGGAUUCCAUUGAUACCGGUUUUGAUGAAAAAGUGCGUCUCCGGCGAAACUCCGACGAGUCACUUUACUGUUUUUUCUUUUUUCAAAUAAGUUUAUCCUAUUAAUUUAAGAAAAUAAAUAUAAAUUAUUUGUACUUUAAUUUAUUUAACAUUGAUUUUGUUUAGAGGAUAAUAUUGGAAUUUUUGUGUUUAAAUAGAUAAGAAAUUUAAAAUCUUUAGUCAUUGAUAAGAAAUACAAAUUCUUCAAAUUGAUGGAAAUUCAAUUCCAUUAAACUUGGUCCAAGUAGAAAAGAAAUCAAUUUUUUUUGGCUCUCCCCACUUCCCUACCCCUAAGCAAACAUGGCCUUAUGGUUUUUGAGAACUCAUACCAAAUUCAAAUUAAUCAGGAGCCCACGGGUCCCGGGGCUCGCGGGAAAGUUGCCAUCCCUACCUUCAUCUGACGGAAAGUCCCUACAAACAAAUGUUUCUUUAUUUAUUUAUUUUUAUAAAAGAAAUUUCAGUUUGAAUGUCUUUUGGACGUUUCCAAUUGUCAUGAUUAGCCCUUGAACCUUUGGUCAAAAAAGUAUUAUCACGCGUUGAUUGUUUGUAUCGCAAAUGCUAGUGGCAUUUGAAAGUUGAUAUAAUUAAUUACAAUCUACAAAUGUUUAACAAAAAAGUGGGAUGGAUAUGGCACAAAAGUAAAGCAAGCAGGAUUCGUUGAAAAAGCUAUUUUGACACCUACUUCGGUUAUAAAAUUUUCAAAAAAAAAAAAAAAUUUUGAUUAAAAGUAAAUUGUAUAGGUUCAACUACCGUGCACUUGGUGCAUGGGACAUGUAUUUUGUCUAUAUAUAAGUUACCCGUCAGAUAUAACAUAGAACUUGCUUCAACGGCAUAGAUGUAUUCUCUUUAGUUUUUAACAUUGACAUCUAUGUUGUUUUUCAAAAAAGAAAAAUAGUGAAAGGUUUGACACAUAAUUUUAGAUUAUUUUUAAAUUUUAUAUUUUAAUCAAUUGAUUUAAUUUACUGUUAAAAUUAAUGACAGUAUAAGCGUAAUAACUUGAAAAAACUUUUUAAUACAUAAUUUUUUUUAUUUUUUGAAAAUAAUAUAAUAUCAAUUUAAUCUAUAAUAAAUAAUUUUAACAUAUAAUUAAAUUUUAAUUUAUCAAUAAUAAUAUGACCAAAUGACAAUGUUAAAGAAUUUCAUUAUAAUCAACUAUGAUUUAGUAUUCAAAUAUAAAUAAUAGAAAUAUACUCUAAGUGUAAAUAAUAGAAAUAUAUCAAACUUAUAUGUUAAAAUUUCAAAACUUUUAAUUUUUUCACUUUUCAGCAAACAAGAGGGAGUAAUUUACCAAAAACAAGGGGUAUCGUACACCUGGGGCACCAUAGCUUCCUCCAAAUUGUAUAAAAAAUAGAAAUAUUUUUAGUCUCCAAAUUGUAUAAAAAAGUAAAAAUAUUUUGACUAAAAGUAAAUUGUGCGUAACUACUUUAAUAUUUUAUUUCUUUCAUAACUUUAUCAAAAUCUUGUCAUCAAAUAUUUUAUCAAUGUAACGCUGUAAACAGCAAAUUAAAGUUUAAUUAUUUAAUUACAACUGGCAAAAGAGACGUUUAAUUAUUUAAUUACAAGCGGGAUAGUCUCUUUUGUUGAAGGAAAUUAAAGUUUAGUUAUUUAAAUCGAGCACGCGUAAUCUUUUCAAGCACAAACAAAAGAGAUCAUAAUUCAAAGUUGAUGUUCUCUUCACAGCAGCUUCUAUUCAUCGAACUCCAUCGUUAAAAUUUCCUUGGUUUUUCCUGGUUGAAUUCUCAUCCAAAAUAUGGGUAACAUUUUCCAAAUCACAUGCGACGGCGCUCUCUUUAACCGUUGCCUGGAUUGCUUUCUUGGAAAAGCAGCAUAUAUAAAAAACCUCAAACAAAAUCUUGCAGACUUGGAGACUGAAUUGGGAAAACUAAUCGACGCAAAGGAAGAUGUGAUGAGGGAGGUCAACGCUGCUGAAAGGCACCCAAUGAUGAAAAGGCUGACCAAAGUUGAAGGCUGGCUUUCGAGGGUCGAAGCUGCUAAAUCCGACGGUGACAAAUUGAUAGCAUUUGGCUCUCAAGAAAUUAAGAAACUAUGUCUUGGAGGCUACUGUUCCAAGAACUGCAAGUCAAGCUACGAGUUUGGCAAACAAGUGGCUAGAAAGCUAGGAGAUGUCAAGACUUUAAUGGCUGAAGAAGCUUUUGAAAAGGUAGCUGAGGAAGUACAACCACCUUUGGUAGAUGAGAGACCCACCGAGCCAACCGUAGUAGGCUUCCAAUCACAAUUUGAACAAGUCUGCAAAUGUCUUGAAGAAGAAUCAGUCAGAAUUGUUGGCCUAUACGGCAUGGGCGGUGUCGGUAAAACCACACUAUUGACUCAUAUCCACAAUAACUUUCUUCAGAGUCCAACUUUUAAUUGUGUGAUAUGGGUCCUAGUGUCAAAAGAUCUGCGACUUGAAAACAUUCAAGAAACUAUCGGGGAUCUGCGACUUGAAAACAUUCAAGAAACUAUCGGGGAGCAGAUUGGUUUGUUAAACGAUACAUGGAAAAAUAAACGAAUUGAACAGAAAGCUCAAGACAUCUUCAGGAUUUUGAAGGAGAAGAAGUUUUUGCUGUUGCUAGAUGACUUAUGGCAGCGGGUUGAUUUAACAAAAGUGGGCGUCCCUCUUCCUGGCCCGCAAAAUAAUGCAUCCAAAGUGGUAUUCACAACCCGUUCCGAAGAAGUUUGUGGUUUGAUGGGAGCUCACACGAGGUUUAAAGUGGCGUGCCUGUCAAAUAUCGAUGCUUGGGAAUUGUUUCGGCAGAACGUUGGAGAAGAAACUCUGAACAGUGAUCCCGAUAUUCUUCAACUCGCCCAAGCAGCAGCCAGAGAGUGUGAUGGUUUGCCACUAGCACUUAUUACCAUUGGCCGAGCUAUGGCUUGCAAGAAGACACCUGACGAAUGGAUUUACGAUAUUGAGGUGCUAAGAACAUCAAGUUCUCAGUUCCCAGGUUUGGGAAAUGAGGUUUAUCCUCUUUUAAAAUUCAGUUACGAUAGAUUGCCGAGUGACACAAUUAAAUCAUGUCUCUUAUAUUGUAGUUUAUAUCCAGAAGAUUAUUGCAUUUCUAAAGAGAAAUUGAUAGACUGUUGGAUCGGCGAGGGAUUUUUGACAGAAAGGGACAGGAUUGGAGAACAAAAAGAAGGAUACCAUAUUCUGGGCAUUCUUCUUCAUGCCUGCUUACUGGAAGAGGGAGGAGACGGUGAAGUAAAAAUGCACGACGUGAUUCGAGAUAUGGCAAUAUGGAUAGCAUGCGACAUUGAAAAGGAGAAGGAGAAUUUUUUUGUUAAUGCUGGCGUUGGAUUAGUUGAAGCACCCGAUGUCACAGGAUGGGAAAAGGCGAGGAGAUUGUCACUGAUGCACAAUCAAAUUACGAAUCUAUCAGAGAUUCCUACAUGUCCUCAUCUCCUUACUUUUUUCCUUAACAAAAAUAGGUUUCAGAUGAUCCCCAAUGACUUCUUCCAAUUUAUGCCCUCCCUCAAAGUUUUAAAUCUGUCAUACAGCAAACUAACCAGCUUACCAUUGGGGAUUUCAAAGUUGGUUUCACUGCAACAUCUUGACCUGUCAGAAUCCGACAUAGAAGAGUUGCCAGGAGAGUUAAAGGCAUUGGUAAAUCUUAAAUGUUUGGAUUUGGAAUAUACAGGGAAUUUAAUUACAAUUCCACGUCAACUAAUAUCUAAUCUUUCAAGGUUACAUGUGUUGAGAAUGUUUGGUGCUGGUCAUAAUGCCUUUGAUGAAGCAUCAAAAGACAGCAGUUUAUUUGGUGGGGGUGAAUUCAUAGUAGAGGAACUGCUUGGUUUGAAAUCUUUAGAGGUGAUUAGCUUCACCUUGAGAAGUUCUCAUGGUCUCCAAAUGAUUUUGAGCUCGGAUCAGUUACGAAGUUGCACUCGAGCACUCUCAUUCCAAUGCUUCAACGAUUCGACAUCGCUUGAAGUUUCAGCUUUGGCAGAUCUGAAGCAACUUAAAAUGUUGCGGAUUGCAAGGAGUGAAAUAUUGGAGGAAUUAAAGAUGGAUUGUGCAGGGGAAGUUCGACAGUUUGUUUUCCAUAGUCUCAAUAAGGUUGAAAUAUACGGUUGCAGUAAAUUGAAGGACUUGACAUUCCUUGUUUUCGCUCCAAACCUCAAGUCUAUUAAAGUAACAGGUUCCCAUGCUAUGGAAGCAAUCAUAAGUGUGGGUAAAUUUGCAGAAGUUCCAGAGGUAAUGGCAAAUUUAAACCCAUUUGCAAAACUCCAAAAUCUUGAAGUAAUUGGUGCGAUAAAUUUGAAGAGCAUUUACUGGAAGCCCCUGCGCUUCCCACAUCUGAAAACAAUGAGUUUCUUUCAUUGCAACAAGCUUAAAAUGCUUCCACUUGAUUCCAAUAGUGCAAGAGAGCAUAGCAUUGUUAUUCGUGGAGACAGAAUGUGGUGGGCACAGCUUCAAUGGGAGGAUGAAGCCACUCGAAAUGCUUUUCUUCCCUGUUUCAAAUCUUGAGCAGAGAUCACAUUUGAAUAAUUUCUGGUGCGUGCUUUUUCUUACAUUAUUCUUCUUGUUAAUUUCCUUCAUGCAGACAUCUGCACCUAAUAACUCGUUACUUCAAAUAUUCUCUAAAUUAUUUGAGGGUACUCGCCCCUGCACAUAAUGUAUAUUUAUAUCUAAUUAAAUUUUUUAAAAAGUCAAUAUUAUAUUUUUUAUGUCAUUAAAUAAAGUCUUGUUAUUUUAUCGAAUUAUAUUCAACUUGAAAAUAGUUCUAGCUUUUAGAUAUAAGUUAUGUAAGUACAAGUUCAAAGUGUAUCAGCAUUAAAUUACUCAUAUUCAAUCAUUUAUAAUCUGAUGUUGAAAAAAAAAUGUCAUUCAAUCAUAUGCAUUUAACUAAAUUCAAAUAUAAUCUAAAUUCAGAUACGUUAAAAUUAUUUGGGAAAAAAAAGCGCCACAACUCUAUAUUGUUUAUUGAGUAAACCAGAUAUUAACUCUAUCAUGAACGUAAUAGCCUCCAGCAUUUUUUAUUAUCUGUUCAAACCAUAUUUUAUUAUUUUAAUUUAUUUAUAUUCAUUGCAUUUCAAUUAGGUCAUGUUUUCUUUUGUUUUCUGUUUUAUAUUCUUUGAUCAUUUUGGCAACAUGGAGUACUAUGAUUAAUCAUUUUGUACUGGUCUCAAAUUUCAGUCGGAUUAUCUGCGGAAAAUAUCUCUGAAGAUGCUUUCAAUGGAGUCCAGUACUCAGAAUGCGAUGCCUAAUCCUUUGCAAUCCAACAAUGCUAGCAGGAGCAACGAACCCCCUCAUCCAGGUAGUGACGUGGAAUAGUAAAUGCAGCUUCACUUUCAAUUUGUCUCUGAAACCGCUCCCUAUAAUCAAUCCUAGCAUUCUUAUGUGUUCUUAACUUCUGCAGCCUGAAUAUUUCUUCCUCGACAAUCAAAGUCAUAACAGUAUGAUUGGCUGGAGUAGCUUUCCUCCAGACCCCUCAUUAUAGUUAUAAAUAAUUCCGAUAUUUGAUAUCAUGAUCGGGGAUUUCAGAGCUUAGAAAAUAUGAUUUGUACCCAUAUGUGUCUGAUCAUGAGAAGUUUGAAAAUAUACAUCAAAAACUGUAUGGAUUGGAAAAAUAUAAUCUUAUUAUGGUGUGUUAAAUCGUCAUUUGAUGAACGGAUUUGGGAUACAUUAUAAUAUGAUGUCAUUAUUAAUUAGGGUGUGUUUUUGGAAGUGCUUAAUUAUAUUCGUUUAAUGUGUAUUUCUUUUAUCACUUUUGAAAAGAAUUCUUAAAUAUUUAAAUAUUUCAAUGUUUAUAUCUUAACUUCAAAUAUAAUAAAAUAAAAUAAAAUAACUGUUCUCCAAUAUGAGGGUCCGAACUAAGGGUCUACGUCAAUAACAUGAAAUAUAAUAAUUUUUGUAAAUUUUUCUUAAAUUCAAAAUAAAUUUUGUUACUGAUUCAAAUGUUUAACAAAAUGUGGCAGCUUAUCUGUAAUUGCCACAUCAAUUGAGAUUCAAAUUACUACUCAAAUCCUGAAAUUCCUAAAGGUCCCUAACAUUAAUAUUUUAUUAAGUCAAUAUUGAAGUUGAACUAUGGGGUUCGUCGGCUAUUUCACACUAACAGAGGAAUCAUUUUAUCUUCUACAAAGGGUUCAGUUUUCUUGCACUGUAUGAUAUGAAGUAAUAUUGUCAUAUGUUGUUCUGAAUUAAUUUUUUUCUUCUCUCGUGCGAAUCAGAAAGAAAUGUUGUAUUUAAGAUGUGGAAAGUAUAAGAUCUUAGGAGUUUUACAGUGUAUAUAUAUAUAAAUUUUUUUUUGACAAACAGAGAAAUUCAGUCUAGAAUAUGAGAACAAACUAAAAGCUACGAAAUACAUUGGCAUUUUUGAGAAGUAGGAUAAAUAUUAUUUUUUUUUUUGAAAAAAAAAGGACUUGGCACCUCAAUGCUUUAAUAACCUAAUGUUAUACUUUUGGUUUGAUUUUUCUAUGUACUCUCUUCCAAUGGUCAAUUUAGGCUAUGUUUGGUAUUGAGAUAUUAUAACUAAAAAAUUUUAGGAUUUAUCACUUAAAAGAUAGAGUAGCCGUGGGAAAAAAGAGAGAGAGAGCUGAAAUUAUGAAAUAAAAUUAUUAAUGUAUUGUAAAUAAGAUGUUCAAAUAAAAAAAUUGACAAAAAUAGUAAAAAUACAAUACCAAACAAGAAUUUAUUUAGGAUACCGAUUCCAGGUCUCUAAAGAUUUGUUUUUAUGCUUUGCAGUUAUUUUCUUCUAGCUGACUGAUGAAUUAUUGUGAAAUUGCUAUGAAAAUUACUAGGGAAAUUAUCAGUCAUACACUCUUAAAUGACACCCGUAUCAAAUAUGCUACAACAUUUUUCAAGUAUAUCACUCGUAUACUCUAAGUUGACAAAACACUUCUACCGUCCACCAAUAUGUUAACUUCUAUUAGAAAGUUAAUAGAAUUGUGGCAAAUUGACUAUUUCGUCCUUGAAACUCAAAAUGAGAUUAAAAAAAAUUUACCCAAAAAAUUAAAGUAAAUUUUCAAUACAUAAUUUUUUUUAAUUUCGUUAUUAACAAUACAUUUUUUUAUUAAAAAAUAUGAAUUAUUAAUGGUACAUAUUAUUAACAAUUAUCCAUAAAAAUAUCCAUAUUAUACCAUAAAAAAUUAUUAACAACAUAUUAUUUACAAUUAUACAUAUUAUACCAUAAAAAACUCCAAUUGGAGCUUGGAGGAGUAGAUCUUAAAAAAUUUAGGUUAAAUUUUGGAUGAGUAGAUUCGGUUGUAAAGUAGUUGUUUUUUUAUAUGUAAUUAUUAACAAUUAUCCAAUAAAUGGGAUGACAUGUCAUUUUAUCAAUAUAUAUCAUAUGACAUGUCAUUGCUUAAUAGGAAAAUGGGAUGACAUGUCGUUUUUAAAAAAGACUAUAUUUACCCUUAUGAUGUCAGCACUUGCAAACGGCAGUUAACGGAUUGGUGAACGGUAGAAAUGUUUUGUCAACUUAAAGUAUACGAGUGAUAUACUUGAAAAGUGUUGUAUCACGUUUGAUAUUAGUGUCAUUUAACGAUAUAUGACUGAUAAUUUUCCAAAUUACUACUAUAACUUAUGGCAAAUUGGCAAUUAAAAAUCAUAAAAGUCUUUCCUCUUGAAUGAGAAAGUGGGUUAUUUUCGUUUACUAUAUAUAUAGUGUCACAAUCAAGAUUAGCAAAGGUUUGUUCACAAACCACCAUCUAUGAAACUAUGAUGACAAAUAUUAUUUGCUAUUAUCAUGUCACUGCAUUACUCUAAUGCCAUUAUUUGCCUAAUUAAAUAUUCAUGUCGGUUUUAAGAUGAAUUUCAAGACAUUUAACUAACCAUAUCUAUUGUAUUUUAUUAUGGUGCUCUAGCUAGCUGGUUGCCAGCUUUGCCUUUCAAUGGGGUUUGAUUAAUUACUCUGCAUAUAGACCAUUAUAUACUAGGACGGCCAAUGGUUAAUGUAAUAUAAACACAAUAAAUUUUAAUCAAAUAUGAAUUUUCUGAAUAAUUGUUUCUUUAUUUUAUGAAUUUUAUUUAAACGAUAUCCCAAUUUAAAAAAAAAAAAGAAAGAAAGAAAAUCAGCGCGUUUGUCUCCUCCCCAUUGUCAUGAUCAACCUUGUUGGAAACGUUGGUGAGAAAAGUAAUACUAUACGUUAAUUGCUUUUAAUAUUUUAAUCGUUGGUGGCACAACCGCACAAGAAAGUAAAAGUUGUUAUAUAUAUAUAUAUUUUAAAUAAAAGUUUAGCUUUCAAUAAUUCAACUUUGAAAAAGGUACAAAAGAUGUGUAGGACAUUCGUUGAACCACAUUAUUGGUUGUACACUUUCUAAAGCUACUUUGGCUAUGGAAUAGGCCAUGAUUAUGAAGCCGAGAAGUAUGUUGCAGUGUGGGGUUGUGUAGUUCCUUUUAGCUUCUUCUUACAAAUUAAUGCUGACAGAAAAAGCAAGAUCAUAUUCCACAAAAGUAAAAGUAACAAAACAACCAGCUGGAAUCUUUUAUUAAACUACGAUAAACUACAAAUUAAAGUGGAUUCUUUUGAAUACAAGUGGGAUAGACGAUUGGCUCUUUUAUUAAAGGCCAGUAGUCAAGAAUCGAAUAUCUCGAUUGCAUAGUCUUUUUCAAAUUCUUGUUUUAUUAUUUUUCAAAACUAAUUUUUUAUUAGUCUACAAUUAUUUAUAAUUAUAUUUUCAUUUAGAAUACAGUUCAAGUCAAAUCUUUUGCACUUCUACCUAACUCGGGCUAAUACUAGUCCACUCAUUAUUCAUGUGAGAGAGUUGUAAGGUACAUGCAUGUAACUUCUCUAACUCGAAUUAUUCCACACAGAGAAAUAAACAUAGAUGCUUUAUAACUUUAGAAAUCCGAUCUCUUACAGUUGGAAACAGAGAUGAUGAUUACUAUAAGAAUGAAGAAAAAGAUAAAAAAUUGUCAAUGAUUAACGAAGUCUCUAUGCAAAUUUCUCUAUGCAAAUUGAUUUUAGCAGAAAAAUAGUGAGUUGAAUGAUGUAGGCGAUUAGUGGUAAUAUUUCAUAGAGUUAGAGUAUUGGCAACCCUUCAAUCUUCUCAUGAAUCCCCUUUUUGAGUUAUAGUUAUUUUAUUUCGAAAUAUCCUUUUUCUUCUUUAAUACACUUCUAAUUUUUCAUUUAAUUUUUUUAUUGUUAAACUCAAAGUAUUAUUGUGAUAUUUUUCGUUUCUUUUGUAAUCUUAUUAUAAUUAAAAAAACCAAAAAAAAAGAUUGGCUAUGAAAUUUGUUGGAAAAAAUCUAUGUGCGUUUAAUUUUUGUUUGUCUUUGACUGUAAUUUAUUUGAAGUGGGGUUUUAUAAGCAUAAUGAAGGGAUCAAAGGAUGCCCAUAACUUCACUCUAUUUUAUAUGGAGAAAAGUAAAAGGUACACCUAAAGUUAAUGGAAAGUACUUCGCAGCUUUCUUUUGAUUAUAAUAUCCUUUAAUUUAAUUAACUUAAAAAUUUUGACUUUAAUAAUUUAUAAUAAAUUAAAUUAUAAUCUUAAAAUAAAUAUAAUAAUAUAUUUUAAAAUAAUCUCUAUAUUUAAAAUUUAUUUAUUUUCACAUUUUAUAUAAAUUUUAUAAUAAAGACAAACAUACUAUUAAAAUAAUAUAUAAAAAAUUUAAAAGUAUUUUGAAUAUUAUAUAAAAUAACUAUAACAUUUUUUAAUACAUGAGAUAUAUUUUGUUAAUUUAAAAUUCUAUUUAAUCCAAAGAUUUAUUUAAGAUAAAUUAAUAAUAAUAUUUUUGAAAUUAUUUGAAAUACUAAAAAAUAUUUUAAUAUUACUAGUCUAUUAAAUAAAUUAAAUAUAUUUAAUAGACUAGUAAUAUUCUGAAAAAUAAUAAAAGAAGAAUUAAAAAAAGACUAGACAAUAGAGAUAUUCGAUUCUUUUAAAGCAAAUCGUAAUAUUCCACAAAGGAGUAAGAUCCACAAAAGCAAACAACCAGUUGGAUUCUUUUAAAGUGGAAUCGUUUAUUAAACAACAAAUUAAUGUUCAAAUAUUUAAAUAGCAGUGCAUUAGACGAUUAGACUGUCUUAUUAAAGGCGAGUAUAAAGUAGUCAAGAAUCGAAUAUCUCUAUUGUCUAGUCUUUUUUUAAUUCUUCUUUUAUUAUUUUUCAGAAUAGGUUUUGGUGAUUACAAUGGGUUAUUAUUCAGAGUUAUUGUUAUCUUCCGGGUCAAUUUCUGUUCAUCGAAGUCGUUAAUUCAAAUUUUAGAACUUUUAUCAAAAGAAUGUUUUUCGUUAUCUUUUUUAUGGUCUAAUUCCAAUUGUAAGAAGUAGUCAUUUUAAAAUUUGGGUCUUGAAUCGAAUUUCAGUGCAUGAAUUAAUAUUAAAAAAAAAUCACUACACACAGUUUAGGCUGCAGACUACUUUUUGCAAAUUUGACUCUGAAAAUUGGAGAAAUUAAGUAAUUUAGAAUGUUUGCAAAGAAAAAGACUAACAUACUUCCUAUUACACUAAAUCUCUAUUAUCAUAAUGUUGAGACUAAACUAACUUAAAUACGUUUUAUUUGAAAAGCUAUAUUAAAUGCAGCCUAAUUUUAUUAACCUGAAGAGCUAAUAGAAGUGUAGUUAUAAAAAUUAUAUUCUGACUUAAUUAGUACAAGUGAUAUAAAGGUUAAGUGUGCACUAUAUUUAAUAAUUAAUUAAUGGAGCAUGUUAAAUAAAAUGAUAAUUUAUAUUUAUAUAAUGUUAGGAAUAUGUAAAGUCUAAGUCCACAAGUUGCAUUAUCUUUAAUAUUUUCUCUCAAUUAAAUUCUAAAAAUACUUUACAAUUAUUUAGUAACAACUGUAAAUUAAGAAUAAAUUAUUGUCCCAAACAACAUUAAAAAAUAUUUUAUUCCAUUUGAAUCCUUUAAUUUUUUUUACAGUAUAUAGAUAAUUAUUACUAUGUGAAUGUAAGUUUCUUAAGAUGGGACCUAUAACAAUUUAGAACUUAUUACAACGGGGAGUUUAUUAGGACCAAAAUUUUUUAUGAGUACAUAAAGUUAUCUUGUAUAGAAUAUUAGUAUAUAGAUGUUUUACUGUAAUUAGUCUAGAACAUUUAAAAAAAAAAAACAUAUACCGUCCCUUGGAUGUAGCUCUUGGGUGACCAUGAAUGUUCUUUGUUCCACAUACGNNNNNNNNNNNNNNNNNNNNNNNNNNNNNNNNNNNNNNNNNNNNNNNNNNNNNNNNNNNNNNNNNNNNNNNNNNNNNNNNNNNNNNNNNNNNNNNNNNNNACCCUCUAUGGGAAUAAUCUAUUUAGUUAUAAAAAAUUAUGAUCCCAAUUUAGACUAGUUAUAAAUAACAACAAAUUCCACUUUGUAAUAAAUUAUAUUUUUUCUAUAUCUUAUCUUAAGAAACUUAUCUCUACAUAGUAAUAAUUAUUUGUAUAGGUAAGAAUGGAUCAAGAUCCUCUCCUGAUCUGAGCACUCCUGAUCUUUUACAGAUCUUAUACCACCUGUGUUUUACUGUUAGUGGAUGAUUAUGAUUUGACUAUUUUUUCUUUUUAAUUUAUUAAUCACCAAUUAUAUUAAUAAAAUUUGCUCAGAUGAAGAUCAGAUCAAGAAAGGAUCCUGAUCCAAUAAGAAUACAUGUUAUAUUAGACUAAAGGAACUUGUCUGCACAUAACGAUUAGACAACGAGCGAAAAUUAUUAAAGCGAAUGCAAAUAAUUAGAAUUUUUUAAGAUGACUUUGUAUAUUCACAAUAAUAAUUGAUAGAUACAUGUACCAACGUUUUAAUAUAUUUGACAUCCUCCAUUAAUAAAUCAUUGAUGUAAUAUAGACUUUAUCUCUAUAUCCUCACACUACGGACAACUAAGUCAUAAUAAUAAUUUUUGUAACUACAUCUCUAUUACUUCCUCAUAAUAAUAAGUUAAUUUGAUCUCUACAUUAUGACUAUGGAGAUUUUAUUGUAUAGGGACACCCAAUAUAAAUAGUAUCCCAACUAAAAUUGUCCCAAAAAAAAAAUCGCUAAAGGAUAAUUAUAAUUUUUUUUCACUUCUCAAACGUUGGUGGCAGUUGUAAGCUAAGUUGUCAAAUAUAUUAAACUACAAGUGCUGCCACCAAGUGCGAUGCUCUUUUCUAAAGAGAAGUACAGUGGGUCCCGAAUAGGACGUGCUUAAAUCUGUUUAAAUUUUUCCAGUAUAACUAACAGAGGUCAUUACUAGAAUUAUAUUACUAGCCUAUUAGAUAGAAAAAAUUAGUUAUAUUAUUUUAUAUUUAUUAAAAAAGUUUAAAGUUAAUCUUUUUAAUUACUAUUUAAAAGAUAUUAUAAUAAAAAAAUAGUGUCUUUACUAAAAAUUUAGAAAUUUAUUUGACCGUUCUCUAAACUUUAUUUAAUAUUAUUGAUUUAAAUAAUAUCUAAAUUAAAAAUGUACAGAGAAGAAAUUUCGGUGGGUAUAUUAGUCUUUUACUUUUAACGUUAGUGGCCUUCUUAUAUUUUAUUACAAAUUAAUCCUAACAAGAAAAAGCUAGAUCAUAUUCCACAAAAGCAAGAGUGACAAAACAUGAAAACAACCAACUGGAUUCUUUUAUUAAACUACAAAUUAAAAUUGUUUUUUUUAAUAAACUAUAAAUUAAAGCGGAUUCUUUUGAAUACAGGUGGGACAGACUUAAGCUCUUUUAUUAAAGGCAAGUAUAAAGUAGUCAAGAAUCGAAUAGUCUUUUUCAAAUUCUUGUUUUAUUAUUUUUCAAAACUAAUUUUUGGUAAUUACACUCGGGUCAUUAAUCAUUAUUCAGAGUCAUUGUUAUCUUCGGAGACAGUGGGUAAAAGAUAAUUACUGGCUGUUUUUCCUUCAAAAGUUAGUGGCUCAUGUUUGCAAGUGUGAAUGUGCGAUGCUCUUUUUCCAAAUGCAAUUACAGUGGGUCCCGAAUCGGAGGAUAAAAAUCCUUUUAGUUUUUGUAUUUUAAGAUUAGUAUAUAUUUAGUCUUUAUAUUUUUAAAAAUACCUCGAAACAUUCAUGCCGUUAAAGUAUUGAUACCACUACCAUUACUUUUCAUUUCUUUUAACUUAAUUUUACAAUAUUACCCUUUUAUAAUAAUUUUUUUAGACAUUAAUAAAAAAUAAUUAAAUCACUAAUUUAACUCUAAAAAAUAAAAAAAUUAUAUUAAUUUUUUUGCAAGCACCGUUUGCACACUUGGUAGGUUGCAUACAAUUUUUGAUAAUUAAAAAUUAAUAUAAAUUUUUAUUUUUAUUUUUAGGGUUAAAUUGAUAAUUUAAUUAUUUUAUUUUUAUUAAUGUACAAACAAAAAAAUUAUUAUUAAAGGGUAAUAUUGUAAAAAUAAGCCAAAAGAAAUGAAAAAUAACGGUAGAAGUAUCAAUACUUUAACGACAAGGAUGUUUCUAGAUAUUUUUAAAAAUAUAGAGAUUAAAUGAAUACUAAUCUUCAAAUACAGGAUUAAAUAGAAUUUUACCCCGAAUCGAACGUGCCUAAAUCUUUUUAAAAUUUUUGCCGUACAACGGACAGAGGUCAUUACUAAAAUUUCUCUUCCACAGCCCACAUCAGCUUCAGGAAUCAGUUUAUCAAACUCAAUCAAUUUUCUUUCUUAACAAAAUUCCAAAGAUGUGUAGCAUUUUUCAGAUCACAUGCGAUGGUGCUUUUUUCAAUCGUUGCUUGGAUUGCUUUCUUGGAAAAGCAGCAUACACACGUAACCUCCAAGAUAAUCUUGUGGCCUUGCAGACUGAAUUAAUGAAACUAAACGCAGCAAAGGACGAUCUGAUGAGGAGGGUCGUCAAUGCUGAACGUCAACAAAUGAGAAGGCUGGACGGAGUGCAAGUGUGGGUUUCGAGGGUGGAUGCUGUUACAACUGAAGCUAAUGAACUUAUCAGAGACGGCUCUCAAGAAAUUGAAAAAUUAUGUCUUGGAGGGUUCUGUUCCAGGAACUGCACGUCAAGCUACAAGUUUGGGAAACAAGUGGCUAAAAAGCUACGAGAUGUGGAGGCUUUAUUUGCCGAAGGGGUUUUUGAGGCGGUGGCUACCAAGGUGGUGCCUGAGAGAGCUCCAGAGCCUGUAGCAGAUGAAAGACCUGCCGAGCGAACAGUAGUAGGCUUGCAAUCACAACUUGAACAAGUCUGGAGAUGUCUUGCAGAAGAAUCAGCGGGAAUCAUUGGCCUAUAUGGUAUGGGCGGUGUUGGUAAAACUACACUAUUGACCCAUAUCAACAAUAAAUUUCUCGAGAGUCCAACCAACUUUGAUUGUGUGAUUUGGGUAGUAGUUUCAAAAGACCUGCGACUCGAAAAAAUUCAAGAAGAUAUUGGGAAAAAGAUAUGUUUGGUUGAUGAUGAUUUGUGGAAGAGUAAAAUUUUUGAAGAGAAAGCUGUAGCCAUCUUGCGGAGAUUAGGAGAGAAGAGAUUUGUAUUGUUGUUAGAUGAUUUAUGGGAGCGGGUUGAUUUAACAAAAGUGGGCGUUCCACUUCCCAGACCAAAAAAUACUACCUCAUAAGUCGUAUUCACAAGCCGUUUCAUCGAUGUUUGUGGUAGCAUGGAAGCUGGCAGGAAGUUCCAAGUAGCAUGCUUAUCAGAAAAGGAUGCUUGGGAACUGUUUCAAGAAAAAGUUGGGGAAGAAACUCUUGAGAGUGAUCAUGAUAUCGUUGAGCUAGCCCAAACCGUGGCCAAGAAGUGUGGUGGUUUGCCACUCGCACUUAUUACUAUUGGUCGAGCUAUGGCCAUCAAAAAGACAGCCGAGGAGUGGAGACAUGCAAUUGAAGUGUUAAGACGAUCAGCUUCAGAGUUUCCAGGUUUGGGAAAAGAGGUGUAUCCUCUUUUAAACUUUAGCUAUGAUAGUUUGCUGAAUGAGACGAUUAGAUCUUGUUUCUUAUAUUGUUGUUUAUAUCCUGAAGAUUAUGGCAUUCUUAAAUGGGACUUGAUUGAUUGUUGGAUUUCUGAGGGAUUCUUAGAGGAAUCUAAUAGGUUUGGUUGUUAGAGUGCAAUUUAUGCACUAGUUUUGCAUUAUUUACUUCCCUUAAUAUCAAUGUUUUGCACUUAAUAAUAGUGAUUUACUUGUGUUUUACUUUUGUAGGUGCAAUUCUAUUGAUUGAUGAUAAAAUUGAGCUAUAAGAUGAUGUUUAAGGAUGAUUGUUCUCUUGAAGAAAUUAUGAGCGUCAGAAGAACUUUGUUGAUAAGGCGUGGGCGCGUGCUGUCAACUGCGGACCUGCAGUUUUAGUUUAACGUGUUUUGUAUUUUUGGUUAUUUUUGUAAUUACGAAUUUAAUAUUUCAGAUAUUAGGAUUUUAUUUUAAAUAGAAUUCUAAAAGAGAAGAGAGAGAAAGUAUUUAAGGGAGGAAUCUAUUGUGAAAGGGGGAUUUUGGAUUGGAGAAAAAGAAACCCUAGAUCUAAUUUUUCUCUUCUCUCUAUGAGGAACUAAACCCAUUUUUCUGGUUGAAGGUUAAUGAAGCUUUGAUUCAUCACUACUGUGAGAUCUUUCUUGUGCUUUAAUUGUUUUAUUACUUUUUGGGUAUUUGUUUAUUCUCUGAAUUAUUUUCAUGAUUAUGUUUGUUAAUUAGGUAAUUGGCCACUAUUUAAUUAUCAACUUAAUCUAUUGUCAAUUAAAGGAUUCAUCGUAUGAAGAAUUUAAUGUUUGUGACAAAUAACAUAGCAGAGAGUUGUGUUGUGAGAAUAAACAAUCUAAUUUAAAUGAAUCAUCAUAUGUGUUGAUUAGGAUUUGGGUCUCUCUGGUUUUUCAGGCUGUCAAUUGAUUAAAUUCUAUGAUCGUAUCUAGGGUUGUCUAUUGAUUAGGGAAAUAACCAACGGUCGUACCUUGGUUAUCGACUAGUUAAGGAGAGAUUGGCUAUUAGAGGGUCUCAGUAGCUAUAACCGGUCUAUUCAUGAGUAAUAAUAAUCUAUAUUUGAAUCAAUGAUCAGUAGUCGAAUCAAGCUGAGUUAAUUCCUUCAACCAGAGCUUUCUCCAAUUUGAAUUACAACUUUAAUUUGCAUUCUUGUUAUUUUAAUUUGAUUUUUAUUAUUGUCAACAAUUCCCCUAUUUUACGUUUUACGUUUCAAAAGGAUUUAAUUAAUUACCGAUCUCUGUGGACACGACCCUGCUCAAUCACUAUACACAAUUUAUUUAGAGUAGGAAUUUACUUUUGUUGGCUUCGACACCCAUCAUUGGUGCAGAAAACCGAGGAUACUACAUUGUGGGCACUCUUGUUCAUGUGUGUUUACUAGAAGAGAUAGAAGAUGAUAAAGUAAAAAUGCUUGACGUUGUUCGUGAUAUGGCUCUAUGGAUAGCUUGUGAAACUGAGAAGGAGAAGAUAAACUUUUUGGUUUGUGCAGGUGCUGGAUUAGAAGAGGCACCGGAUGUUAAAGAAUGGGAAAAUGUGAGAAGAUUGUCAUUGAUGCAAAACCAAAUUGAAACUCUGUCAGAGGUUCCCACAUGCCCUCAUUUCGUCACUUUAUUUCUUGACUUUAAUGGGGAGUUGAAGAUGAUCGCGGAUGGCUUCUUCCAACUUAUGCCUUCUCUCAAAGUUUUGAAGAUGUCAAACUGCUGGAAUUUGAAAUUUCUUGUUGGGAUGUCAAAGUUGGGUUCGCUACAGCUUCUUGAUAUUUCACAGAACGCCAUAGAAGAGUUACCAGAAGAGUUGAAGUUGUUGAUAAAUCUGACAUGUUUGAAUUUGAGGGGGACAGGCCAAUUAAAUAAAAUUCCACGGCAACUAAUAUCAAAUUUUUCAAGGUUACGUGGGUUAAGGAAGUUCAUAACGUGUGCAAGCAGUCAACUCAAGGUUAGCACGUGGGAGAAUUUGCUGAGCUAAAGUUAGUUAAAUAAGCAAUGCCAGCUCAACAAAUUCAGUCAAGGUUUACUGAGAUUUUAUUCCUAUUGUUUUCUUUUCUGUUAACAAUGUAUAAAGGUGUUCUUUGUACUCAUUUGAUCAUUAAGAAAAAAAGAAAUAAAAUCUAGAAUAUUCUCUGAAGUUUUCUCAGUAAAACAGAGUAAAUUUUCUCAGUAACUAAACAGUAUAUAUCAGUGGAAUUUACGUUUUAUAACAUGGUAUCAGAGCCAAACAGUAACCAGCAAACAAUGAUGAGAAAUCUAGCAAUCAAUAAUACACAUCAACACACUCAAAUCAAUUUCUCUUUCACGAAUCCAAUUAAACUAGAUCGAUCAAACUACCUGCUCUGGCGUUCACAAGUUCUGGCUUCGAUUAGAGGUAAUCGACUAGAAGACUUCAUAACUAGAAUCAAAUCAACAUCUGAAGAAAAUAUUUUGUUAGCUGGAGUUGAUGGAUCUACACAACAAAUUGAGAAUCCUGAGUAUCAGAUCUGGAGAUCACAAGAUCAAAUUCUUCUUGGUUGGCUACUGUCAACCUUAAGUGAAGGUAUCCUUAGUCUUGUUAUUAACUGUAAAAGCUCAUUUUCUUCAGCUCAGAUAUGAACUGAACACUCUUAAAAAGGAGUCUCUUAGUAUUGAAGAUUAUUGUGUUAAAAUGAAAGCAAUAGCUGAUAAGCUUGCUAGUGCUGGUAGCUCGAUAACAGAAAAGGAUCUAAUGCUAACCAUACUCAAUGGAUUAGGAUCAGGAUAUAGUGAUAUUGCUACUUUCAUAACUGGUUCACGAAUGGAAUUUGAUGAUACUUAUGCAUUAUUGCUCACUCAUGAAACUAGGUUGGAACAAGAUCAUGAUGAUAAGAGUAUGUUCAAUGCUAACUAUGCAUAUACUAAUGCAUUUCAUCCUAAGGUUUAUUAUGCACAGCCUAGAGGAAAUUUUAAGAGAGGAGGUUAUUAUGGUGGUAGGAAUGUUUUCUCUGGUAGAGGGAAUAUGAAUUUUUCUCCAAGAAUGUUUAAUGGAGGUUUUAGAAGUGGUUUUGGUAGAGGAUAUUAUGUUGGUAAUCCUUUUAAUGGUAAUAAUUCUUUAGCACCAAAGAAUUCAUCAUCUGUUAUCAAGAAUGGAUCACAGAGAACUUUUAAUAACAAUCCAGGGGACUCAGUAUGUCAGAUUUGUCUCAAACUUGGUCAUACUGCUGAUAUUUGUUGGCAUAGAUUUGUUGAAGAUUAUGUGCCAAUGCCAAGGGGUUUUUAGAAAAGGAAAAGCACCCAGAGCAGCAUCACUACUAGAAAAAUAGCUUUUACUGAUACUUGUCUUGUGAUACUUUUCUAAAAAGUAUCAGCAAUUACAUAUAUUUGGGCCAUUUUCCGUGUUUAACAAACAAGUGUCACAAAUUACUGAUUCUAUGAUGUUUGUAUAUUAAACAUCAGAGAUCGUCGACACUAAGGUAUCAGAAACAACAAAAAAAAAUAAAAAAUCUAUUUUUGUUUUAGUUGCGACUCGAACCUAGGACCUCAAAACUAAAGUGCUUUAUGUUCAACCAACAAACCACCAUGCCAAAUUCAUAAAUUAGUUUGUGUUGAACAUGUUGAAAUUAUCAAAUUAAAUUAAUAUAGAAAACAAAAAUAUAAAAGCAAAAGAAAAAAACCCUAAAUCAACAUAAACAUAAAAUUCCCUAACUCCUAAAUCCAUGGCCAGCCGCCUCAUCUCUCUGGCGAUAUCCUUCUUCUUCUUCAUACCUCUAAAACUUCGAGCCCUAAAAUUCAAGGGUCCAUGUCAUAAGAAAUCCUACCACCACUGCUCAAAUUCUAACACCCAUACCAUACGAAACCCUAAUGAUCUACAUUAUGCAAAACAUCCACCAUGCCGCUAUGCCACAAGCUCACAAGACCCGCUUUAGAUCUCCACAUUUUGCUCACCCUACUCGAGUGCACACCGCCCCUCUCGCUUCGACUUCUCGGGAUUUCUUGUUAGCUGAAGUUUUGUUUUCUUCCGCUAAUUCGAUCUUCGAAAGGUCUCGGAGCUCCAAGUAACUAAGUAAGCUCGGUUUUCUUCUAUUCUCUCAGAUACUUGCUUACACAUUCCUUUUUUUUUCGUGUUAAAUUUUGUUGUUUCGUUGUGUUAUAUGGAUCGAUGAGAGUCACAGACUUUGACGAGACAAUGACGAUAUUGUUUUGGAGUUUCGUUUCGUAGAUCUGUGAUAGAGUCUCCUUUUUCAGAUAUUUCCUUUCAUUUACCAUAUUUGCACAAUUUGUUUUGUCAUUAAAUUAUUUGCGUUUGAAUGUACAAUUUUUGUUUUCGUUUUAUAUUUUCAAAUACUGUUUCUUGGAGCGAAUUAGUGGAGGAAUUUUUGGUUGAAGCAGAGGAUGGAUAACUUUUGUAUUUUGAACUUUGUAUGUUAUUUAUUAUUUGAACUUGAAGCUAAAAGGUGACCAAAUUUUCCAAAGGUUAGGGUUUGGUUGGCUUAUGUGAAAAUGCCGAACGAAUGUGUAUUAUUCAUACUCCAAUAUUGUAGGUGCGUCAAUGCACCUCCUUGCGAUGGUUGCAGCAACGAAACUGUAGGUCAAGGUUUGGGUACCCCAUUUCCUUCAAAGAUCCAAUAUGGAGCAACUCGAGUCGAGCUUUUUCGGUCAAUUUAAACAAAACCUUUACUCCUAAUUUAUUGUCUUUUGCUUUCUGUUUGUACCUGUAGGAGUUCAUAUUUUGUAAUGUUCCGUAAGUGUCCAAUAACUGGUUAAAUUAUGACUUAUGCUAGGUGAAGAUUUUGUGUUACAAUCCCCUUCAAUAGGCAAUCACUCUUUUUGUAAAUGUUCAUGGGUAAUUGCUUUGCCUUUGCUUCUGUUGUACUUUUGUUUUUGUGGGGUUUUAGUUAAUGGAUGUUGAGUUAUAUUUCAAUCAGUUUGAUUUCUCUGCAUAUUUUUCAUAUUUUAGUAUUAGAAGAGGUAUUUAAUCAAAUGAAGACAAAAACAAUUGUCGGCCAACCAACAAACUCACUUUAGUUUGUUGUGAAAUGAUUUUCUCUCUCUCUCUCGAUUUUCACUGGUUCUGUGGUUUUUUCCCUUCCACAAUGUGAUUUAGUUCUGUUCUAUUUAUGGAUGUUACCAACAUUUUAGCUUUUAAGAAACAGACAAAAAGAUUCUGAAGUUUGUUUCUUGUUUCUUACUCUGAAUUUCCAAGGCAUCUUAUUUGGAGAAAUGCAUUCUGAAUGGAGAAAUUUCUCCAAAUUUAUGAGAUGUGGUUCUGUCUUGCUGAAUGAACAUUGUAUUUCCUUCAAUGGUUUGCGAGCCAUUAAGUUAUUUGAGCAAACAAAAUUAGCAAUAUGGAAUCCUGUUUCUACAGGAUUAUAGUUGUAGGACUCUAGAAUUUAGUCUAGGUAAUGUUUUUACCAUUGUAAAAAGUAUCUGACAUUGGUGAUGUUUAAGCAUAUGUGUCAUUUCUUUUGGGCUUCACUUUGGAUCCUUUUUUUCUUUUUUUACAAACAAUGGAUGGUUAAAACCUAAGAGACUGAUUGAUUUUUGUUUUAAAUCCAGUGGUUAUGCCUUGUAAACUUUUGAGUUGUAUCAAUUUCUUUUCCUGGCCUAACUUGGCUAAAUUUAUGCUAUAUAAUUGAAUUCUACAAAUUUUGGCUAUGUAUGAUGUAAAGGUCAUAAGUCUUGUAUCUUCAUUUGUUCACCACAGGCUUGAUACUUCACAACUACCAUAAGUUAUGUCAUGCCAUGUCUUCUUUAGCAAUAUUGUGUGGCUUUGAGUAGUAUUAAUGUUUUUGUUUGUUAAUUCACGACUUAAUGGAACCAUUUUCCUUAUAAUCGAGAACCUUCGUGCGAGUGUUGUGGAGAAAUCUUAUGAUUCAUGUGUAGGUGUGUUUGCUUAAUGUGAUGACUUUUAUUAUGUGUUGUAGUUCUUGUGUCUAUAAGAGGAACCUUUGCUCCUAUGUCUAUUUAUCUCCGACUUUCAGUUUAGGCGUAAAUAGGUUACUCUUCUUUCUUUCUCAUUUUUUAAUUUCUAUGUUCUCCUAUGUCUAUUUACAUGGACUGCUUUGCUGCUUCUCUGCAGUGAAAACAACCCUGGUAAUUUACAGGAGCUUUUUUCACUUCAGAACAAUAGCAAGACAUCCCCUGCAGAUUUUUUAUUGAUUUUGCAUAGAUUGGUUUGUUGCUUUGGGUUGGAAUGCUACUGGAUAUAUGUCAGAAUUAUAGCGCUAUUGGAAGAUGGUGGGUUGUUGCAUAUGAGUUGGAGUGUUCCUGGGUAUGUAGCUAGAAUUAGAGUGCUGUUGGAAGAUGGUAUUGCUACUGGAAGUUUUGCUCAAAAACUUGUCGUUGGAAUACUUGCAUUAAUUUUUGGAAAUUUUAUUGGGUAACUUGGCUAGGUGGCUGAAAUUUUAAUUGCUUUUGUGUAUUGAAGCAUUUGGAUUGUGUAAUAUAUAUUGAUAAUAUUUAAAUGUUAUGAAAGGUUUUGAUAAAUAAAUUGAUUUUUGUUCUUAUUUCUCACAGCCUUUUAAUUCUAUCAACAAAUCAAUGGGUAAUGUCAUUUUGUAUAAUUAUUUUUUUAAAUAAUACAUAAAGUAGUGAUACUAUAGUAACAGUAUCACAAAUACUAAUAUAGUAUUGUAAUAUUUUGAUACCAUGGUGUUAUGAUUUUAAUGAUACUAUAGUAAUAGUAAUUACUGACACCACUUACAAGUGUCACUAUUUUUCUGACUGCCAGAUUACUGACACAAUUAGCAAGUGUCACUAAAAGUAAUUACUGACACUAUUCUAAUGUCAGUAAAGACCAUUUUUCUAGUAGUGCAUAUCUGUCAAAUUUUGAUGGUUCUGUUUCAAAUCCAAACUUUGAAGAUUAUGAGAACUUCAACUAUAUGCCUUCAGCUUAUAAUCCUAUGUCUGGCAAUAGCUAUUAUUCUGGUUUUGAUGCUUGUACUCCUGGAGUAGCAUUUAUGGCUAACUUUGAAGGAGUUGCUAAUGAUGAAUGGUACUUGGAUAGUGGGGCAACUCACCAUCUGGACAACAACAUGGAGAGCUUGCAGAUCAGUGAGGAGUUUAAGGGUACUGAUUAGCUCAUAAUUGGUAAUGGUCAAGGUUUGUUUAUCACUAAUGUUGAUUUUGCAUUUCUGUCACAAAGAGCAUCAAAUUACUUAUCUGCACAUUCCAGAAUAGCACUUAAGGAUAUAUUACUUGUUCCAUCAAUUACCAAAAAUCUACUAAGCAUUUCCAAAUUGACAUCUGAUAACCCUAUAACUGUUGAAUUUUGUGGGAAUGUUUGUUUUGUGAAGGACAUGAAUAGACAAGUUCUGCUGCAGGGACUUGCCGAAAAAGGUCUAUACAAGCUGCUGCUGAGUUCUAAUUCCUCUUCUUCAUUUCCUUCAUCUCAUCUUUGUCAUACUCAACUAAAUAAUUAUGUCUCAAUGUUGUCUAGCUUUCAAAGCUUUGAUAAUCCUUCUAAAGUUUGUUAUCAUUCUGUUUUCAAUAAAUGCAAAACCAAAUAUGAUGUAAUGACAUUGUUACAUAGAAAAUUUGGUCAUCCAAGUUCAAUGAUUCUGAUGCAUUUAGCUAAGUCUUGCAAGCAAUUAAAAAUCUCUCAAAAAGAUAUUCUAUCUUGUACAAAUUCUUUGUGUGAGGCAUGUCAGUUAGGCAAAGUUCACAGGCAAAGUUUUCCAGCAACUGAAACAAAAACAAAAGGAGUAUUAGAACUGAUUCAUACUGAUAUCUAGGGACCUUCACCCACUGUAUCUAGAAAUGGAUACAAGUAUUACAUUAGUUUUGUGGAUGAUUACACUAGAUACACCUGGAUCUAUCCACUUAAGCUUAAAUCACAAGCAUUUGAAGUUUUCAAACUGUUCAAGGCACAAGUUGAAAAUUAGUUUAAUACCAAGAUUAAGGAAUUACAAUCUGAUCUGGGGGAGAGAGUUUAGAGUAUUCAGUAAUUUCCUAAGUCAAAAUGGAAUCAAGUUUAGACAUUCAUGCCCUUAUACUCAUCACCAGAAUGGUCUUGUUGAGAAGAAACAAAGACACAUAAUUGAAUUAGCAUUAACACUCUUAGCUCAAGCUAAUCUCCCUUUUCAGUUUUGGUGGAAAGCUGUUCACACAGCAACAUAUCAUAUUAAUAGGUUACCAACACCUGUUCUUAAGCUUUUAUCUCCUUAUGAAAAGCUCUUUAAACACAAACCAGAUUAUUCAUUUCAUAAGUGCUUUGGUUGCCUAUGUUAUCCAUAUAUGAGAGAUUUAAAUAAACACAAAUUUGAUUUUCACACCACCAAAUGCAUCUUCAUUGGCUAUAGUCAUUCUUACAAGGGUUAUAAGUGUUUAACAAGCUCAGGAAAAAUUCAUAUCCUAAGGCAUGUUAUCUUUGAUGAAAAUACAUUCCCUUACUUAACAAACAAAGUCUUUCAUUUAUCCGAGAACAGUUCAAAUUCUGAAAUAUCAGUGUCAAACUUUUCCCAGUAACAAAUUUAUCAUCUCUCCACAUUAUCCUUAACUGACAGCAGCUUGGAAGAUCUUCAAUCAGCAAGUUCAGAAAGCAAUGAACAAGUACCUUCUGUUUCUGCACACACAAAUAAUCUGCAUCAACAAGAGCAUUCUCAAGAGCAUUCCUCAUCAACUAUACCAUUAUCACCAACACAACAACAAACUGAAUCACAACCACAAAAUGAACCACAUCUAUCUACUUCCUAGCACAUAAAUCAAACUCAAACUAGAAACCUUCCUUCACAACCAUCACAUUCAAUGGUAACCAGAUCGAAAAUAUGGAAUCUUCAAGCCAAAAGUUUACAUAACCACCUUAACCAACAAAGAACCCAGUACUGUUCAAGAAGCUCUAAGUGAUCAGAAUUGGCAUCAAGCUCUGAAAGAUGAAUAUGAAGCUUUGCUUAGGAAUGAAACAUGGUCACUAGUACCAUUUUCAGAGGUAUACAAGGUUGUUGACAGUAAAGGGGUUUUCAGAAUUAAACAAAACACAGAUGAGAGUGUAGCUAAAUACAAAGCCAGGUUAGUUGCAAAGGGUUUCCAGCAAACUAAUGGUGUUGACUACUUUGAGACCUUUAGUCUUGUGGUAAAGGCCUGCACAGUAAGAAUUAUUUUUAGUUUGGCUGUGAUGAACAAGUGGAAAAUAAGGCAAGUGGAUGUCAAUAAUGCAUUCUUAAAUGGAGAAUUGACUGAAGAUGUUUACAUGUAUAAGCCAGAAGGUUUCAUUGAUGAGAAAAAGUCCAGUUAUGUAUGCAAGUUGAAGAAAGCCCUGUAUGGCUUAAAACAAGCUCCUAGAGCUUGGUAUGAUAAGUUGAAAAACCGUCUGAUAAGUUGAAAAACUGUUUGAUAAGUAAUUGGGGUUUUCAAAAUUCCAGAGCUGAUACUUCUCUCUUCUUCAAAGAGAUUCAAGGCUCAAUAAUACUUGUGCUUAUAUAUGUGAAUGAUAUACUUAUUACAGGGCCUGACAUUGGAGAAUUAGAGAAGUUUAUCUUAGAAUUCAGUAAGACAUUUGCUUUAAAGGAUCUAGGAAUACUAUCAUACUUUCUUGGGAUAGAAGUCUCUUAUGCUGAUGGUUGUAUGUACUUAUCUCAGAGAAAGUAUAUUAAUGAUCUCUUGUCUAAAGCUGAUAUGUUGAACUGUAAAGGGUGUGAUACUCCCAUAGCGAUUGGACUGAAACUUCAAAAGGAGGUUAAAGGUUGUUUAGGUCAGUAUGUUGAGGAUGCAACCAGUUACAGAAGUUUGGUUGGAGGCUUGCAAUAUCUGGUGUUAACCAGACCAGAGAUAGCCUUUGCUGUGCACAAACUCAGUCAAUAUGUGACAGCUCCAACAUUGCAGCACAUAAUGGCCUGUAAACGAGUUCUAAGAUACCUAAAGGAAACCAUGGAUUAUGGUCUAAAGUUUUCAGCUGGUGGAGAAAUGGAAAUCACAGGUUUUAUAAAUGCAGAUUGGGCAUGCGAUAUUGAUGACAGAAAAUCUAUAGGUGCAUACUGUAUCUAUUUUGGAAAUAAUCUGGUGUCAUGGUCAUCUAAGAAGUAGUCUGUGGUGAUAAGGUCUAGUGCAGAAAGCGAAUACAGAGCUUUGGCUUCUGCAAGUGUAGAAAUAGCAUGGAUUCAAUCUUUGUUCAGUGAGCUAAAUAUAAGAUGUGUCUCAGUACUUAUCAUCUGGUGUGACAACAUGAGUGCAACAAAGUUAAGAUAAAAAUCUAGUCUACCAUUCACGUACCAAACACAUUGAACUGGAUAUGCAUUUUGUUAGAGAUAAGGUUUUAGCAGAGGAGCUGAAAAUUAACUUCAUUCAAAGUGAAGAACAGAUAGCCGAUGUCCUAACAAAACCUCUCACAUUCAUUCAUUUUAAUUAUUUCAUAAACAAACUCAAUGUGCAGCCAUGCCCCUUGAGUUUGAGGAGGGCUGUUAAGGAAGCUCAUAACGUGUACAAGCAGUCAGCUCAAGGUUAGCACGUGGGAGAAUUUGCUGAGCUAAAGUUAGUUAAGUAAGCGAUGUCAGCUCAGCAAAUUCAGUCAAGGUUUACUGAGAUUUUAUUCAUAUUGUUUUCUUUUCUAUUAACAAUGUAUAAAGGCAUGCUUUGUACUCAUUUGAUCAAUAAGAAAAGAAGAAAUAAAAUCCAGAAUAUUCUCUGAAGUUUUCUCAGUAAAACAGAGUAAAUUUUCUUAGUAACCAAACAGUACAGAUCAGUGGAAUUUACGUUUUAUAACAACGUGUGUUGAGAAUGUUGGGUAUUGGCCAAUUCAAUUUUCAUGAAGCACCAGAAGACAACGCUUUAUUUGGUGGGGGUGAAGUUUUGAUACAGGUAUUGCUCGGUUUGAAAUAUUUAGAGGUAUUGGAGUUGACCUUGGGAAGUUAUCAUGCUCUCCAAAUUCUUUUGAGCUCAAAUCAGUCAAAAAGUUGUAUUCGAUCUCUUCUCCUCCACAAGUUUAGAGGUACAACGCCGAUUAUUGAUGCUACGGCUUUCGCAGAGCUAAACCACCUCAACGAAUUAUUUAUUAAUAAUAGUAUUGAGUUGAUAGAAUUGAAGAUUGAUUAUACAGAGAUAGUACAAAAAAGGCAGGAACCUUUUGUUUUCCGCAGCCUUCACCGUGUUACCAUAUUUAGGGCCCGUUUGGGAGUGAGGUGCUGUAGCUUUUAAGCUGCAGUUGCUGUGGAGUAAAAGCUAUAGAUGUGGAAUGGAAGUUGAUGGUGUUUGGUAAAAGUGUUGUAGCUUUUAAGCUGCAACUACUGAUGGUGUUUGGUAGAGUGGAUGAAUAUUUGUAAUAAUUAAUUUUAAAUAACAUUAUUUUUAAUUGUUAACAAAUCAAUUAUUUUUCAUUCUUCAAAUUAUUAUAUUGACAUACAAUUACGAUUUAUUCCGUUACAAAUUAAAUUAAUAUUUAAUAAAUCAAAUUUAUUUUUUUGCACAAGUUGUAAUAAAUAAUUUAUAAAACACAUCAUGGGGUCAAUUAUAAAUAAUUUUAAAUAACUAUUAUUGACAAUGCCAACCGGGCAGUGUACAUGAUAUGCUUCUCCAAAUUGCUUCGGUUUGUACCUGAUAUGAUUAAUCGAGUAUUAUUUACAAUACCAAAUAUAUCUAAUAAAAAUCAUACAACAAAACAAAAUAAAAUUAAAAUGUAAUUAAUUACAAAAUUUGUAUAAAUAUUUCUAUUGUUGUGCCUCCAUUAAACUUGCAGCAAUGCCAUCUUUCAAGAUUAUUAUAUCUUGAGUUGUGCUAUCAAUUGUUUCAUAACUUUCUUCAUGAGAUGCAAUAUGUUCGCUAAUACUAUGACUUGGUUCAUCCGUCAUUUCAUCAAAAUGAUCAUUAUUUUGUGAAUAUCUUCUGAUAUAAUUAUGCAAGGCCAUGGUAGCAAUAACUAUUUUCACCUGCUUCUUGAAUGGAUAGCUUGGCAUACUUCGUAAAAUCUUCCAUGUAUUCUUCCAAACCCCAAAAGUACGCUCAAUAACACUUCUCAAGGAAGAGUGCUUGUAGUUGAACAAUUCUUUAUAACCCAUUGGUUGGCUACCUCUACGAAAUUCAGGAAGGUGAUAUCUUUCACCCUUAUAUGGUCCUAAGUACCCACAUAACUCCGGAUAUCCUGCAUCUACUAAAUAAUAUUUUCCUAAAAAUAAAAAGAAAAAUACAAAAUAAAUAAAACAAUCUAAUCAAUUGAAUAUGUAUAUAUAAAAGAAAAAUUAGAAACACAAACCUGGAGGAGGGUUUGGAAAAUUGAAUGCAGGAUUCGUAAUAGUUGUUUGAAAUACCCUUGCAUCAUGGGCACUGCCUUCCCAACCAGCCACUGCAAAUAUGAAUUGCAUAUCAAAGCUACAUACAGCCAUUACAAAUUCUUUUCCCACCAUUCCUCACUUGCAUCAACUGUCCUCAACCUAUGAUUCCACCCUAAACCAGUUUCUUUGCCAAUCAAAUUCUUCCACAAUUUCCAAUCAGUUCUAAGAGAAUCCCAUUUAUUUUUCAUUUGAGUUCUGUUGUAAUCUAAUCCAGUUUCUUUAGUGAACUCCUUAAUCAAAUUUUCAUAUCCUUGGGAAGUCAAAUGAGUCCCUGGACGAUGUCCGGCAUCCACCUCUUUAACGCAUAAGUCACAAAAUACAUCUAAAGUCUGGGGGUUCCAAGUAGCCUUACUAGUUGAGCUAUUAGACACAAUUUCAUACACUUAAACCUAGGAAAAAAAAUAUUUCUUUAUCAAACAACAAUACAGAAAAAAUAAGAAUAUAGAAGUUAAGAAAAUUACUAGAAUCUUGUUAUGGAUGGUGGAAGGAAAAAUAAUUCGAUAUUAAAAAAUUAAAAAAAAAGACAAACCAGAACAAGUUACCUUAGUUGUUACUUUACUUGAAAUACUUUUCCAGCAAACAAUAAUGAUCAUAGCCCACGAAUAGAAACAAUUACAAGCAAGUCAAUAAAGCAACAAAAGACAAACCAGACUAGGAAACAAAGAAAUUCAACUAAACAAUCAUUAGGUACAAACUGCAAUUGCAUUUAGCCUCACAAUCUCAAAUUUGCUACGUGCUUUGAUAUUUCCUGUACUAUUCUUUUGGCCCAUCCUAAGACAUAUACAAUUGCAAUUGCAACACUUUCUCCCUUCUUUUUUCUGUAAUUCGUAUGGCGACUUACGUAUAUAUAACCUAAUUAAUUGAAUUAAAUUGAUGAUGGGUUAGAAAAUCAUUAGGCUUAUUAAUUAUACGCGUCAAAAGAAUGGUCGGCCAAUAAUUAGGUGUCCUGCUUAUACUCCUGUAAUUUAGUCAUUCUCUAGUAAAUAUUAUUAAAUAAAAAGAAACACAAACAAUUAAGCUUAUUGGUAACUGAACUGGUGCCCAAAAAUAACAAGAGCAGGAGAAAGCAAACACACCCAAGAAUUUGACAAACUUCAACUUGAAAUCCAGAAUUUGACAAACUUCCUUUUGUUUACUGAAGCAUAGUAUUUCAUAACGAAGGCAUGCAUUUUAUUAUUUAAUGUCUUGUAGAACUGGAAACUCAAAUCAAACAGGGGUUGUGCAUGUUUAUAAAAAGCAACUACAAAAAUAAAAACUACAAUAAAAACAAUGGUUACAAGCAAAUAAAUCACGCAUGACCCAUCACCCAUCAAUUUAUUCUAACAAAAGCCCCAACAUUUUAUGAAUGAAAAGGAAGAAAAUGAAAAAUUGCUUGAAAUAGAGUAAAGGAGUACUCAAAAAUGAACAACAGAUAGAGGAAAAGGCACCACUGACAGAGGCGUAUGAGAGUGGCCGGUGUCGGAAUCGCGCCGAUGAGAAUUUCGGUGUCAGAAUCGCAUCAAUUGGAACUCCCACAGUCGGAAUCGUGCUGAUGAGAAUGGGUGUUUAGGGUUUGUUUAAAAAAAUCGAUUUGAAAUAGAACUCCCACUGACAUGACUGUUUGAUAAAAUGAAAAUGGAAUAAUAUAUAAAGUUAAUUUAGUAAUUAAACUUGCAGCUGGGAAAAAAAAUCUGUCAAGUUGUCAAAACACAACUAUAAGUGGUACCAAACACUUUGGUGGCUGGGCUGCUCACCACACUCCCAAACGGGACCUUAGUUGCGGUAAAUUGAAAGAUGUGACAUUCCUCGUUUUUGCUCCAAACCUCAAGUCUCUUUGGCUAUUCGAUUGCGGUGCUAUGGAAGAAAUAAUCAGCGUCGGAAAAUUUGCUGAGACUCCUGAGAUGAUGGGACAUAUAAUCCCUUUUGAAAAUCUCCAAAUGCUUAAUUUAAUGGAAUUGCCGGAGUUGAAGAGAAUUUUCUGGAAGCCAUUGCCUUUCACUCAUCUGAAAGAAAUAUCUGUGGGUUAUUGCCGUAAUCUUAAAAAGCUUCCACUCGAUUCCAACAGUGCAAAAGAGCGUAAAUUUGUAAUUCGUGGAGAAGAAGACUGGUGGAACCGACUUCAAUGGGAGGAUGAAGCCACUCAAAUUGCUUUUCGUUCCUGUUUCCAACCUCGUUCCUGAGCGGUGGUCGCAAAAUUUGAUUUCUGGUGAGUGCGUUUUUGUUAACGCUUAUGUUUUUAUUCCAGUGUGUUUUUCUUCUGUCUUCUGCAAAUCACGAUUAAAUGUUGAAUAAUAUGGAAUCAAUGCUUUAUAAAUUUUCCGGCGUGGCCAUUUCCUUUUCCCUUUUUUUUUUUGGGGGGGGGGGGGGGGCGUGGUUCGAUUGAUGCUCUGGCUUUUUACUUUUUGUCUUCGAAUUUUGCUCUGUUUUUCAAAUUGAUGCUUGAAUAGUUGAAUUCAAUUAAUGCUCACAUAAAUUUGUUUAGUUGCCGUAAAACGGUAAAAGGAUAUAAUUAGAUUGAAAUUCGCACUUCUAGAAUGAAUAGAAUUACAAUAGAGAAAAUAUUAAGUAUACAAGCCCUCUUUACAGAAAAUCAAAUGAAAAUAAAAUUUUUUGGAUAUUUGAUUUUCUAUGGUCUACUGUAUACGCUUUAUAAAUUCCUCUGCUUUAACGAUAACCAAAUCCUUUUUUCAAGGAUUUUUAUUUGGGGUAUUGAUAAUAGUCCACCAACAUAGUGAACGCUUGGAUGCUGCUUAAGGAUCUCUAAUCAGUAGCUGGAAGCAAAUGAGAAGGCGGUCGCUACUUUGUACAAAGCCAUGCAGCAAUUGCUAUUCAUUUUCAAACAAAGUUGAGAUGUUAUUUUCAGAUUUGGUUCCAGAUUUUGUAUGAAUAUCGUUGUUCCAUUGAGUUGUAUAUGAAUUCAAAUGUAAAAUAUUCUUUGGUUUUCAAUUUUGAAUUCAAUUUCUUUUUCUUAAGCAUGUUGUGCAGAAAUGAUUUCUACUAAAUCAUUUUUGAUAAACUAUUUAAAUUAAACAACUGGAAUAAGAACUGUAAGGAUUUAUCGUAAGCAGACUAAUAUGAUAAUUCUGAAACUAUCAUUUUUUUUUUUUCAAUUUGUUGCAGGGAAAGCCAAAUUUUGCGUUUUUCAGUUUUAUCUGAUAUGGGCUUUAUUUCCUCUACACUAGCUACCUAAAGAUUUAUCAAAUUGCUUCUCUUCCCUGCUUCAAAUAUCUUCAUGGCAUCAUAGGAAAAGAGAGUUUGGGUUGUAUUUAUUAUAGUUUUUAUUUUUUUUUUUGUUAUAAGCAAAUUUAUUUUAAAUACUUUAGUAGUAACAGUUUUUAUUGAAUAAUAAUGAGGGAUGAUUAUUAUAGGUUCAAAUAGUUGUUAGAACAUUAUAAAAAGUCUAUUUACUAUCAAAUGUUUUAAAUUGAUGCAACGUGAUAAUUGUCUCAUAUAAUUUUUUUAUAAUAUAUAUGUCCCAUAAUCUUAACAUGAAUAAAUGAAUUUCAACGGUUAAAUUUGACACGAUUAUUAAAUAGAUCAUAUCUAUAUUAAUUCGAUUUAAAAUCUGGUCACAUUUGGAUUUAGAGUUUCUAACAUGAUAACUUGUUUUAUGACAUGAUUUACUAAUCAAUUAAUAGUAAAUCAAAUGUCAGUCAAUUAAAUAUGUGGUACAUUUGUCAUAUUUUAAAAAUUAUUUAUUUAUAUUUGAAAUGAAUUUGGUGCNNNNNNNNNNNNNNNNNNNNNNNNNNNNNNNNNNNNNNNNNNNNNNNNNNNNNNNNNNNNNNNNNNNNNNNNNNNNNNNNNNNNNNNNNNNNNNNNNNNNAUAAGACGACGCGACACAAAUACAACCAACAAGUCAACCCAAAUUGCCACCUUUUACUAUCUUCUUUGUGUUAUUUCUCUAAAAAUUUGUGCCUUCUCUUACACUUUUAAAUCUGAAGUGUUUGAACUGGAGUACACAAAUUAUCUCUCUACAAUUCCAAAACAACCAAUUUGUUACUUGGUAAAUCUUAAUCAAUGGCAGGAAGCAAUUGAGAAGGCGGUCGCUACUGUGUACAAAGCCAUGCAGUAUUUGCUAUUCAUCUUAAUAAUUGUUAAGCUUUGGUAAAAUUUUCAAACAUAGUUGACAUCAUGUUGUUUUGAGAUUUGGUUCAUGAUUUUGUAUGAAUAUCGUUGUUCCGUUUGAGUUGGAUGUGAAUUGAAACCUAAAUAUUCUUUAUUUUUCAAUUUUGAAUUCAAUUUCUUUUUCUCAAGCAUGUUAUGCAGAAAUGAUUUUUACGAAAUCAUUUUUGAUGAAUUAUUUAAAUUAAACAAUUGGAAUAAGAAUUGUAACGAUUUAUCAUAAGCAUGCUAAUAUGAUAAGUUGUUUUACGAACGAUUAAUUAAUCAAUUAAUAUUAGAUUAUAUAUUAGUCAAUUAGAUAUGUGUUACAUUUGUCAUAUUCUAAAAACUAUUUAUUUAUAUUUCAAAUAAAUUUGACCAGAGGUUACGUAGGUAAUACUACAUAAUUUCUAAAGGAAUGUAAAAAUUUAAAGUUUUAUUAAAUAGGUGACUCAAUAAUAAAUGGAUUUCUGCAAGAAUUGAGAUUCUUGAGAUAAUUAUUACAUAGGGAAUUUUGGUUAGUUCAAUUUUGACAUGGUAAGAAGACGACACGGCGCAGAAAACCCAAAUUGCCACUUCUACUAGUAAUAAAAGAUACCUGUUUGAAAAGUAAUUAUAAACUAUCUUCUUUGUGUUAUUUCUCAAAACUUUUGUGGCACAAUGUUAUUUCCCUGGAGAAAAGUACGAAAUACCCCCUUUCACGUCGGCAGAAGCAAAGCAAAGCUAUGAGCUAUCUCUGUAUACUUGAAACGCCAUUGCUAAACGAUUCUCGAUGAUGGGUGCCACUGGGUCAGUGUUGUCUCUGAUUUACAUGAUUUAUUAGUUGUCCAGAUGCCAGAGAAACCAUGGUGGCAUUGAAGUUGCCCAGAUGGUUAGUUUUCUGAUCAUUUUUUUAUUCAAUUAUUUAUUUUUUUAGAAAAAUGUGAGAAAUAUGUAGAAAUGUUGACAGCUAUGAUUUUGAAACUUUGCCUAAAAUUGUUAUCAUCACUUAUUUAAAGAGAAAUCCUAGAAACAUGAAAUGAUUAGUAGCCUAAUUCAAAAUUAGACGUGAUUACAACAAGAGAAAAGUGGAGAGAACUUGAUAAUCGAGUGCAUUUAGAAUUUAAUUUUUCUUUUAGCUGCCGAUCAUUAAAUUUUCGAUUUCAGAAAAUUAUACCUAGAAUAUUUCAAGGAUAUACUAUGAAGAUUAUGAAGGUUUGAUUACAUGUCACUAUCAAUUGCCCCAAUCAUUUGUAGUAAAUUAAUUGAUCAUUUUGAUGCAAAUGAUUCCCUACUAAAAAAUUUAAGUCAAGGCUGAAUUGCAUAGUAGUUAGUCGCGCUUGCACUUCAAAUUAAGUAUUGUAUUUUCUGCCUGGUUUGGUUGAUUAAAGUGUGUGCAUUUGCUUUUGAACGUUGUAGUAUAGAAAUCGAAACAUUUGUUUUUCGCUAAGCCCAGAAGCAAAGUUCUUUGUACUGUACUCAUCACUUCUCUUCAUUCUCUUUGUUGAAAUUUUUUCCAAACAGCGGUUUCUUCGAAUUUGUGCCUUCUCUUCCACUUUUAAAUCUAUCAAAGAACCGUUACCUGAGAAGAUUGCCAUCAGGAAUUUCUAAAUUGAUUUCACUAUAAUACCUUAAUCUUUCAGAUACUCCCGUCACUGGGUUGCCAAAAGUGCUAAAAGCCUUCGUAAAUCCUACGUGUUUGAACUGGAGUACAAAUGUUAUCUCUCCACAAUUCCAAAACAACUGAUUUGUUACUUUUCAAUGCUACACGUUCUGCGAAUGUUCAGUUGUGGUUAUCUUGCUGAAAUACCAGAAAAUAGGGUUCUAGUUGGCGGUAGUGGAUUCUUGGUUGGGGAAUUGCUUAGUUUAAAACAUUUAGAUGUAUUAAGCAUCACCUUAAAAGGUUUUUCUUCUGUCCAAAAACUUAUGAGCUCCCAACAGUUUCAAAGCUGUACAAAAUGUUUGGAGCUUAUAGACUGUGAUGAUUCAAAGUCGUUUGCCUUGGCAGAGUUGAAGCAUCUUGAAAAACUAGGUUUUUCAAAUUGUGGAAAUUUGGAAGAUAAAUUACAUUUAUAAACUGUGGAUCGCCCUUUAUAAGUAUUAGGCUUAUCCCAUACUCGAGCAAUGUGGAAUACCUUUAUAAGCAUUAAGCCUCUCCCAUACAAUUUCUGUACAUGACUUUAAAAGUGGUUGAUGACCCGUUUUGUAAUAUCAUAGAGGGAUCAUGAAUUCCUUUUCUUUUCUGUGGCUAGGCAACACUUUUGGGCCAAAGUAAGGAAAUCUAUUUUAGGUAAUGUAAAAACCAGUUGUGGGAUGUAAUAGUUUAUUAUGCACUGACAACAACUUUUUGUAUAAUUGUCAGUUUAAUGAAUACGAGAGGAACUCUGUUGGCAAAUUCAUCCAUGAUAGAUGCUAAAAUUAUACCAGUUGCCUUAACUAAUUUUUCUCAACACUGGUAUUGAACAGGAAAAUGAAUAUGCAAUUUGUAUUUGUGCCAUUGUGGAGAAUUUGGAUAUUCUUAGUUUUAGUAACAAGGAGAGUAUUUGCCUCAUCUUUAAACAAUGAAUCUUUGAGAAAUGAGGACUGGGUGAUUGGCAGUGUCAGAGUGUCUUCAUGUAAAUGUUCAUUUAUUUGUAUUUUGAACUAUUAUUAGAAUCUUUAUAUGCCAAAUUAGUAAUACAAAUGUUCAGAUGAUUUUUCCUGGUGAUCAUUUCAUUCUUGAGAGCCAUGUACAAUACUAGGAUACCAGAGAAACCAAGGUAGCAUUGAAGUUGCCCCAGUGGCUAGUUUUCCGAUCAUUUUUUAUUCAAAUUUUUAUGUUUCAGAAAAAUGUAAGAAAUUUAUAGAAAUGUUGAUAGCUAUGAUUUUGAAACUUUGCCUAAAAUUGUUAUCAUCACUUAUUGUUUCUUAUUUAAAGAGAAAUCCUAGAAACGUGACAUGAUUAUUCCAUACUUGUUUUAAUAUUAUUUAUUAGCAGCCUAAUUCAAAAUUAGACGUGAUUAUUUGUUACUUUUAAUGCUACAUGUUCUGGGAAUAUUCAGUUGUGGUUAUCUUGUUGAAAUACCAGAAAAUAGCGUUCUAUUUGGUGGUAGUGGAUUCUUGGUUGGUUUGAAUGUAUUAAGCAUCACCUUAAAAGGUUUUUCUGCUGUCCAAAAACUUACGAGCCCCCAAAAGUUUCAAAGCUGUGCACAACCUUUGGAGCUUAUAGACUGUAGUGAUUCAAAGUUGUUUGCCUUCGCAGAGUUGAAGCAUCUUGAAAAACUAGGUUUUUCAAAUUGUGGAAAUUGGAAGAGUUUAAGUUCUGCUGUGUUGAGGAUGGAAAGGCUCGAGAAUGUUUUCGUGUGAACAGCUUCAACGAGUUAAGAUAAAGGCUUGUCAUAAAUUGAGGGAAGUGACAUGGCUUGUAUUUGCUCCGUAUCUUGAGGUUAUUCAAAUAGCCAAAUGUAUGGGGAUAGAAGUAAUAAUCAGUGCAAGGAAAUUGGGUGAAGUUCCAGAGAUGAUGGCAGAUCUAAACCCUUUUGCAAAACUCCAAUAUCUUGGCCCACGAGUUCUACCAAAAUUAAAAAGCAUCUAUUGGAAUCAGUUGCCCUCUCUACAUGUCAGGCGAAUUUUGUGUCUGAAUGCCCAAUUCUCAAGAAGCUUCCACUUGGUUUUAACAAUGCAAAGGAAUCUAAAACUAUCAUUAGGGGAGAAGAACACUGGUUGAAUGAGCUGCAAUGGGAGGACAAAGUGACCCUUAAUGUUCUUCUUCCUUGUUUCGGAUCCAUUUGAAGGCAUCAACAUGGAUUGAUACUUUGCAGUGGAGAAAUUUGAAUAAAACCUAUGGUAAGCGCUUUUCCAUUUAUUGCAUAUUUAUAUCUAACUUUUGUUUUCCUUUGUGGUUAAAUUUUGCUCUAUAUACGUUGUUGUACGGUGACAUUCUCAUAUCAAUUAUUAGCUUUUUAAUUCUCUUCUCACAUUAACUGCCCUUUUGAUCAUGUAGGAUAUGCUGAUGUCAAAGAGUCGUAAUUUGGGAUGCAAAUGUAAGAAUUAGACAGAUGACCAGUUGUUUUGAAGCGCUCGAAGAAGGAUUAAUUACGUCAUUGAAAGGCUCCAAUUUUGUGACUUUUUUUUUUAAUUUGUUGUUUUUUCUAUUUUUAGAUAGCUUGAUUGUCAGUUGUCGUGAUGUAAUGCUUUAGUGUAGAAAAAUGAUAUUCGGCCAAGACAACAUUAGCAGGGCACCUUGUGCAUGCAUACUAGUGGAUAAUUUCGGCAUGCUAAAUCCAAUUAGGGUGGAUGACCCUUUAUAAGCAUUAGGCUUCUCUCAUACCCGAAAACAAUGUAGAAUACGCUUAUAAGCUGCGGAUCACCCAUUAUAAGUUUUAGGCUUCUCCUUUACUCGAGCGAUGUGGAAUACCUUUAUAAGCAUUAAGCUUCUCCCAGUAUCUUUAUGUUAAAAAUAAUAAUAAUAAAAGAAAUCCAUUUUAAAAUAGACUCUUUUUUCUUUUUCUAUAUAAACAAAUGCAUUCUUCAAAUCAAUUGUGGGCAGAAGAAGUUAGUAGAAAAGAACUAGUCCCCUUUCAUUCCCCCUUAAAGCUCACCAAAGCCUCUUUUGUAAGCUUUUCGGAUUUUCUUUCUAUAUUGCUUAUGAUCUCAUUUUUGAUUGAAUCACUUCUUUUGCAUGCUGCAUAUUUUGUUUGUUGUAUUUGGAUAUUAUCGUAUCUGGAAUGCUGUUAUGAUUGAUGGAACAAGUAAUCGAUAUUUGGUCUGAUGGAAGUUGACUUAUUUAUUUAUUGUUAUUUUAAUUUGAAACUAUGUACAAUUGCAUUUCAUUCAUUUCUCUCUCUCCCCCCCCCCCCCCCCCACACACACACACAUAUAUUUGUUAUGUAUAAUUGCGUUUCAUUUGAUAUUGAUCAUGCUGUAGAUAACCAUGUGAUUGUAGAUGGGGAUUUCAAGUUUGUUGAAUAUUCAAGUAAGUGAAGUAACUGUCAAAAUACUAGUGAAAUUGGGAGCUUUAUUCAUGAGCUUGUGGUUUUGAAAAGUACCACAGUUCAACCGAUGAAGGUUCCUUUUUGGGGUUCUUCUUUUUCUAGGCUGCAAUUAGGAUAUGUACAUGUUAGACAAUCUUUUGCGGGUUUAGCAUAUCUUCUCUGAUUUUGUCUUUUAUUCCCCAAUCUUAUAAUUGCACACCAUGAAUGUUGAGUGAUUGUAUAGAAAAUUUGUGUUAUAACCAAAGCGUUGUGAAGGAGUUAAGUUAGUGGCUUCUGUUUUAUUGGCAUUGAUUGGGUAGAUUAUGUGUUACAGUGAUUCAAUUUGUGCUCCAAAGUUUGCUUUAAUUUCUUUUUUCCCUAAUUAUUUAUGUCAAAUUUAAAUCCAGAAGCAUGUACUGAUUUUUUCUUUUUGUAUUAAUCUGUGAAGGUUAUUUGGAAUGGAAGUAUCUGGGUUGGGUCUAACGGAUUAAAUUAUGACAUUGGGGGGAAGGCAGUAAAGGGUUUGCUCGACACAUUUGGUUCUGUGUUUACUUUGCAAGAAAUAGCUUUUGGUUAUCACAAUGCCGGUGGAAUCCCGAUUUGGCUCGUGAAUUUCUUUGUGACAAAUAGGCAAACACAUCAACCUCUUCUAUCCAUCCUUCUACUGGUAAGGCAAGGGGUAAAGAGUCUUCAAAAUCAUCAAAUAGUAACAUCUCUGAGAAUUCAUUUUAUGCAAAUGGAAAAUCUAGACCUUCUAAGACAAAAUGGCGUCCUGUAUCAGGAGGUACCGUUUCAAGUUUUCUUGGUAAAAAUUAUGUUAAACCUGCACAGCCAGCUAAUGGCACAUUUCUAGCAUCAAAGCCAUUGAAGUUGGAUCCAAAGGGGUUUCCCAUGUCUCCACUUUUGCGGAGAAGAUACUAAACUGAAACAAUCAAAGGAUGACCAUUUGCAGAAGGAUAUGGAAGAUUUUCUGUUUAAAUUGCUAGGAGAAGUGUUCCUAUUGUCCUUUUCAAUGUUCUUUCUUUCUUUCUCUUCUUUUCUUCUUCUUCUUCUUUUUUCUUUUUGUGUGCGUGUGAUCACUAAUUUGGUAUUGUAGUUUAGUUGCAGAUAGUUGUGGAUAUGAUAUGCAAAAGGUAAGGACUAUAUCUUCCUGAUGGAGGCCUCUGCUUUUUCCUUUAUGUGUAAUUUAAUAAAUUGCAUCUUCCUUUGUGAUUGUUAUAUCAUAUCAAAGACAAGUCUUAAAUACUGCUGUCAUAUGUUAAGGUUCAACUUGCAGUUUGAUUAACAUUCAUGGCUCAAAGGCCUGAAAAAACUUGCCAGUAAUUGUAAAAUGACAUUCUUUGCUUUUAAUGCAAUAGAGGGAACAGGGAAGUAUAGCUUUGGAAGCCUGGAUUGGUAACUAUAGAGAGACUUAGUAUUUAAUUGAUAAAAAUUCCCAUAACCCAAGGUCAAGAAAAUUUUAGAUCGUUAAAGACUUCAUUUUGUUUCGGCCAGAAAUGUUUGUUUCGAUCGAAGACUUGAACCAUUUCGAUUGAACCUGAUUAUGAUGCUUUACGUUAUGCAUGUUCCUCUUAAUCAAGAAAAGUUGAGGUGAUGAUUUUAUAUUUCUAUAUUGUAAGUUGAAAUAAUAAUUGGUCUGCUUGUUUCUGUAGCUUGAUAACAUGAAUUUUCCUUCUCAAGUUAAUUUAAUCAAUAAAGUAAUUCUUCAAAGAAAAUAUGCCCAUUCUAUAAUCAUUUUCUUAAUUAACAUGUUUUUUUCUUCACACUUCAGAGCAUGUUGAAACUAAUUGAUCGCUCGGCAGAGACUUUGGGUGAGAAGACAAAAUUUCUCGGUAAAUCCUCUGAAAAGGUAUGCAUAAUUCCGCAGUAUUAAAUAACCAAUGGUCAUAAUUUUUGUACAGGACUCUUUUCUUGUGGAGAUAAUUAAAAGUGGCUGAUGAUCCAGUUUGUAUAUCAUAGAGGGAGCAUCAAUUCCUUUUGUUUUCAGUGGCUAGGCAACACUUUCAGGGCAAAGUAAGGAAAUCUAUUUUAGGCAAGUAAAGCCAUGUAGAUGUAAUAGUUAACAUGCACUGACAAUAACUUUGUAUAAUGUCAGUGAACGAUACAAGAGGAAUCUGUUGACAAUCAUCCAAGAUAGAUGCUAAAAUUAUUAUGCAUGCCAGUUGCUUAAUAAUUUUCUUACACUGGUAUUGAAGAGGAAAAUGAAUAUGCAAUUUGUAUAUGUGCCAUGUGAGAAUUUGGAUAUCUAUCUAAGUAACAAGGAGAGUAUUGCCUCAUCUUUAGACAAUGAAUCUUGAGAAUUUGGAUAUUCAUGUAAAUGUUCAUUUGUUUGUAUUUUGAACUAUUAUGAGAAUCUUUUAUAUGCCAAAUUAGUAAUGCAAAUGUUCAGAUUAUUUUUUCUGUUGAUCGUGCAUUUGUGUCUGCACACAACCAUUGUAUAUCACUUCAUUCUGAUGCGCAAGUGUCUGUAGUUUAGAAGAAAAGAAAUAAUAAUGAUAUAUUAUUGCUUGAUUCAUGAUUAUUAAAUGAUUAUGGCUUUAAAAAACCUACAAAUUCCUUUUGUUGAUAUAUGAAUGUACCAAGUUUGCUAUAUCUUAGAUUACCAUUUCCAAGAUAACAAGUUCAAAUUUUUUCUUUAUCCUUUUCCUUCACAGUUGCAUUUUAAGUGUAAGAUUUGUUAUUAAUACCUGGUUUCCCGUCAUUAUGAUUUCAUAAACAGUGUAUGGGUAUGUGCUCUACUUUUGGAGGGCCUCCACGUGAAAGAAAAUUGUAACAAUUGAAUUCUUCCGGAUGGUAUGGUAUUUAAUUUAUUUUCUCAACCUCUUGUAAGACUAAUAUAUUUUCCUUUAGUAGACACGGCAUGGUGGGAAGGGUUUUUUAUUGAAAGAAUUCUGAUAUUUCUUAGACUUUGUUUUGGAAGGGGGUGCAGGGGUUUCUCAUCCAUAUAUGGUUACUUGAUUAGCUUUUGACUGUAUUGCCUCAAUCGUGCAAAGGAAGAUCCAAAUACAAACGAAAGAGAAUUGUUUAGACACCCAGAAGAUGGAAAUGAACUACAGAAGGAAGUUUUUGCUGCUUUAUUUAGUGCUCCUGAGAAAUCUGAUGAAUUUCCUGAAAUUACGGUGAAGACCAAGUGUGAGGUCCAAAGCAUUAGGAAAGGUGGUGAGUGAACUGCCGGAGCAAUUGGUACAGAAUACAAGGCUAAUGUGGUGGACUUGCAGCAAGAUAACCGGAACAGUACGUGCUCUUAUAUUAACUAUAUUGACUGGAUUUGCUAGUGUGUGCAUUUUCGUGUGUAUACUUUUGUAUUUAUGCAUAUUAAUGUGUGUAGGAUUCUUGAUUUCUGCCACUUAUUGGAGAACUAAUGGAAAGCUUUAUACUGGUAUAUCUGCAAUAACUAAUGGAAACUAUGAUAUUAAUAUUUUCUCUCGCUUGGAGAAUGCGUAACAGAUAUACUUUGUGGCUCUGGAAUACUAAAGAUUCUGCAAUAACUAAUGGAAACUAUGAUAUGAAUAUUUUCUCUCACCUGGAGAACUUUGUAACAGUUACACUUUGGGGCUUGGAAUGUCUAAAGAAUUUUGUCUGCUUCAGUUAGAUCAAAUAUCUUUUAGUUACAUACAUUAUAGAAAAGAUAAAGUUCUCUGAAUCUGAAAGACUUAAAAUUUUGCAUAUUUCUUGAUAGGGAAAUAUCUGUAGAUACUAGUUCAUGCAUUGUGGUAGCAUCAGUGUUAAAGAAAAACAGCAGUAAGUUAUUAUAUAGAAUUAGGUUCACUUGCUUUAAAUCCUGGUCUGGUCAACCAUAUGAACCUGUAAGUGGUUCUGUAGAAAUAUAUAUAUACGGGGAGAAAGUAGCUAAAUUUUCCUUUCAUUUAUGGGUUUGGUCAUUUUUUCCCCUUAUUUAUGUUUUCUCACACAUUUUUUAAAUGCCCCAGACAUGCAAUUUUGUAUGUGUCAAUUGCCUUUUAAGUUUUAAAAACCAUAAAGUAAGAAUACAGUUUCUUGUCAGGCUAUUGAUGCAUUUGCUCGGGGGGAUCAUGCUCGAGCAGGAAAACUUCUAGAACAGGUAAGGUUUCCAUCUACAGCCAUUUAUUGACAACAUAUAUAUUUUCAUUCAGCAAGCACUGUUAGCAUUCAAGAUGCUGGCAGAUUCACUUGAUUCUUAUUAGUUUGUUUAGUAGCAAAGCAUAUAACCUGUAUUUUAAAGCUAAGUUGUGCUAUUGAUUAUGUUAACUUUAUUGUUCACAUAAAGUGAUAUUGAGGAAAUAAUCAAUGUAGGAAAAUUAGGUGAAGAGAUGAUGUCAAAUCUUGAACCUCUUACAAAACUCCAAGUUCUUUACUUGAAGAAGCUACCAAAUUCGAACAGCAUCUACUGGAAGGCCUUGCCAUUCCCUGAUGUAUGCAGAAUUUUUGUAUUUAAAUGCCCAGAGCUUAAGAAGCUGCCACUGGAUCUUGAGAGGGCAGGCCAAGGUAAAAUUCUUAUCAAGGGAAAGAAAGAUGGGUGGAAACAACUUCAAUGGGAGGAUCAAGUAACUCAGAAUGCAUUGCUUUCAUUUUAAAAAUCAACCAACAAGUGAUUGAAGGGGGCAUCAUCAACGUAAUCAACAUGGAUGGAGAGAUUCUGGAGCAGAUCAGCGGGGUUUAGUACGACCUGUGGUGGUUUCUUUUUUGUGACUUUUUUGCCUUUCAUUUUUUCACUUCCUGUCAUAUUAUCAUUUCUUUGUCUGUGUUUCUAUUGCUAGUGUUGCUGCAUGCUUGCUGUCCUUGACAAAGUUAGCUAGUUUUUUUUGUUUAUUAAAUUUUGUAUGUUCGGUCGGGACAGUCACAAAGUACUACUUGUUCUAUAUGGGGGUGAUGUGAAUCAACUUUUCAAUUAUAUAUUCUGUGGUAAUUGUGAAUUCAAUUUCAUUUAUCUCCUGCAAAUUAUGAAGAAAGUGCAGAGUUACAAUAUGGAAAAGUUCACUGGCAAAUACUUUGUAAAAGCUUCGGAGUGAAACAGGAAAUGCACUUGCAACUAAGGACAAAUUGGUGGCCGGCUAAUGCAUUCAUUUUAGGGAAAAGGACACAGACCCUCAACGUUUUAAUAAGGGACAUAAAACUCCCUAAUAUUUUAAAAAAAAUACUCAAACCCCCAUUUGUUAAUAGUAAAUUCUAAGUUUAAAGUGUAAUUACCAUUAUACCUUUAUAGCAUAUUAAAAAAUAAUUAUUCAUUAUUCAAUUUAUUCUUAUAUUAUUAAUAAAAUUACGAAUAUAAUUUCAUUAUCUAAUUUUUUCAUUUAAUUUUUGUUAAAUUUUCUCUUCAAACUAAAUAAAUUUAAUCCAUUGCUUAAGAAUAAAAAUAAAUUAAAUUGAUUACUAAUAUAAUAAAAAUAACAUAUAUUUAAUAUAAAAAUAACAUAUAUUAAAUUAAAAUAAAUUUAAUUUAUAUAUAGAGAAUUGUUAUUUUUAAGAAAUUAUCAAUUUAAUUUAUAUAUAAGAAAUUAUAAGAAAUAACAUAUGGAGAAUUGUUAUUUUUAUUAUAUUAAUAAUCAAUUUAAUUUAUUUUUAUUUUUGAGCAAUGGAUUAAAUUUAUUUAGUUUGAAGAGAAAAUUUGAUAAAAAUUAAAUGGAAAAAUUGGGUAAUGAAGUUAUAUUCAUAAUUUUAUUAAUAAUAUAGGAAUAAAUUAGAUAAUGAACAAUUAUUUUUUAAUAUGCUAUAAGGGUAUAAUGGUAAUUGUACUUUAAAAUUAGAAUUUACUGUUAACAAAUAGGGGUCUGAGUGUCUUUUUUGAAACAUUAGGAAAUUUUGUGUCUCUUAUUCAAACGUUGGGGGUUUCUGUGUUAUUUUCCCUUCAUUUUAUGUACAUUCAUCUUUUUAAUUAUUGAAGAUAAGUGGUUCGUUGCUUUUGUUGUAGAUAAAAUUCAGACGACCUCAAUUGUGACAUGACAAUAUUUAAAACAUCUCUUAAAUUAUUAUAAAUUUAAUUUAUCUUAACUUUAUUGAAAAGAUAAAAGAAAAAUGUGGUGUAUGGAUAAAUUUUUUUUUAUCUUCUUAAUCAAAUGGAAUAAAUUAAAAUUUACAAUAAUUUAAAAUAUUUUAAAAAUUAUUAUUUCAUAAGAGAUUAAUAUGAAAUUAAUCGUUUUUACUUUUUUAAUGUGAAAGGACAAGAAAAGAGAAAGCAUGUGUCCCUGCUUUUUAGUUUUUAUUUUAUUUGAAAUCGGAGUUAUCCCAUAUACUUUACUAAUUUAGCUCUAACAUUACAAUGUUUUUAGGCUACACUUUUAUUUUUCUUUUUCCCCCUUUUUUUAUACAUGCAUGUGGAUUACUUUUCUCUAAGCUCCUUAAUAUUUAAGACAAAUCAUAAAAGCAAUUGAAGUAUAACAAGAUGAUCAAAACAUUUAACCAAAAAAAAAGAAAGAAAAAAGAAAGAAAACAUUGAAAAUGGAGAUGUUGAUUAAUUUAGAAGAGAUGCAAGCAAAAGAUAUUCCCAAAAAAAAGAAAAAAAGAAAAAAACAACGUUAGUUCAUCCAUGUCUGUCAAUGCGUUUUUUAUGGUUUUUUUUUUCCAGUUGUUUGUUGUAAUAGAUUGAUUGUAAAUUGAUAUGAAUUUGAUGUUGUAAUAUGUUCGCUUUUGUGGAAUUAAAUUUGAAUAUUCAAGAUUAUUCAAGUCUUAUCUAGUAUGUGUUCAAUUGUGUUGUCGAUAAUUUUGCAUUCGAAUAAUUUUUCACCUAAAAUAUUAGCAUGAGUAGUAGUCCUUGAAAUUUUGGUCAAAAUUAUUGUUAUUGUUUGUUUUAGAGGAAAUUUUUUUAUUAAAGCCUCGUUAACACUAUACCUUAUUAAGAUUAUAAGUUAGUGUCAGUGCAGGAUUUACAGCAACAAAUCUUGUCUAGCCACGUGUCAAAAGUACAAAUAAAUCAAGAGUAAGCACAUGACAUGGAUUAGGAUCCAAUAAGAUUUAAAUCCCAAGGAAAAGGACAAUUGUAUCCUAAAGUUUCAAUAAGAGAUACUGAGAUAUCUUUUGACUAAUGUUAUUUUUUUAGCUUUAUUAAUAAAAAGAUCAAAUAGUUUAUAACAAAUAAAAAUAUAGUAUGAAGCUAAAUGUGAUAAUAUAUACAUUUUACAUAAUUUCAAUAAAAAAAAUUUCAAUAAAAAACAUUUUAAUGUUUUACGAUCUAUUAGACAUAUUUUAUUAAAUUAAUAGGAAUUUUCUGAUAAAUAGCAACAUAAUAUUAAAAUAAAUUUAUAAAGAUUUAAAUGUAAAAUAAUUUUAGUAUAAUUAAUACGUGGGAUAUAUUUUGUAAAUUAUAAAAUUACUUAACCCAAUGAUUUUUAAAAAUCUUUAAAAUAAAUAAAAAUAAAUUAUUCACAUUUUGAUGUAAAUAUUUAAAACAUUUUUAUACAUUAGUCCACAAUUAUUUAUGUUAUAUUUGUAUUUAUUAGAAAUUUUGAAAGUCAAAUGUUUUUCACCUCUAUCUUAUUAGAAUUAUUGCACACAGAGAAAGAGCCAUAUAUGCUUUAUAGCUUUAAAAUCGAUUUGUUUUAUAGCUGGGAACAGAGAUGAUCAUUAUUAUAAGGAUUAAAAAAAAGAUAAAGAAUAUUAAUGAUUAGCGAAAUCUCUAUGGAAAUUGAAUUUAGUAAGAAAAAAUUGAGCUGAUUUUAGCGGUAUAGUAAUAUUUUAUAUAGAGAAAAGUAAAAGCUGCACCCAAGGUUAAGGGAAAUGGUCAAAACUCUUUUUUAAUCAUAAUACUCUUUUUCCUACAUAAUUUAAAAAUUUGACAUUAAUAUUUUAUAAUAAAUAAAAACAUAUAAUCCUAAAAUAAAUAAAAUAAUAUAUAUUUUAAAAUAAUCUCAAUAUUUAAAAUAUAUUUUAACAUUUUAUAGUCUAUCAGAUAUAUUUUAUUUUUUUUAAAGUAAAUUUUAUAAUAAAUACAAAACAUACUAUUAAAAUAGAUAUAAAAAUUUUAAAGUAUUUUGAAUAUUAUAUAAAAUAACUUUAAUAUUGUUAAUGCGUGAGAUGCAUUUUAUUAAUUAAAAAUUCUAUUUAACCCAAAGAUUUAUUUAUAAUAAAUUAAUAAUCAUAUUUUUGAAAUUAUUUUAAAUAUUAAAAAAUAUUUUAAUAUUACUAACUAUUAGAUAGACUAAACUAUUUAUAUUAUUUUCUAUUUAUUAUAAAAUUUCAAAGUUAAUCUUUUUAACUACUAUUCAAAAGAUAUUAUGAUAAAAACAGAAUUUUUCUGUUUUAUUAAAAAUUUAGAGUUUACACCUAUUUUUUCAAAUAUUCGGGGUGUAACUGUUUUAUUUAAAUAAAAUCUCAGUUAAAAAUGUACAGAGAAGAAAUUUCUGUUGGUAUUUUAGUCUUUUACCAAUUAUCACGAUUAGGCCUUGGCCUUGAAACAUUAAUUGUUUCACUUUUAGCGCUAGUGGCGUUGAAAGUUGUCAAGAAAAAGCAAGACCAUAUUCCACAAAAGCAGCUCUUUUAUUAAAGGCAAAGUAUAAAGUAGUCAAGAAUCGAAUAUCCUGUCGUCUACUCUUUUUUAAAUUCUUCUUUUAUUAUCUUUUAGAAUAGUUUUUGGUAAUUACAAUCAUUAUUCAGAGUUAUUGUUAUCUUCUGGGGCAGUCUCUGUUCAUCGAAGUCGUUACCUUUUUUUCAUGGAUCAGUUCCAGUGCCAAGCAGUAAUUUUCUUAGAACUCGGAUCUUUAAUUCGAGUUUCUUUGUGAAUUAAUAAUAAAAAAUUUUCAUUACACGCAAUUUAAGCUACGAAUUACUUUUUGCAAAGUUGAAUAUGAAAUUGGAGAAAUUAAAUAAUUUAGAAUGUUGGUAAAAAUUGACUAACAUAUCCCCAAUUACAGUAAAACCUCUCUACAGUCAUAACAUUAUAACAAAAUUAAUUUUAUUACUAUGUUGAGGUAAUAUAGGUUUAGUUACAAAAUUAUUGUUUUAAUAUGGUUAGUGUCAAGUGAUAUAAAGGUUAAGUAUGCAGUACAUUGAUAAUUAAAUAAUGAAGCGUGUCAAAUCUAACGUAUAUAUAUUAAUGAUAUAGAUAGACAUAGUUUUAAAAAACUAAUUAAUGUAUAUUUAUGUACUGUUAUGAAUAUGGAAAGUCAAGCCUACACUUUACAUUAUCCUUAAUUUUUUCUCUCAGUUAAAUUCUACAAAUAUUGUACAAUGAUUGGGUAAGAACUCUAAAUUAAGAAUAAAUUAUUGUCACAAAUAAUUUUAAAAAAUAUUUUAUUUCAUCUUAAACCUUUAAUGUAAGUAAAUAUAUAUAUAUGUGUGUGUGUGUGUGCAUAUUUUGCAAGGUAUAGAUAAUUGUUAGUAUAUGGAGACAAGUCUUUUAAGGUAGGACCUAGGAAAAUUUAUAACUUACUACAUUGGGGAGUUUUUAUUCCUUUUUAUAAUUGGCUCAUAUUGAUACAUUCUUACACAAAAUAUUACCAUUGACAUAUUUUACUACAAUUGGUUUAGAACAUUUGUUAGGAAAAAAAAAAGAAAAGAAAACAUUCAUUGGAUGUAGCUCUCCCUCGUAUGCUUUUUUCUCCAAAUAUUCCUGCGUCCACAGAAACAAGUCAGAGCACGCCGGUUGUUUUCCCGGCGUAAACCCUCUGACGCUCAAGUCAGAUAUGAAGGCUCUGGGAAUGCUUGCCACAGAUCUUAUGGUUUUUCUGUAGUUUCUAUUCUUUAGAGUUUCAUUUAUCUCUGAAUAUAAUCUCAAAAAUGCUAACCCUUUUACCUUCCUUGGCUACCUUUUUAUAGGCUUCCUCUGAAUCCCGGUCUUCCGUAGUCCACGCCCGUUAUUCUCCCCACCCUCGGAUGUGGAUGCCCCAUUAUCGCCAUUGUGGGCGAAUGGAGAUGGACUUCGUGCCUUGAUUCUCGGAUAGGAAUGCACGUCUUGCCAACUGUCGUUGACUGGGUCUCCUCGCCUCUCGACCUCUAGCCGGAAUGGCCUUAUGCCUCUAACAAGAGUUCGACCUCGUGAAUGGCAUACUCGCGGACGAGCCGAAUAUUUCUGCUCAUGUUCCCCUGCUACCUGGCUCUUACAGGACAUACCUGUUCGCAGAACUCCGCCAUCAAAUAUCUGCUCAUCACGUCUGGUCUCGUUGAAGUAUUUCCCUCAAACAACAUAUUUUACUACAAUUAGUUUAGAACAUUUGUUAGGAAAAAAAAAGAAAAGAAAACAUUCCUUGGAUGUAGCUCUCCUGACUAUUUAAAUCUUUUAAGGAAAAAAAGAAAAAAGAAAAACUGACACAUUCAAAUCUUGAAGCAAUUACAUUAAAACCUCUCCAUAAUGAUAGGAAUAAUCUCCAUUUAGUAAUAAAAAAUUUUGUUCGCAAUCUAGGCAGAGUUAUAAAUAAGAAUAAAAUCCUCAUUGUAAUAAGUUGUAUUUAUUAUGGAUCCCAUCCUAAGGAACUUGUCUCUAUAUAGUAAUAAUUAUUUGCAUAUUAUAAAUAUAUAUGUUGCAUUAGAUUAAAUGAACUUGUCUCCACAUACUACUUAGACAAUGAGAGAAAGUUAUUAAAGAGAACACAAAUAUUUAGAGAUUUUUAAGAUUACUUUGCAUGUUUAUAACAAUAAUACAUUGAUAUAUGUAUUAGUUUUUUGAUAUAUUAGAUUUGACAUGCUCUAUUAAUAAAUUAUUAAUACGAUGCAAACUUCAUCUCUCUAUCCUUGCAAUAAAAGUAACUAAGUUAUAACAAUAAUUAUUAAUAAAUUAUUAAUACGAUGCGUACUUCAUCUCUAUAUCCUUGCAAUAAAAGUAACUAAGUUAUAACGAUAAUUUUUGUAACUACAUGCUUAUUAGGUUUUAACUACUUCAUAAUAAUAAAUUAAUUUCGUCCUAAUAUUAUAAUUAUGUAGAGUUGUAGUGUAUAGACACACCCAAUUUAAAUAGUAAAUCAAAUAAAAUUGUCCCCACAAAAAAGAAAAAAGGGGUAAAGGAUUGUUAUUUCUUCAAACAUUAGGAGCACGUUUGUUCAAGUGCGAUGCCUUUCUUUUGAAGGCAACGUCAGUGGGUACCCAAUAGGACGUGUGUAAAUCUUUCCAAAAUUUCUCCGGUAUAACGGACAGAGAUCAUUACUUUUCUCUUCCAUAGACCACAGCAGCUUCAGUUAAUCAGACUCAAUCAAUUUUCUUGGUUUCUUCGCUUAUCAAAAUUCCAAAAUAUGGGUAGCAUAUUUCAAAUCACAUGCGAUGGUGCUUUUUUCAAUCGUUGCUUGGAUUGCUUUCUUGGAAAAGUAGCAAACACAAGUAAGCUCCAAGAUAACCUUGUUGCCUUGGAGACUGAAUUGGGAAAACUAAUCGUAGCAAAGAACGAUGUGAUGAUGAGGAUUGUCAAUGCUGAACGGCAACAACUGAGAACGCUGGACCAAGUGCAAGUGUGGCUUUCGAGGGUGGAAGCUGUUAAAACUGAAGCUGAUGAAUUGAUAAGACACGGCUCUCAAGAAAUUGACAAAUUAUGUGUUGGAGGCUACUGUUCCAAGCACUGCGCGUCAAGCUACAAGUUCGGGAAACAAGUGGCUAAAAAGCUACGGGAUGUGCAGACUUUAAUCGGCGAAGGAGUUUUUGCGGCGGUGGCUACUGAGGUGGUGCCUGAGAGAGCUCCAGAACCUGUAGCAGAUGAAAGACCCACUGUGCCAACAAUAGUAGGCUUGCAAUCACAACUUGAACAAGUUUGGAGAUGUCUUGUAGAAGAAUCAGUGGGAAUCAUUGGCCUAUAUGGUAUGGGCGGUGUUGGUAAAACUACACUAUUGACCCAUAUCAACAAUAAAUUUCUUGAGAGUCGAACCAGUUUUGAUUGUGUGAUUUGGGCCGUAGUUUCAAAGGACUUGCAACUCGAAAAAAUUCAAGAAGAUAUUGGGAAAAAGAUCGGUUUGGUUGAUGAUUCAUGGAAGAGUAAAAGUGUAGAGGAGAAAGCUCUCGACAUCUUCCGGAGUUUAAGAGAGAAGAGAAUUGUAUUGUUGUUAGAUGAUAUAUGGGAGCGGGUUGAUUUAACAAAAGUGGGCAUUCCACUUUCGGGACCAAAGAAUACUACCUCAAAAGUCGUAUUCACAACCCGUUUCAUCGAUGUUUGUGGUAGCAUGGAAGCUGACAAGAAGUUCCAAGUGGCAUGCUUAUCAGAAGAGCAUGCUUGGGAACUGUUUCGAAAAAAAGUUGGGGAAGAAACUCUUGAGAGUGAUCAUGAUAUCGUUGAGCUAGCCCAAACUGUGGCCAAAGAGUGUGGUGGUUUGCCACUCGCACUUAUUACUAUUGGUCGAGCUAUGGCCUGCAAAAGGACAGCCGAGGAGUGGAGACACGCAGUUGAAGUGCUAAGAAGAUCAGCUUCUGAGUUUGCAGGUUUGGGAAAAGAGGUGUAUCCUCUUUUAAAGUUUAGCUAUGAUAGUUUGCAGAAUGAGACGAUUAAAUCUUGUUUCUUAUAUUGUUGUUUAUAUCCCGAGGAUUAUGGCAUUCUUAAAUGGGACUUGAUUGAUUGUUGGAUUGGUGAGGGAUUCUUAGAGGAAUCUGACAGGUUUGGUGCAGAAAACCAAGGAUACUACAUUGUGGGCACUCUUGUUCAUGCGUGUUUACUAGAAGAGAUAGAAGAUGAUAAAGUAAAAAUGCAUGACGUUGUUCGUGAUAUGGCUUUAUGGAUAGCUUGUGAAAUUGAGAAGGAGAAGAGAAACUUUUUGGUUUGUGCAGGUGCUGGAGUAGGAGCGGUACCAGAUGUUGAAGGAUGGGAAAAUGUGAGAAGAUUGUCAUUGAUGCAAAACCAAAUUGAAAUUCUGUCAGAGGUUCCCACAUGCCCUCAUCUCCUCACUUUAUUUCUUGACUUUAAUUAUAAAUUGGAGAUGAUCACUGAUGGCUUCUUCCAAUGUAUGCCUUCUCUCAAAGUUUUGAAGAUGUCAAACUGUGGGCAUGUCAAAGUUUUGAAAUUACCUUUUGGGAUGUCAAAGUUGGGUUCACUACAACUUCUUGAUAUUUCACAUACCGGCAUAAGAGAGUUACCAGAAGAGUUAAAGUUGUUGGUAAAUCUGAAAUGUUUGAAUUUGAGGUGGACACAUAUGUUAAAUAAAAUUCCACGGCAGCUAAUAUCAAAUUCUUCAUGGUUACGUGUGUUGAGAAUGUUCGCUAUUGGCUUUGAAAAUUCUAAAGAACCAUCAGAAGACAGCGUUUUAAUUGGUGGGGGUGAAGUUUUAGUACAGGAAUUGCUCGGUUUGAAAUAUUUAGAGGUAUUGGAGUUGACCUUGCGAAGUUAUCAUGCUCUCCAUUCUUUUUUGAGCUCAAAUAAGUUAAAAAGUUGUAUUCGAUCUCUUUUCCUCAAUAAGCUGGGAGAUACAAAGUCGAUUGAUGCUACGGCUUUGGCAGAUCUAAAGCAUCUCAAUGAAUUAUAUAUUCUUUUUUUUNNNNNNNNNNNNNNNNNNNNNNNNNNNNNNNNNNNNNNNNNNNNNNNNNNNNNNNNNNNNNNNNNNNNNNNNNNNNNNNNNNNNNNNNNNNNNNNNNNNNNNNNNNNNNNNNNNNNNNNNNNNNNNNNNNNNNNNNNNNNNNNNNNNUCUUUCGCUAUACGGUUGUAAUGCUGUGGAAGAAAUAAUCAGCGUUGGGAAAUUUGCUGAGGUUCCUGAGAUGAUGGGACAUAUAAGCCCUUUUCAGAAUCUCCAAAAGCUUGAUUUAUCACAUUUGCCAGCUUUGAAGAGCAUCUACUGGAAGCCAUUGCCUUUCGCUCAUCUGAAAGAAAUGGUGGUGCAUUGGUGUGAUCGGCUUAAAAAGCUUCCGCUCGAUUCCAACAGUGCAAAAGAGCGUAAAUUUGUUAUUCGUGGAAGAGCAGACUGGUGGAACCGUCUUCAAUGGGAGGAUGAAGCCACUCAAAUUGCUUUCCAUUCCUGUUUCCACCUAAUGAAAUAUAAAUUCCUUAGCGGUGGUUGCAAAAUUUGAUUUCUAGUGAGUGCUUUUUUCUUAAACUCUUACAUUUAUUUCAGAUUCGUUUUUUGUCUCCUGCAAAUCACAAUUAAAUGCUGAAUUAUAUGGAGUCAAUGCUUUAGAAAAUUUUCAAGGCACUGCCAUUUCCUUUUUUCCAUUUUUUUUUGGGUCGAAUUGAUGCUCUGGCUUUUUACUUUUUGUUGUCAAAUUUUGCUCUGUUUUUUCAAGUUGAUGCUUGAAUAGUUGAAUUCAAUUAAUGCUCACAUAAAUUUGUUUAGUUGCCGUAAAAGGAUAUAAUUAGACUGAAGUACACACUUCUAGAAUGAAUACAAAAUGUUAAGUAUACUAGCCCUCUUUACAGAAAAUCAAAUGAAAAUCAAUUUUUUGGGGCUUUGAUUUUCUAUGGUCUAUUAUAUACUCUUUUUAAUAUCUUCUGUUCUAACUAUAACCAAAUCCUUUGUUCAAGGAUUUUUAUUUGGGGUAUUGAUAACUAUCCACCAAAAGAGUGAACACUUGGAUGCUGCUCAAGGAUCUCUAAUCAAUAGCUGGAAGCAACUGAGAAGGCGGUCGCUGCUGUUUACAAAGUGAUGCAGUAUUUGCCAUUCAUCUUAAUAAUUAUGAAGCUUUGGUAAAAUUUUCAAACAAAAUUGAACAUGUUGUUUGAGAUUUGGUUCAUGAUUUUGGAUGAAUAUCGUUGUUCCGUUUGAGUUGGAUGUGAAUUCAAAAUCUAUAUAUUCUUUGGUUUUCAAGUCUGAACUCAAUUUCUUUUUCUCAAGCAUGUUAUGCAGAAAUGAUUUUUACUAAAUCAUUUUUGAUGAAUUGUUUAAAUUAAACACUUGGAAUAAGAAUUGUAAACGUUUAUCAUAAGCAUGCUAAUAUGAUAAAUUGUUUUAUGAACGACUAAUUAAUUAAUCAAUUAAUAUUAAAUUAUAUAUUAAUCAAUUAGAUAUGCGUUACAUGUCAUGUUUAAAAACUAUUUAUUUAUAUUUCAAACAAAUUUGACUGGAUGUUGUGUAGGUAAUACUACAUAAUUUCAAAACAAAAAAAAGUAAUAAAAACACGUUAAAUUUUGUUUUUAUGAAGAAAAAUUUAAAAUUUUAUUAAAUAGGUGAAAAUAAUAAAUGGAUUCGUGUAUGGUUUGAGAUUCUUGACAUAAUUAUGAAAUAAGCCGGAUUCGACUUAGUUCAAUUUUGACGCGAUAAGAAGACGACACCACACAAACACACGACAAGAACCGUUACCUGAGAAGAUUGCCAUCAGGAAUUUUGAAAUUGAUUUCACUACAAUAUCUUAAUCUUUCAGAUACUCCCAUCACUGAGCUGCCAUAAGAGCUAAAAGCCUUGGUAAAUCUUAAGUGUUUGAACUGUACACAAAUUAUCUCUCUACAAUUCAAAAACAACUGAUUUGUUACUUUUCAAUGCUACAUGUUCUGCGAAUAUUGAGUUGUGGUUAUCUUGUUGAAAUAUCAGAAAAUAGAGUUCUAUUUGGUGGUAGUGAAUUGUUGGUUGGGGAGUUACCUAGUUUAAAACGUUUAAAUGUAUUAAGCAUCACCUUACAAGGUUUUUCUGCUGUCCAAAAACUUAUGAGCUCUCAAAAGUUUCAAAGCUGUACAAAAUGUUUGGAGCUUAUAGACUGUGAUGAUUCAAAGUCUUUUGCCUUGGCAGAGUUGAAGCAUCUCGAGAAACUAGUUUUUCGAAUUGUGGAAGAGUUUAAGUUCUGCUGUGUUGAAGUUGGAAAAGCUCAAGAAUGUUUUCGUUUGAACAGCUUUCCCCGAGGUAAUAUAAAGGCUUGUCAUAAAUUGAGGGACGUGACAUGGCUUGUAUUUGCUCCAAAUCUUACGGUUAUUCAAUAGAAAAAUAUAUGCAGAUGGAAGUAAUAAUCAGUGCAAGGAAAUUGGGUGAAGUUCCAGGGAUGAUGGCAGAUCUAAACCCUUUUGCAAAACUCCAGUAUCUUCGUCUGCGAGUUCUACCAAAAUUAAAAAGCGUCUAUUGGAAUGAGUCACCCUUUCCACAUGUCAGGGAAAUUAUUGUAUCUGAAUGCCCAAUUCUCAAGAAGCUUUCACUCGGUUUUAACAAUGCAAAGGAAUCUAAAAUUGUCAUUUAUUACAUGUUUAUAUCUAACUUUUGUUUUCCUUUAUGGUUAAAUUUUACUUUAUAUAUGUUGUUAUACGGUGACAUUCUCGCAUCAAUUGUUAGCUUUUUAAUUCUCUUCUCCCAUUAAUUGCCCUUCUGAUCAUGUAAGAUAUGCCGAUGUCAAAGAGUAGUAAGUUGGGAUACAAAUGUAAGAAUUAACCAGAUGACAUGUUGUUUUGAAGCUCUCGGAGAAGGACUAAUUAUGUCAUUCAAAGCAUCCAAUUUCGCUACUUUUUUUUUCAUUUGUUGCUUUUUCUAUUUUUAGAGAGCUUGAUUGUCAGUUGUCGUAAUGUAAUGUUUUAGUGUAGAAAAAUGAUAUUCGGCCAAGACAUCAAUAGGAGGGCACAUUGUGCAUGCACACUAGUGGAUGAUUUCGGCAUGCCGAAUCCAAUUAGUGUGGAUAACCCUUUAUAAGCAAUUGGCUUCUCUCAUACCAGAGCAAUGUAGAAUAUAUUUAUAAACUGUGGAUUACUCUUUAUUAGGCUUCUUCUAUACUCGAGCAAUGUGGAAUACCUUUAUAAGCAAUAAGCUUCUCCCCUACACUUUAUGUUAAUAAUAAUAAUAAUAAAAUAAAUCCAUUUUAAAAUAGACUUUUUUUUUCUUUUUCUAUAUAAACAAAAUGCAUUCUUCAAAUCAAUAGUGGGUGGAAGAAGUGAGUAGAGAAGAACUAGUCCCCUUUCAUUCCCCUAAAACCUCACCGAAACCUCUCUUGUGAACUUCUCAGAUUCUCUCUCAAUAUUUCUUAUGAUCUCGUUUUUGAUAGAAUCACUUCUUUUGCAUGUUGCAUUUGGUGUGUCUUUUUUGGGUAAUAUCUUAUCUGGAAUGCUGUCAUGAUCAAUAGAACAAGUAAUCAAUUUUUGGCUUGACGGAAGUCGAUUUAUUUAUUUACUAUUAUUUUUAUUUGAAAUUUUGUACAAUUGUGUUUCAUUCAUUUCUUUCCUUUUUUUUUAAUAUUUAUUAUGUAUAAUUGUGUUUCAUUUGAUAUUGAUCAUACUCUAGAUAACUAUGUGAUUGUAGCUGGGGAUUUUAAGUUUUGUGAAUUCAAGAAACUGUCAAAAUGCUAGUGAAAUUGGGACCUUUAUUCAUAAGCUUGUGGUUUUGAAAAGUAGCCCGGUUCAACUGAUGAAGUUCCUUUUUGGGAUUCUUUUUUUUCCUAGGCUGCAAUUCGGAUAUGUACCUGAUAGACAAUCUUUUGUGGGUUUAGCAUAUCUUCUCGGAUUUUGUCUUUUAUUCCUCGAUUUUAUAAUUACACACCAUGAAUGUUGAGUGAUUGUAUAGAAAAUUUGUGUUAUAACCAAAGCAUUGUGAAGGAGUUAAGUUAGUGGCUUCUGUUUUAUUGGCAUUGAUUGGGUAGAUUACGUGUUACAGUGAUUCAAUUUGUGAUCCAAACUUUGUUUAAAUUUCUGUUUUCCCAAAUUAUUUAUGUCAAAUUCAAAACCAGAAGCAUGUGCUGAUUUUUUCUUUUUGUAUUAAUCUGUGAAGUUUAUUUGGAAAGGAAGUAUCUGGGUCUAAUGGAUUAAAUUAUGUAAGUGGCAGAAAUUCCUACACACAUAAAUAUGCAUAAAUACAAAAGUAUACACAAAAAAAUGCACACACUCAUACAUCCAGUCAAUAUAGUUAAUGUAAGAGCACAUACCGGUUUGGUUAUCUUGCUGCAAGUGCACCGCAUUAGCCUUGCAUUCUGGUGCCAACUCCUCCGGCGGUUCACUCACUACCUUUCCCAAUGCUUUGGACCUCCAUUCGGUCUCCAUCAGAUUUCUCAGGAGCACUAAAUAAAGCAGCUAAAACUUGCUUCUGUAGUUCAUUUCUGUCUUUCGGGUGUCUAGGCAAUUUUCCUUCGUCGGUAUUUCGAUCUUCCUUUACAUGACUGAGGAAAUACAGUCAAAAGCUAAUCAAGUAACCAUAUAUGGAUGAGAAAUCCCUCCACCCCCCUUCCAAAACAAAUUCUAAGAAAUAUCAGAAUUCUUUCAAUAAAAACCCUUCCCCCCAUGCUGUGCCUGCUGAAUGAAAUAUAUUAAUCUUACGAGAAGUUGAGAAAAUAAAUUAAAGAACAUACCCUCCGGAAGAAUUCAAUUGUUGCAAUUUUCUUUCACGUGGAGGUCCUCCAAAGUUAGAGCACAUAUCCGUACACUGUUUAUGAAAUCAUAAUAACAGGGGACCAGAUAUUAAUAACAAAUCUUGACACCUAAAAGUCAACUGUGAUGAAAAACAUUAAAAAGAAUAUGAACUUGUUAUCUUGGAAGAAGAUAAUUUAAGAUAUAGCAAACUUGGCACAUUCAUAUAUGAACAGAAGGAAUUUGUAGACGUUUUAAAGCCAUAAUCGUUUAAUAAUCAUGAACCAAGCAAUAAUAGAUGAUUAUUAUGUUGGGUGCAAGCGGAAGUGCAGAAAAAUUUUUAUUUAAGAUCAGAGUAUUUUGCUGGAAAUUUCUGAAACUUUAUUGCUUAAUUCAUUUUUUCGUUUCUCUCUUACUUUUCAUACAACCAGAGUUCUAUAUUUAUAUGCAUUAUAGACAACUCUAGAGAUUACAUUAAUCAUGCUUUACAUUUCCAAAGCCACAUUGCAAACAUCAAUUCUACCCUUUACUUCACGUUGAAAAACAAACCAAAUAAUCCUUCAAACUUCUUGCUCAAUUUACUAGAUUACUAAUUAUAUCUCAACACCCCCUCUUAAUUAGUAAUCUUCAAUUGCUUCUUGAAUUUUUCAAACUUCUCAAUAAUGAUUGCUUUGGUCAGAAAAUCUGCUGGCUGCUCAUUAGUGCUGAUAAACUCCAUAUUAACUUCUCCUUUGCUUACUAAGUCACGGAUGUAGUGAUAACGCAGCUCAAUGUGCUUAGAUUUAGCAUGAAAUACGAGGUUCUUUGUUAGAGCAAUGGCUGACAUGUUGUCACAAUAAAUUGUUGUUGCAGCAUCUUGAUUGAACUGCAAAUCCUUGAGAAUUCUUCUAAGCCAAACGGCUUCACAAGCUGAUUCAGUUGCUGCAAUGUACUCUGCCUCGGCUGAGGAUAAAGCUACUGACUUCUGCUUCCUUGAGCUCCAUGAAAUCACAUUUGUACCAAGACAAAAUAAAUAACCUGAUGUGCUUUUUCUGUCAUCAAGGGAACCAGCCCAGUCACUGUCAGUAAAACCAACAAGCUUGCAAUUGUCUUCUUUUUCAUACAUGAUCCCCUGCUUUUUUGUUCCUUGAAGAUACCUUAAGAUUCUCUUUGCUGCAAUAUAAUGGGACUUCCUUGGAUCAUUCAUAAAUCUAGAAAGAACACUAACUGAGUGCAAAAUGUCAGGUCUUGAGUUGGUUAGAUAAAUCAACGAACCAACCAAGCUUCUAUAGAUUCUUGCGUCAGCCUUUUCUUCUUUUUCAUCAUGUUUCAAUUUUUCAUUCAAACCCAUAGGAGUAGGUGCUGGUUUGCAUUUGAACAUGUGGAAUUUCUUCAACAAAUCUUCUACGUAUUUUUCUUGACAAAAGAAGAUUUUUCCUCUGGCUUGCUUCACUUGAAUGCCAAGAAAAUACUUCAUUAAGCCCAAGUCAGUCAUCUCAAAUUCAUCUAGCAUGCUUUUUUUAAACUCUUCCACCAUUUUCAGAUUAGUGCCACAAUAAAUUAGAUCAUCAACAUAAAGGCAAACAAUAAGGAAAUCAGUACCUUCCUUUUUGACAUAAAGAGAAGGUUCACUUGAGCUUCUGUCAAAUCCAUUUUUAACGAAAUAUCUAUCAAUUCUGCUAUUCCACGCUCGAGGGGCUUGCUUCAAGCCAUACAAGGCUUUUCGGAGUUGAUAAACUUUGUUUUCUUCACCUUUCACUUCAUAUCCUUUAGGUUGCUCAACAUAAACCUCUUCUUCAAUUUCACCAUUUAGAAAUGCCGAUUUUACAUCUAGUUGAAACACAUGUAAUUCCAUUUGGGCUGCCAAGGCAAGAACAGUUCGAAUAGUCUCCAUUCGAGCUACGGGAGCAAACGUUUCUGUAAAAUCAACUCCAGGCAGCUGAGAGUAUCCUUUGGCAACGAGCCGCGCCUUAUAUUUUUUAACUGAACCAUCUUCAUUGUACUUGAUUUUGAAGAUCCAUUUCAGCCCAAUUGUUUCUUUUCCAUUUGGCAAAUUAACCAUCUCCCAAGUUUUAUUUUUCACAAUGGUGGCCAUUUCCUCGUUCAUUGCUUGGAUCCAAUUUUCAUUUCUUGAGGCCUCCUCAAAGUCUUGAGGCUCACAAGAAAAUAAAGCAAGUUCACAUGACUCAUAAAUUUCUCUCAUUGACUUUAUCUUCCUUGGAGGGCUUUCAUCAUCCGAAGAACUUUCUGCUGCUGAAUUUGGAGAAUUUGGUUCCAAAUUAUUUUGCUGUGAAGAAUUUGGUGGAGAUACAGGAGCUUCGAAAAAGCUAGAUGCUUGAGAUUGAUCUUUUUCCCACUGCCAAGCUGAUGCCUCAUCAAAUACAACAUCUCUUGAGAUAACAAGCUUAUUUGUUGUAGGAUUCAACAACCGAUACCCUUUAGACUCAUCACUAUAGCCAAUAAACAAAUAUUUUUCACCUUUUUCAUCAAACUUCUCUCUGUUUUGAGCUAGAAUAAGAGCAUAAGCAAUACUCCCAAAAAUCUUCAAGUGAUCAACAGUUGGCUUUCGGUUGUGCCAAGCUUCAAAUGGAGUUUUGUCUCUAACAGCUUUUGUAGGAGACCUGUUGAGGAUGUACACAGCUGUAUGACAUGCUUCUGCCCAUAAGUUGUUAGGAAUGCCUUUGCCUUUUAACAUGCUUCUUGCCAUCUCUACAAUGGUACGGUUCUUCCGUUCUGCAACUCCGUUUUGUUGUGGACUUCGGCUGACAGUAAGUUGUCUUUGAAUUCCAUUAUCCCUGCAAUAAUUCAUGAAUGGAGUGUAGAUAAAUUCACCACCACGAUCAGUUCUCAAGGUCUUCAUUUUGCAUCCACUUUGCCUUUCUGCAAGAGCUUUAAACUGAAGAAAAGUUGAGAAAGCUUCUGAUUUUUCAUUCAAAAAAUAAAUCCACAUCAUCCUUGUAUAGUCAUCAACAAAAAGAAUGAAAUAUCUCCUGUUAUUGAGAGAGAGAGUCCUUGUAGGACCACAAAUAUCAGCAUGCACCAACUCCAACGGAGCUUUGGCUCUCCAUGAAUUUUUAGGAAAUGGAAGUCUAUGCAUUUUUCCAUAUAUACAGCCCUCGCAAACUUUUUCAUAUCUUCCAACAUCAGGUAAGCCAAUCACCAUGUUCUUUUGCUUGAGCAAAUUCAGCCCUUUAUAGUUUAAAUGACCAUAUCUGAGAUGCCAUAAAUUUGACAAAUCUGAAUUUUCAGUUUUGAGAGCAACAUUCUCAUCAAGUGGCAUAACAAGAGGAAAAACUUUGUUCUUUGACAUUUCAACAACGGCCACUGUAUGAUUAUUAGUUUUAUCAAUGAUUUUGCAUUUUUCAUCAUCAAAAUAAAUUGAAAAACCCUUUUGAAUUAGCUGCCCCACACUCAAGAGGUUUUGAGUUAAAUUUGGAACAUAAAGAACGUCAUAAAUGAGCUUUUUGUUACCUCCCUUUGUAUGGACAGCAAUAGUGCCUUUUCCCACAGCUUUCUGCAUCUUUCCAUCUCCAAGCUUCACUUGCGAAUUAAAACUUUGGUCAAGGUUGAUGAAAAUGUCACGUUCUCCAGUCAUGUGGUUGCUACAACCGCUAUCCAAGUACCACAAAUUAUAUGAUUCACGUUCAGCACCUUUACUUGAAUAAAACAAGUAAUCUCCAUCACAUUCUUUUGUAAAAUUUGCCUCAUUUUUGCCUUUCUUAUUUUGAUACCAGCAAUCCCUUUGAGAAUGGUUAGGAAUGCGACACCUUGUGCAUUUAUAACGACAAUCUUUUGAUUCAUGAUUAGACCGAUUACAAAUGAUGCACUGAGAAUCUGAAUUUUGCUGUGAAUUCCCUCUGUCAUUUUUCCACUUGUUGCGGUUGUCGUUCUGUUCUCUUUGCCCUAUGCCACGCUGCUCGUUUCUUUGAGACGAGCCUCCGUUCUUCUGGUCUUUCUUGCUGCUUUUAUUCUGAUCUGAAUUAUUAAUCUUUGACUGAAAAGCUUGCUCUGUAGGCUGACUUGAAGGUCGAUUGAUUCUUUGCUCAUGAGACCGUAAUGAUCCUGACAAAUCUGAAAAAGUCAUCUUGGACAAAUCCUUUGAUUCUUCAAUGGCUGCUGCUACAUGAUCAAACUUUGGAGGAAGACAUCUCAGCACCUUUUCAUUCACCUUCUUGUCUUCAAUGGAGUCCCCACAACCUUUAAUCUGGUUCACAAUCUCAGUAACUCUACUGCAAAAAUCCUGAAUUCCUUCUCUGUCUUUCAUUGAUAAAUUAUCGAACUCUUUCCACAAAGUCUGUAACUUGAUGGUGACUGCCUUUUCAGAACCUUGAAAUUCUUGUUUUAGGAUUUUCCAAGCAUUUUUGGCCUUUUUGACACCAAAUAUUCUGGGGAAAAUUGACUUACUAACACCUUGCUGGAUAUAUCGAAGUGUCGUGGCAUUUCUCUGUAUGUUUUCUUUGUACUGCUGUUGAUGUGCUGGAGUCCAAUCUGAAGAACUUGCAGAUUCUGGUGGUUCAGCAUAUCCAUCUUCAACAACAUCCCAUAAAUUUUGAGAGAGGAAAAAGGUUUCCAUUUGAUUACUCCAAUAUUCAUAAUGUACCCCUUCAAAUAUUGGAACUUGACUGGGAGCAUAUGAGAAUAAUGUGGGUAGGGUAUUUGAUGUCAUUUUGAGGGUGUUUUGGAAAAGCUCUGAUACCAAAUUUGUUGGGUGCAAGCGGAAGUGCAGAAAAAUUUUUAUUUAAGAACAGAGUAUUUUGCUGGAAAUUUCUGAAACUUUAUUGCUUAAUUCAUUUUUUCGUUUCUCUCUUACUUUUCAUACAACCAGAGUUCUAUAUUUAUAUGCAUUAUAGACAACUCUAGAGAUUACAUUAAUCAUGCUUUACAUUUCCAAAGCCACAUUGCAAACAUCAAUUCUACCCUUUACUUUACGUUGAAAAACAAACCAAAUAACCCUUCAAACUUCUUGCUCAAUUUACUAGAUUACUAAUUAUAUCUCAACAUAUUAUUCCGUUUCUUCUAAGCUACGCAUACUUGCACAUCAGAAUAAAGUGAUAUACAAUGGUUGUGUGCAGACACAAACGCAUGAUCAACAGGAAAAAUCAUCUGAACAUUUGUAUUACUGAUUUGGCAUAUAAGAUUCUCAUAAUAGUUCAAAAUACAAAUAAAUGAAUAUAUAUAUAUUCCCCACCGGAAUCACCCCCUGGAUCCUCACUCAAGGUGUCUUCCGAGCCAGAAGAUCCCUCCUCACCACUAUUUCCGCUCGUGGAGGUUGUUUGGGGGGACAUCCUCCUAGCGCUAGUCCCAACACUAGACCUAAUGGGUUCUAAGGGGAUCCCGGGGUCAAAAGCAGGAUCGGUGAGCAGACUAGACAAGAAACCUAAUUCGUCGUCAUCAAUCUCAACGAUUUUCUCUUUACCCUUCGACAUUCCCUAAACUAUAAUCAGAACACCACCACCAACUACAACCCCAAGCAAAGCACAGAGAAAAGAAAUUAUCUACAACUAACCAAGACCGAGAAAAUAGAAGAAAUACCUGAAGCAGGGAUUCGAUCAGAGAGAGAUAGGGAUGAAAGCUUUAAUGCCGAGGUUCAUUCGCCGGAGAGACAAGAAGGGAGAAAAUGACGAGUUCGUGUUUGAGGAUUUUGGGUUUUCUUACUGAGAAGCAAACUCUUGGGCUGCCAGCAUUUAAUGACACAUAUUCCGAGAAUCUUGCAACCGUAGGUUUGAAAUUCAAAUGGAGGGGUGGAUUUCUGCCACAUCACUUCAUCUGCAAUUAAAUGCGACACGACUCUUGGCAGUCUUUUCCAGUCCCACGCGAGCAAGAACCGAUUGAGUUUCUACUGCUGGUCCAUUACAUUACCCAACACCAGAAACUGGGGGACUGGUGUUUGAGGGAAAUACUUCGACGAGACCAGACGUGAUGAGCAGAUAUUUGAUGGCAGAGUUCUGCAAACAGGUGUGUCUUGUAAGAGCCAGGUAGCAGGGGAACAGGAGUAGGAAUAUUCUGCUCGUCCACGAAUAUGCCAUUCACGAGGUCAAACUCCUGUUAGAGGCAUAAGGCCAUUCCUGCUAGAGGUCGAGAAGCGAGGAGACCCGGUCAACGACAGUUGGCAAGACGUGCAUUCCUAUCCGAGAAUCAAGGCACAAAGUCCAUCUCCAUUCGCCCACAAUGGCGAUAAUGGGGCAUCCAUAUCCCGGGGGGGGGAGAAUAAGGGGCGUGGACUACGGAAGAUCGGGAUUCAGAGGAAGCUUAUAAAAAGGUAGCCAACGAAGGUAAAAGGGUUAGAAUUUUUGAGAUUGCAACUAAGAAAAGAGAGCUCUAAGAACUGAAACUAAAGAGAAGCCAUAAGAUUCGUGGCAAACAUUCCCAGAACCUUCAUAUCUGACUUGAGCGUCGGAGGAUUUACGCCGGGAAAACGACCGGCGCACCCUGACCUGCUUUUGUGUUCGCAUGAAUUUUUGGGGAAGAAACCUUACGAGGAGAGAUCCUGGUCAUGGUAGAGUUGGUCGAGCAGAGGUCCUGGUCUUGGUAGAGAAGGCAACCAGAAUCUCGCAUCAACAAUUAUUUUACUUGAAAUUAUGUACAAUUGCAUUUCAUUCAUUUCUCUCUCUCUUUUUCUUUUUUCCCCCCAUAUAUUUUUUAUGUAUAAUUGCGUUUCAUUUAAUAUUGAUCAUACUGUAGGUAACCAUGUGAUUGUAGAUGGGGAUUUCAAGUUUGUUGAAUAUUCAUGUAAGUGAAGUAACCGUCACAAUACUAGUGAAAUUGGGAGCUUUAUUCAUGAGUUUGUGGUUUUGAAAAGUACCACAGUUCAGCUGAUGAAGGCUUCUUUUUGGGAUUCUUCUUUUCCUAGGCUGCAAUUAGGAUAUGUACAUGAUAGACAAUCUUUUGUUGGUUUGGCAUAUCUUCGCUGAUUUUGUCUUUUAUUCCCCAAUUUUAUAAUUACACACCAUGAAUGUUGGGUGAUUGCAUAGAAAAUUUGUGUUAUAACAAAAACAUUGUGAAGGAGUUUCUGUGCUAAUAGUUAGUGGCUUCUGUUUUAUUGGCAUUGAUUGGGUAGAUUACGUGUUACAGUGAUUCAAUUUGUGUUCCAAACUUUGCUUUAAUUUUCUGUUUUCCCCAACUAUUUAUGUCAAAUUUAAAUCCAGAAGCAUGUACUGAUUUUUUCUUUUUGUAUUAAUUUGUGAAGUUUAUUUGGAAUGGAAGUAACUGGGUCGGGUCUAAUGGAUUAAAUUAUGACAUUGAGGGGAAGGCACUAAAAGGGUUUGCUUGACACAUUUGGUUCUGUGUCUGCAAGAAAUAGCUUUUGCUUAUUGCAAUGCAGGGGGAAAUCCCGAUUUGGCUGGUGAAUUUCUCUGCAACAAACGGGCAAACACCUUGACUUCUUCUGUCCAUACUUCUGCUGGGGAGGCAAGGGGUAAAGAGUCUUCAAAAUCAUCAAAUAGUAACAUCUCUGAGAAUUCAUUUUAUGGAAAUGGAAAAUCUAGAGCUUCUAAUACAAAAUGGUAUCUGGUAUCAGGACGUACCGUUUCAAGUUUUCUUGGUAAAGAUUAUGUUAAACCUGCACAGCCAGCUAAUGGCACUUUUCUGGCAUCAAAGCCAUUGAAGUUGGAUCCAAGGGAGUUUCGCAUUUCUGCACUUUCAGAGAAGAAACUAAACCGAAACAAUCAAAGGAUGACCAUUUGCAGAAGGAUAUGGAAGAUUUUCUGUUUAAAUUGCUAGGAGAAGGGUUCCAGCUGUACAGGGAUGUGAUUCAGAUGGUUCAUGGUAACGUCUUAAAUAUAUUGAUGCCAAUUUAAUACAUAUUGUCCUUUUCAAUGUUCUUUCUUUCUUUCUCCUCUUUUUAUUCUUCUUCUUCUUCUUUUUUCUUUUCAUGUGCAUCUGAUCACUAAUUUGGUAUUAUUCUUAACUUGCAGAUAGUUGUGGAUAUGAUAUGCAAAAAGGUAAGGACUAUAUCUUCUUGAUGGAGGCCUCUGAUUUUUUAAAUCGCAUUUUCCUUUGUGAUUGAUAUAUCAUACCAAAGUCAAGUCUUAAAUACUGCUGUCAUAUGUUAAGGUUCAACUUCCAUUUUGAUUAACGUCGAUUUGCUACUGCUUCCAAAAGUGAGAAUGAGAUACUUUGGUUAAUUUCAGUAGUUGAACCCAAUAGAGUACUUUAUUUAGAUCUUCAUGGUUCAAAGGCCUGAAAAAACUUGCCGGUGUUUGCAAAAUGACAUUCUGUGCUUUUAUUUAGACUUAUUAUUAAAGACAACAUUUUGUUUCAGCCAAAAAUGUUUGUUUCGAUUAAAGACUGAUUUUAUAUUUCUAUUUUGUAACUUGAAAUAAUUGGUCUGCCUGUUUCUGUUGCUUGAUAACAUGAAUUUUUCCUUCUGAAGUUAAUUUGAUCAAUAAAGUAAUUCUUCGGAGAGGAUAUGCCCAUUCUAUAGUCAUUUUCUUAGCUAACAUGUUUUUUCUUCACUCUUCAGAGCAUGUCUAAACUAAUUGAUCGCUCAGCGGAGACUUUGGGUGAGAAGACAAAAUUUCUUGGUAAAUCCUCUGAAAAGGUAUGCAUAAUUCCCGAGUAUUAAAUAAUCAUUGGUCAUAAUUUUUGUACACGACUCUUUUUUUGGAGAUCGUUAAAAGUGGUUGAUGAUCUAUUUUGUAAUAUCAUAGAGGGAUCAUGAAUUCCUUUUCUUUUCUGUGGCUAGGCAACACUUUCGAGCCAAGCUAAGGAAAUCUAUUUUAGGUAAUGUGAAAACCAGUUGUAGGAUGUAAUAGUUUAUUAUGCCCUGCCAAUAACUUUUUGUAUAAUUGUCAGUUUAAUGAAUACAAGAGGAACUCUGUUGGCAAGUUCAUCCAUGAUAGAUGCUAAAAUUAUUUAUGCAUACCAGUUGCCUUAACUAAUUUUUCUCAACACUGGUAUUGAACAGGAAAAUGAAUAUGCAAUUUGUAUAUUGUGCCAUUGUGGAGAAUUUGGAUAUUCUUAUUUAAGUAACAAGGAGAGUAUUUGCCUCAUCUUUAAACAAUGAAUCUUUGAGAAAUGAGGAGUGGGUGAUUGGCAGUGUCUUCAUGUAAAUGUUCAUUUAUUUGUAUUUUGAACUAUUAUGAGAAUCUUUGUAUGCCAAAUUAGUAAUACAAAUGUUCAGAUGAUUUUUCCUGUUGAUCAUGCGUGUGUAUCUGCACACAACCAUUGUGUACCACUUUAUUCUGAUGCGCAAAUAUCUGUAGUUUAGAAGAAAAGAAAUAAUAAUCAUAUAUUAUUGCUUGGUUCAUGAUUAUUAAACGAUUAUGGCUUUAGAAAAUCCACAAAUCCUUUGUGUUCAUAUAUGAAUGUGCGAAGUUCGCUAUAUCUUAGAUUACCUUCUUCCAAGAUAACAAGUUCAUAUAUUUUUUAAUCCUUUUUCAUCACAGUUGAAUUUCAAGUGUAAGUUUUGUUAUUAAUAGCUGGUUUCCUGUUAUUAUGAUUUCAUAAACAGUAAGAGGAUAUGUGCUCUACUUUUGGAGGGCCUCCACAUGAAAGAAAAUUGCAACAAUUGAAUUCUUCCGGAGGGUAUGGUAUUUAAUUUAUUUUCUCAGCUUGUUGUAAGACUAAUAUAUUUCCUUCAGUACGCACGGCAUGGUGGGAAGGGUUUUUAUUGAAACAGUUAUGAUAUUUCUUAGACUUUGUUUUGGAAGGGGGUGGAGGGAUUUCUCAUCCAUAUAUGGUUACUUGAUUAGCUUUUGACUGUAUUGUCUCCGUCGUGCAAAGGAAAAUCCAAAUACUAACGAAGGGGAAUUGCUUAGGCACCCAAAGGACAGAAAUGAAUUACGGAAGGAAGUUUUUGCUGCUUUAUUUAGUGCUGCUGAGAAAUCUGAUGGAUUUCCUGAAAUUACGGUGAAGACGGAGUGGAGGUCCAACGCAUUAGGAAAGGUGGUGAGUGAACCGCCGGAGGAAUUAGUACCAGAACACAAGGCUAAUGUGGUGCACUGGCAGCAAGAUGACCAGACCUGUAUGUGCUCUUAUAUUAACUAUAUUGGCUGGAUUUGUGAGUGUGUACAUUUUUGUGUGUAUACUCACUUUUGGAUUUAUGCAUAUUAACGUGUGUAGGAUUCUCGAUUUCUGCCACUUACUGGAGAACUAGUGGAAAGCUUUAUACUGAUAUAUGUGCUAUAUAACUAAUGGAAACUACAAUAUGAAUAUUUUCUCUCACCUGGAGAACAGUGUAACUGAUAUAAUUUGUGGCUCUGGAAUACUGAAGAUUCUGCAAUAACUAAUGGAAAAUAUGAUAUGAAUAUUUUUUCUCACCUGGAGAACUUUGUAACAGAUACAUUUUGUGCUGGAAUGUCUAAAGAAUGCUUCAGUUUAGAUCAAAUAUCUUUUAGUUAGAAAAGAUAAAAUUCUCUGAAUCUGAAAGACUGAAACAUUUUGCAUAUUUCGUGAAAGGCAAGUAUCUGUAGAUACUAGCUCAUGCAUUGAGGUAAUAUCAAUGUUAAAGAAAAACAGCAAUAAUUUAUUAUACAGAAUUAGGUUCACUUGCUUUAAAUGCUGGUCUGAUCAACCAUAUCAACCUGUAAUGGUCCUGCAGAAAUAUAUAUACGGGGAGAAACUAGCUAAUUUUCCUUUCACUUAUGGGUUUGGUCUUUUUUUUCCCCUAUUUUUCAGCUUUCCUUCUCCUGAAGUAUGUUAACAAUUGCAGAUAAUGACGAAGAGGACCGCUUCCAGGCUCUUUGUAGAGCUGUGAUGGAAUAUAGGGGCACAAUGAAAGAAUAUUGUAAGGCUGUAUGUACUUUCUCUCAUGUCAUUUAUGUUUUCUCACACAUUUUGUAUAUGCCCUGAACAUGCAGCUUUGUAUGUGUCAAUUGCCUUUUACGUUUUAAAAGCCAUAAAGUAAGAAUACAGUUCCUUGUCAGGCUAUUGAUGCGUUCGCUCAGAAGGGUCAUGUUCAAGCAGGAAAACUUCUAGAACAGGUAAGGUUUCCAUCUACAGCCAUCCAUUGACAGCAGAUAUAUUUUCAUUAAGCAGACACUGUUAGCAUUCAAGAUGCUGGCAGAUUCACUUGAUUCUUAUUAGUUUGUUUAGUGGCAAACCAUAUAACCUGUAUUUCAAAGCCAAGUUGUGCUAUUGAUUAUGUUAACUUUAUUGUUAACAUAAAGUGAUAUGGAGGACAUAAUCAAUGUAGGAAAAUUAGGUGAAGAGAUGAUGUCAAAUCUUGAACCUCUUACAAAGCUCCAAGUUCUUUACUUGAAGAAGCUGCCAAAUUUGAAGAGCGUCUACUGGAAGGCAUUUCCAUUCCCAGAUGUAUGCAGAAUUUUUGUAUUAAUGCCCAGUUCUUAAGAAGCUGCCACUGGAUUUUCAAGGGGCGGGCCAAGGUAAAAUUCUUAUCAAGGGAAAGGAAGAUUGGUGGAAAGAACUUCAAUGGGAGGAUCAAGCAACUCAGAAUGCAUUGCUUCCAUUUUUCAAAUCAACUGACAAGUGAUUGAAGGGGGCAUCAUCAACAUCAUCAACUGGGAUGGAGAGAUUAUGGAGCAGAUCAGCAGGGUUUGUAUAUGAUCUUUGGUGGUUGCUUUCUUUUGUGAUUUUUUUUUUCUCAUUUUUUUCCCUUCCUGUCAUUUUAUCAUUUCUUUGUCUCGUUUUCUAUUGCUGAUGUUAGUGUAUGCUUACUGUUGCUUGACAAAGUUUGCUUGCUUCUUGUUUAUUAAUUUUUUUAUGGUCACAAAAUAUUACUUGUUCUAUUUGAGAGUGAUGUGAAUCAAUUUUCAAUUAUAUAUUUUAUGGUCAAUGUGAAUUCAAUUUCAUUUGUCUCCUGCAAUUAUUUAAAAAAUGCAGAGUCAUAAUAUGGAAAAGUCGACCGGCAAAAACUUUGUGAAAGCUUCGGAGUGAAACAGGGAAUUCACUUACUAACAGGGAAUUCACUUACUACUAAGGACAAUUGGUGGCGAGCUAUUCCAUUCAUUUUAUGUCCAUACAUCUAUUUAAUUAUUAAAGAUAAGUGGUCCAUUUGUAAAUUUCAGAUUGUGUCUCUCUGAAAAUAACAAUAUUUAAAAUGUCUCUUAAAUUAUUAUAAAUUUUAAUUCACUCUCGAUUUAAAAUGGAACAUGCUGAUGAAAUUUUUUUUCUUCUUAAUAAAAUUGAAAUAAAUUGUGUUUGCAGUAGUUUGAAAUAUUUUAAAGAUUAUUAUUUUAUAAGGGAGUAAUAUGAAAUGAAAUUUACUUUUCAUGCGUGAAAUGUUGAAAAAGGACACAGCAAGUGUCCCUGCUUUUAUUUUAUUUCAAAGUGGAGUCAUCUCACAUACUUUAACUCUAUCGUUACAAUUUUUCAGGUUACAUUUUUAUUUAUUUAUUUAUUUUCUUUUUUACACAUGCAUGUGGGUUACUUUUCCGUAAGCUCCUUAAUAUAUAUAUUUAACACAAAUCAUGGAAGAGAUGGGAGUAUAUCAAGAUGAUCAAAGCAUGAAACAAAAAUAUUUAAGAAGUAAAACACUGAAAAUAGAGAAGAGAUGCAAGCAAAAGAUAUUCCAAAGAAAAGCAAUCUAUCUCCUUUCGAAGAAUGUUAUGGAAGAGUUGAACCCAGCGAAGAAUGUUAUGGAAGAGCAAAUUAAUGAUAUUUUUGAUAGAGUCUAUUUGAUUAUGUAGCCUGAAUAGAUGUCUUGUUGAAAGAUAUCUCAGUGCAUUAGUUCAUCCUUGACUGUCAAUGUGUUUUUAAUGGUUUUUCCAAAUUUUUAUUAUUAUAGAUUGAUUGUAAAUUUGAUAUGAAUUUAAUGUUGAAAUGUUUUCUCUUUAGUGGAAUGAAUUUAAAAGUGCAAAAGCUUAUUGCACACAGAGAAAUAAACAUAUAUGCUUUAUAACUUUAGCAAUCGAUUCUUUUACAGCUGGAAACAGAGAUGAUGAUUAUCAUAGGGGUGAAGAAAAGGACAAAAAAUGUUAAUGGUUAACGAAAUUUCUAUGCAAAUUGAUUUUAGCAGGAAAAAAGUGAGCUAAAUGAUCUUAAUGUUCCACAAGAAAAAGCAAGAUCUUAAUGUUCCACAAAAGCGUUAUUUAUUUUUUUUUGGUGAGCCACGUGGAGCUCAAUUAUCAUUGUCUUUACUUUAAAAACGUUAUUUUAUUUUCUUUUAUUACAAAUUAAUGCUAACAAGAAAAAGCAAGAUAUAAUAUUCCACAAAAGCAAAUCGUAAUAUUCCACAGAGGAGUAAGAUCCACAAAAGCAAACAACUAGCUGGAUUCUUUUAUUGAACUACAAAUUAAAACAACAAAUUAAAGUUCAAAUAUUUAAAUAGUAGUGCGUUAGACGAUUAGGCUCUUUUAUUAAAGGGAAGUAUAAAGUAGUCCAGAAUCGAACAUCUCUAUUGUCUAGUCUUUUUUUUUUUUUUUAAUUCUUCUUUUAUUAUUUUUCAGAAUAGGUUUUGGUGAUUACUAUUGGGUUAUUAUUGAGAGUUAUUGUUAUCUUCCGGGGCAGUUUCUGUUAAUCGAAAUCGUUAAUUAAAAUUUUAGAACUCUUAUUGGAAGAAUGUUUUUCCGUUAUUUUUUUAUAUUCUAAUUUCAAUUGUAAGAAGUAGUCAUUUUAGAAUUUGGGUCUUGAAUCGAAUUUCAAUGCAUGAAUUAAUAUUUAAAAAAAAAAUUACUACACGCAGUUUAGGUUACAAACUAUUUUUUGCAAAGUUGAUUAUGAAAUUGGAAAAAUUAAGUAAUUUAUAAUGUUUGCAAAGGAAGAGACUAACAUACUUCCAAUUACACUAUAUCUCUAUUAUCAUAAUGUUAAGAUUAAACUAACUUAAAAUAAAUUUUAUUUGAAAAGUUAUAUCAAACGCAGUCUAAUUUUAUUAACUUGAAGAGAUAAUAGUUAUAGAAAUUAUUGUUCUAACUUAAUUAGUACAAGUGGUAUAAAGGUUAAGUGUGCACUAAAUUUGUUUAAAUUUUUUCCAGAAUAACUAACAGAGGUCAUUACUAGAAUUAUAAUUACUAGUCUAUUAGAUAGAAAAAAUUAUUUAUAUUGUUUUAUAUUUAUUAAAAAAUUUUAAAGUCAAUCUUUUUAAUUAUUAUUUAAAGGAUAUUAUAAUUAAAAAAAAUUUAAUGUCUUUAUUAAAAAUUUAAAAAUUUAAAAAUUUAAAAAUUUACAUGACCGCUCUAUAAAUAUUGAAAGUGUAACUGUCAUUUUCUCAUAUAUAUAUAUAUAUAUAUAUAUAUAUAUAUAUAUAAACCACGGUGGUGAAGCUUUAUUUAAUAUUAAUGAUUUAAAUAACAAUAUCUCAAUUAAAAAUGUAGAGAGAAGAAAUUUCGGUGGGUAUAUUAGUCUUUUACAAUUAUCAUGAUUAACCCUUCCUCUUGUAACGUUGGUCAGAAAAGUUUUAAAAUGCCUUGAUUUCUUUUACUUUUAACGUUAGCGGCCUUCCUUAUAUUUUAUUACAAAUUAGUCCUAACAAGAAAAAGCGAGAUCAUAUUCCAAAAAAGCAAAAGUGACAAAAAAACCAGCUGUAUUCUUUUAUUAAACUACAAUUUAAAAUGAUUUUAAAGUGGAUUCUUUUGAAUACAGGUGGGGUAGUCGAAUAGUCUUUUUCAAAUUCUUGUUUUAUUAUUUUUCAAAACUAGUUUUUGGUAAUUACAAUCGGGUCAUUCAUUAGUCAUUAUUCAGAGUUAUUGUUAUCUUCGGGGGCAGUGGGUAAAAGGCUAAAUGAUAAUUACUAAGUGUUUUUCCUUCAAAAGUUAGUGGCUCGUGUUUUGCAAGUGUGUACGUGCGAUGCUCUUUGUCUAAAGGCAAUUACAGUGGGUCCCGAAUCGGACGUGCCUAAUAAAUCUUUUAAAAAUUUUUCUAAUAAAUAUUCCUAAAAUUUCUCUUCCACAGGCAAUUACAGCAGCUUCAGUUAAUCAAACUCAAUCAAUUUUCUUUCUUAACAAAAUUCCAAAGAUGUGUGGCUGUUUUCAGAUCACAUGCGAUGGUACUUUUUUCAAUCGUUGCUUAGAUUGCUUUCUUGGAAAAGCAGCAUACAUACGUAACCUCCAAGAUAACCUCGUUGCCUUGGAGACUGAACUAAGGAAACUAAUCGCAGCAAAGAACGAUGUGAUGACGGCGGUUGUCAAUGCUGAACGGCAACAAAUGAGAAGGCUGGAACGAGUGCAAGUGUGGGUUUCGAGUGUGGAUUCUGUUAAAACUGGAGCCGAUGAACUUAUCACAGACGGCUCUGAAGAAAUUGGCAAAUUAUGUGUUGGAGGCUACUGUUCCAAGAACUGCAGGUCAAGCUACAAGUUCGGAAAACAAGUGGCUGAAAAGCUACAACAUGUGAAGAAUUUAAUCGCCGAGGGAGUUUUUGAGGCGGUGGCCACUGAGGUGGUGCCCGAGAGAGCUCCGGAACCUGUAGCAGAUAAAAGACCCAUUGAGCCAACAAUAGUAGGCUUGCAAUCACAGCUUGAAGAAGUUUGGAGAUGUCUUGCAGAAGAAUCAGUGGGAAUCAUUGGCCUAUAUGGUAUGGGCGGUGUUGGUAAAACCACACUAUUGACCCAUAUCAACAAUAAAUUUCUUGAGAGUCCCACAAACUUUGAUUGUGUGAUUUGGGUCGUAGUUUCAAAAGACCUGCGACUUGAAAAAAUUCAAGAAGAUAUUGGGAAGAAGAUAGGUCUAUCUGAUGAUUCAUGGAAGAAUAAAAGUUUUGAAGAGAAAGCUGUGGACAUCUUGCGGAGAUUAGGAGAGAAGAGAUUUGUAUUGUUGUUAGAUGAUAUAUGGGACCGGGUUGAUUUAACAAAGGUGGGCGUUCCACUUCCCGGACCACAAAAUACUACCUCAAAAGUCGUAUUCACAACCCGUUCCAUCGAUGUUUGUGGCAGCAUGAGAGCUAGGCCGGUUAAAGUGGCAUGCCUAUCAGAAAAGCAAGCUUGGGAACUGUUCCACGAAAAUGUUGGGGAAGAAACUCUUGAGAGUGAUCAUGAGAUCGUUGAGCUAGCCCAAACAGUGGCCAAAGAGUGUGGUGGUUUGCCACUCGCACUUAUUACUAUUGGUCGAGCUAUGGCCUACAGAAAGAAAGCGGAGCAGUGGAGACGUGCAAUUGAAGAGUUAAGAAGAUCAGUUUCAGAGUUUGCAGGUUUGGGAAAAGAGGUGUAUCCUUUUUUAAAGUUCAGCUAUGAUAGUUUGCAGUAUGAUACGGUUAGAUCUUGUUUCUUGUAUUGUUGUUUAUAUCCUGAAGAUUAUGGCAUUCUUAAAUGGGACUUGAUUGAUUGUUGGUUUGGCGAGGGAUUUUUUGGGGAAUCUGACAGGUCUGGUGCAGAAAACCGAGGAUAUGGCAUUUUGGACACUCUUGUUCGUGCAUGUUUAUUAGAAGAGGUGGAAGAUGAUAAAGUAAAAAUGCAUGACGUUAUUCGUGAUAUGGCUAUAUGGAUAGCUUGUGAAAUUGAGAAGGAGAAGAGAAACUUUUUGGUUUGUGCAGGUGCUGGAUUAAAAGAGGCACCGGAUGUUAAAGGAUGGGAAAAUGUGAGAAGAUUGUCAUUGAUGCAAAACCAAAUUAAAACUCUGUCAGAGGUUCCUACAUGCCCUCAUCUCCAUACUCUAUUUCUUGACUUUAAUAAGGAGUUGGAGACGAUCGCGGAUGGCUUCUUCCAAUUUAUGCCUUCUCUCAAAGUUUUGAAGAUGUCAAACUGUGGGCAUGUCAAAGUUUUGAAAUUACCUAUUGGGAUGUCAGAGUUGGGUUCAUCACUAGAACUUCUUGAUAUUUCAAAUACCAACAUAACAGAGUUACCAGAAGAGUUGAAGUUGUUGGUAAAUCUGAAAUGUUUGAAUUUGAGGUGGACAAUUUGUUUAAAUAAAAUUCCAUGGCAACUAAUAUCAAAAUUUCAAGGUUACGUGUGUUGAGAAUGUUCGCUACUGGCUUUGCACGUUUUGAUGCAGCAUCAGAAGACAGCGUUUUAUUUGGUGGGGGUGAAGUUUUAGUACAGGAAUUGGUCGGUCUGAAAUAUUUAGAGGUAUUGGAGUUGACCUUGGGAUGUCAUCAUGCUCUCCAAAUUUUUUUGAGCUCAAAUAAGUUAAAAAGUUGUAUUCGAUCUCUUCUCCUCCAAUUGGCCGGAGAUACAAAGUCGAUUAUUGAUGCUACGGCUUUCGCAGAUCUAAACCACCUCAAUGAAUUAUGGAUUGAUAGGGCUAAGGAGUUGGAAGAAUUGAAGAUUGAUUGUAAAGAAAUAGUACAAAAAAGGCGGGAACCUUUUGUUUUCCGCAGCCUUCACCGUGUUACUAUACAUAGCUGCCAGAAGUUGAAAGAUUUGACAUUCCUCGUUUUUGCUCCAGACCUCAAGUCUCUCGAUCUAGACCGUUGCGAUGCUAUGGAAGAAAUAAUCAGCGUCGGAAAAUUUGCUGAGACUCCUGAGAUGAUGGGACAUAUAAGCCCUUUCGAAAAUCUCCAAACUCUUCAUUUAAGAGCGUUUAACAUCUUUUCUCGACGACCUGCACGAUUGCCUUUCACUCAUCUGAAGGAAAUGGAGGUAAGUGGGUGCGAUCAGCUUAAAAAGCUUCCACUCGAUUCCAACAGUGCAAAAGAGCGUAAAUUUGUUAUUCGUGGAAAAGAAGACUGGUGGAACCGACUUCAAUGGGAGGAUGAAGCCACUCAAAUUGCUUUUCGUUCCUGUUUCCAACCUGAGCGGUUAGUCGCAAAAUUUGAUUUCUGGUGAUUGCGUUUGUCUUUUAACUCUUAUAUAUAUUCUUGUCGUUUGUUUUCUUCUCUGUUUUUAACUCUUAUAUUGCGUUUGUCUUUUGAAAAUCUCCAAUUAAAUGUUGAAUUAAUGGAAUUAAUGCUUCAUAAAUUUGCCGGCACUGCCAUCACUUUUUUUUUUUUUAAUACAAAUUGAUACUUUAUUUAUAUCUUCUUAGCGAUAUAAUUUCCUGUCAAUUGACGAACGAGAAGAACAUACGACUUAAACCAAUUCACGCAUAAACUUGCUGUAAAAAGAUAUAAUCUCACUGAAAUGCACACGUCUAGAAUGAAUAGAAUUAAAACAGGGAAAAUAUUUAAGUAUAUUAGCCCUCUUUACCGAAAAUGAAAUGACAAUAAAUUUUUUGAAAGUUUUGAUUUUCUAUGGUCAAUUCCACCUUUUGCAAUUUCUUCUGUUCUAACAAAAACCAAUUUCUUUGUUCAAGUAUUUUCGUUUGGGUAUUAAUAAUUCUCCACCGAAAGAGUGAACUCUUGCUCAAGGGAUCUCUAAUCAAUAGCCGGAAGGGCGCCGAGACCUGAUCGGACCUAGGCCCAAGUUUGGUCUUAAAGCCUGGGCUUGAGCCUGGCAAUUAAAUUAAAACAUUAAUUGAUUUCUUGAUUGAAUUGUCGUGUAAUUGAUUUAUGGGGGAUGACACAUCAACAUGCUUGAAAACACACUAAUCUCAGCAUCAUCGGUUAAUAACUUUUAGAAUUAUGGGUAAUCAAUAGUUAAGAUUAGUUGUCAUUAAUACUAAAUAUUUUUUUACUAUUUUCGUCUCUUCUAGAGGAUCUUCUAGAAAAAUGCAUCCACAACAAAAUUUAAUACUUUACAUAAUAAACAAAGCAUAAAUGUUAAAUUUAAGAAACUGCAUUGUAUUUCAGCUGAAGUUGACUUUAAUAUUUAGGGUAGAAAAAUAAUAAAUCCUUAAUGUGUUUAAUUUCUAUCACUUGUGUCAUUAAAAUUUUCUAGUCACCCUAACCAAUUACAUCUCAACCCACUUUUUUUUGGAUGAUUUUAUUUUUACACUAUUAUUUUCAUCAUUUUUUUUCCUUUUAACACCAACAUUAGUGUAUGUUACGUAACAUAAUUCAUAUUUGGAUAAUUUGAAAUUUGUUUGUGUUUUAUCUCAAAAUAGAGCUUCAAUCAAUUUGUACCUCAUAAAUUCACAAUAUCUAUGAGGGCUAAUAAGACCAAACUCUGGCAUAUUGUCAAAUGUGCUUAUCCUUUUGCUUGACAUGUCAUUUUAAAAUUGUCAUUCAAUGCCAAAAAAUCACAUCAACUGAUGGCCGACUACUUUAAUUUGAAAGCAUGCAUGCGAUCGCCAAUAAUUAUAACUUAAUUGUUAUUUUGAAAUUUUUUUCUUUAUAAUUUUUAAGUUUAAUACUACUACAUGUGCAGCACAUAAGUUGGAAAAUAUAACAUAAAAUUUGAAAAAUGUGUAGCUUUCGUUCCUUUUUUUUCUUAAAAAUGAGGAAAAAGAAUGUAAUUUUGUUUAAAUUACUGUUGUGAUAACAAUUAUUAUUUUAUUGAUUAAUUGGCAGAGAAUGGUUAUGGUUUCGCAUGGUUGUUAAAACAUUGGAAAAUCCACUACAUCAUCCGUUAAUAACUUUCAGAUUUAUGGUUAAUCAAUAGUUGAGAUUUGUUAUCAUUAAUGUUAAAUAUUUUUUUAAUAUUUUUUCUCUCUCCUAGAGGAUCAUCACAGCAAAAAUUUAAUAUUAUAAAUAGUAAACAAAAUAUAAACAGUUAAAUCUAAGAAACUGCAUUGCAUUUCAGCUGAAGCUAACUUUAAUAUUUAAUGGAGAAAAAUAAUUAAGUCCUUAAUGUACUUUAUUUACCCAUACUGAUACGCUCUUAAUUCGUGAAACUGAGCAACAUCAAAAUUAUCACUACUUCGAGCGAGUGUUUGCUCCAGAAGAAAGAACUGGAAGUUGAGAAAUGAGAAAGAAGAAAAGAAGAAGAGUCACAGCGAGGAAUAAAAGUGGUCCAUUCAUUUCAUGCCUUCCCAAAAUGACAAAAUCCCGCAAUAUAUAACAGACAAUCGAAAAUAACCAAUUUGACAACGCAACAGAAAAUGACAAAAAAGAAUCCAAAACAAACGUAGCCAAUCACAAUGCUUUUACAGAUCAUCCUAAACGACGUAGUCUCGUAGCCAAUCUAGAAGUUUCUUGUUUCGUUUGGGCCGUUGAUUCUCUUGCACUGGCUCAUGGUGAAUGUCCUCUUUGGGUUGACUGACUGUGGGUUCUCGGUUGAGCUCUUCCACUUGCGCCCCCUCUAAUGGCUCUAAUUUGAUAUAUAAAUUCGUAUCAUUCCCUCCUGCUUGAAAACACACAUUGUCCUCAAGGUGAAAUGCUGGAUAGAGCUUACAAAAGGCGUCAAAGUUUUCCCAAGACGAAUUCUUCGGUGAACUGACGGUCCAUUGAACUAACACUUGAAGCGUUGGCUUCCCCUGUUGCAAAACUAUUCGGGUUGCACAAAUGGCAGCCGGUAGCAAAAGAGGAUGGUUAUCCACACUCAACUCUGGUAAAGGAUGUGAAAUAGCAGGGUCGUUGCCAUGAUAAUGCUUAAGGACAGAGAUGUGAAAAACCGAGUGGAUUUUGGAAGUAUUGGGUAACUCCAAUUUGUAAGCUACAUACCCCACUCUAGCAAGUACCGUAAAUGGCCCGUAGUAUCACUUGGCCAACUUCUGACAGGCGCGAGAAGCUAUAGUGGUCUGUCGAUAUGGCUGUAAUUUAACCAGCACUUUAUCCCCUACUUCAAAGUGAGCUUCACGGCGAUGGGCAUUAGCUUUCUGAGCCAUUCGAUGUUGUGCUUGCCUCAAAUUAGCUUUUAAAGAUUGGAGAAGAGUAUUACGUUCAAGGAGAAUGUCCUCCAAAGUUUGGAUUGAAGUAGAGCCCUUAGCAUAAUGAGGAAUAGUUGGAGGCAAUCGGCCAAAUAAAGCUUGAUAGGGAGACAUCUUCAAGCCACUGUGGAAAUGAGAAUUAUAACUAAAUUCUGCCCAACUCAGUAAGGAAACCCACUUCCGUGGUUUGUCUUGAGUGAAAGCUCGUAAAUAUUGCUCCAAUCCUCAAUUUACCACUUCCGUUUGACCAUCCGUUUGAGGGUGGUAUGCCGUGCUAUGACGAAGAGUUGUGCCACUUAAGAGGAAUAAUUGUUUUCAAAAAUUGCUCAAGAACACUGGGUCUCGAUCGGAGAUAAUUGAACUUGGAAAACCAUGUAUUUUAAUGACCAUGUCCACAAAGAGUUCAGCUGUCUUGAGGGCAGUAAAUUGACAGGGUAACGGACCAAAAUGGGCAAAUUUUGUAAGACGAUUGACAACAACCAAUAUGACCGAGAAACCUUGUGCUAACGAAAGACCUAUAACGAAAUCCAUUGUGACCUCAUCCCAAACCAUAUUAGGUAUCGGCAAUGGUUGAAGAAGACCAGCAGGGGCUUGAGUGGAAUACUUAGUUUGCUGGCAUAUUAAACACUCUCGGAUAAACGUUUCCACAUCAUGACGCAUCUUGGGCCAAUAGAAUGUUGAAGAUAAUCUGAUUAAGGUUCUAGUGACACCCACAUGACCUGCCAGUGGUGUAGAGUGAAAUUCUUGCAAUAGUACGACUUUUAAAGAGGAGGUAGGACUGAUGUAAUAACGCUGACGGUGGAGAAGAAAUCCGUUUUGAACAGAGAAGUCAACUGACAGUUUGCCUUGUAAAAGUUGCUGGUGAAGUGAUAUUAAAUCAGGUAAUGUGGUAUUCUCAUUAAGUAAUGACUGCAGCAAUUCAAAUGAAGGAUGGCUGUUGAAAGAAAGGCAAGUGGGGGAGAUGUUGAUGUUAUCCUCAGGAGCUGUUUCAUGGACACGGGAUAGAGCAUCAGCGGCGCUAUUGGUACAACAUGGUCUGUACUCAAUUCUGAAUUGGAAACCCAAUAAUUUGCGGAGAUAAACUUGCUGAUCUAGUGUUUGUAUCACUUGUUGAAGGAGUUCUUUGAUACUCUUAUGAUCCGUGCGGAUAACAAAGAAUCGGCCCAACAAAUACUGCCGCCACUUAUACACAGCUUCUACAAUUGCAUGCAACUCCUUGAUGUAAGUGGAAGAAGCCCGCAAUUUGGGACCCAACUUCUUGCUGAAAUAAGCAAUUAAAUGCCCAUGUUGUGUAAGUACAGCUCCUAUGCCUACAUUAGAAGCAUCGGUCUCAAUGACGAAUUCGAAAGUAAAAUUCGGCAACUUAAGGACUGGAGCUUGCACCAUUGCUUGUUUAAGAGCUUCAAAGGCCUCCAUGGCUGUCAAAUUCCAUUGAAAGGCAUCAUUUCGCAGCAAAUCAGUGAGUGGGGCUGCCAAGGAAGCAUAACCACGGAUGAAGCGCCUAUAAUAUCCAGUGAGACCAAGAAAACCCCUCAACUGUUUGAUAGAACGUGGAAUUGGCCAAUUAAGCAUGGCAUCAAUCUUUUGGGGGUCGGCUUGUACUCCCGAGGCUGAAACAAUACGGCUUAGAUACUCAAUAGCGGCUUGGCAAAACAAACAUUUGGAUAAUUUAAUAAAAAAUUGAUGAAGAUGUAAACAAGCUAAUACUUUCUCAAGAUGAAGCAAAUGCUCGGCCAUGGAGGAGCUAUAAACCAAGAUAUCAUAAAAAAAAACGAUCACAAAUUUCCGGAGAUGAGCUGCAAAAAUCUGAUUCAUUGUGGCUUGAAAAGUGGAUGGGGCAUUUGUCAACCCAAACGGCAUGACAAGAAACUCAUAAUGGCCCUCAUGUGUUCAAAAUGUCGUUUUGUAUAUGUCGCGGUUGUGGACACGAAUUUGAUGGUAUCCCGCGCGCAAAUCCAAUUUGCUAAAAAUGGUGGCGCCCCCAAGUUCAUCAAACAACUCAUCGAUUGUCGGUAUAGGAAAUUUGUCUUUGAUGGUUACGGCAUUUAAUGCACGAUAGUCAACACAAAACCGAUAGGUGCCAUCUUUUUUCUUGACCAAGAGAACCGGGGAGGAAAAAGGGCUUUAGUUCGGUCGGAUUAUGCCCUACUCUGACAUUUCCCUGAUCAGUUUUUCCAUUUCAGAUUUCUGGAAGUGUGGGUAGCGGUAUGGACGAACAUUGACGGGGGCUGUGUUGGGUAAUAAAUGGAUUUUGUGGUCAAUAGUUCUGUGCGGUGGUAGGCUAGAAGGUUGGAGAAAUAGGUGUUUGUAUUGCUGUAAAAGGUUGAGAAAUUGAGCAGGAAGGGAAAAAGGAAAUUCAAGUGAGGAAGUGUCUGUGAUGGAAAAUGAAGGCAAAGCAUCGAUAGCGGGCACUGGUUGUAAGGCACAAAGGCUGGUCACGGUAUCACUUUGAACCAAUACCUGCAAUUGAUUAUAAGUGAUCAAAUUAUUAGAAGACAAAUCACCAUGAAGCAUCACUGGUUGCUCAUUUAAAGAAAACUCCAUAGGACACUUUGCCCAAUUUCUGUAGCCAUUGAAUGCCAAGGACCACAUAUGUGCCCUCAAUUGGCAAAAUGAAGAGGUCUACCAUAAAAGCCGUGCCUUGCAUUGUUAAGUUCACUUGAGGACAGAACUGUUUACACACCAGGAAGUCACCGUUGCCAAUAUACACUCGGAAAUUGGUAGUUGGAUGAAUGGCUAACCCCAAUCGUUCCGCUAACGCCGGUUUUAUGAAAUUGUGAGUGUUGCCACUAUCAAUCAGCACUUGAAAGGUGUGCGAAUCAAUUUCUCCAAUUAAACGAAGAGAGCGAGGAUUGGCCUGCCCUGCUAGAGCAUUUAAGCUAGAGAUGUCACCAGUAAUACCAGCAUCUACCAAUUCUGAUGGUUCCUCGUUAUUUUUGGGUUCCAAUUCUUCAUCAUCCGUGCCCAUGAGAAGUAGAAAUUUACUGCGACAGAGAUGAUUGUUGCUGUAUUUUUUGUCACAAUUGUAACAUAAACCCUUCUCGCGUUUGUCGCAAAGUUCAGCCGAAGACAAACGGCGAAUUGGUAAUGUUGGUGUCGAUAAUAAUGCAGGUAAAGUGUUUGAUUUAUUGGUAUUGUGGGUUUGUGAGGGAAGAGUUGAAGAUGAUACGGGGGUGAUGGCUGUGGUAACAGUUGCAAGUGAUGAGGAUGGAUAAAUGGGUUUGGGUUGUGUUUGGAAACCAUGUGAAAGGGGAUAUGGUUGCUGCCAUUUAGGCCAUGAGCGUGAGCUCUGUUUCACUUCGUCAUAUUUGGCCUCAAAAGCACGAGCUAAAGUUUCCAUUAGUGAAGACGGUCUAGAGAAAAGCAAUUCCCGUCGAAUGUUGGGUUUCAGACCAGUGAUGAAAAAACUAAUCAAAAGAAGUUCAGAAAUUCCAGUGACCUUGUUCAUUAAAUCUUCAAAAGCUGACUGGAAAUCUGCAACCGUGGUAGUUUGACUCAAUUUGGACAAAUCACCUUGGGGAUCUUCACACAAAGAAGCACCAAAACGAUAGCGCAAGUUAGCUAAAAAUUCUUGCCAAGUAGUGAGCAAGUGAUUGUUCUUUAUCCAUUGAUACCACGCUGCAGCGCGACCCUCCAUAUGAAAAGAGACAAUCCGUAGUCGGAGGAUCUCAGGUGUGUCAUGAAAGUCAAAAAAUUCUUCUAUUCGAAAAAUCCAUCCAUUUGGGUCAGACCCAUCGAAUUUGGGCACAUCCAUUUUCAUGGAACAAAGUACUGGAGAAACUUUAGAACCAGUAAGAACGCCAUCAUAUUUAGAAGAUGAAGGGUGUGAAGGGUUGGAGGAACCAACUGGUUUGUUGGAAGACCCAUGAAUUUAUGUACGUAACUCCUCAAAACGAGAGUCAACUGAUGUCAUGAAUUGUUGGAUUGUUUGAUGGAUGGACAGUUGCUACCCAUCAAGUUUGGCGUCAAAAGUUGCUUGAAGGGUCUGUAAAGCAUAAAGAAUUUCAGAAUUUGCCAUGAUCAAUGAAAGCACCAGUGAUACGCUCUUAAUUCGUGAAACUGAGCAAUAUCAAAAUUAUCACUACUUCGAGCGAGUGUUUGCUCCAGAGGAAAGAACUGGAAGUUGAGAAAUGAAAAAGAAGAAAAGAAGAAGAGUCACAGAGAGGAAGAAAAGUGGUCCAUUCAUUUCUUGCCUUCCCAAAAUGACAAAAUCCCGCAAUAUAUAACAGACAAUAAAAAAUAACCAAUUUGACAACGCAACAGAAAAUGACAAAAAAGAAUCCAAAACAAACGCAGCCAAUCACAAUGCUUUUACAGAUCAUCCUAAACGACGUAGUCUCGUAGCCAGUCUGGAAGUUUCUUGUUUCGUUUGGGCCGUUGAUUCUCUUGCACUGGCUCAUGGUGAAUGUCCUCCUUGGGUUGACUGACUGUGGGUUCUUGGUUGAGCUCUUCCACUUGCGCCCCCUCUGAUGGCUCUAAUUUGAUAUAUAAAUUCGUAUCACAUACAUGCGGUUAAUUUUUUAAGAUAAAGGGGAAGGAUGAUGCUCAAAAAUAUAAAUUAUAGAAUUAAUUGAACUCUCAAAUAAGUUUAAAGUUCAUUAUUUUUAAUUACAUGUUUAUAAUUUAUUUUUAUUUCGUAUUAAUCUAUAGAUCUAAAUCCACUUUGGAUUCAUAUACACAUAUAGACAUAAUGUGUAUGUUAAUCUAUAGGUCUAAAUUCACUUUAGGUCUAUAUAGGUAUUUUGACAAAUGUACUCCAAUCAUGCAUAUUGGCAAGUUCAAAUUCAAUUUGGAAUAUGGUCAUGGUACGUUCUUGUUCUUCCCUCUUUACGAGUGCAUUCCCCCCAACCUCAAGCUCCCUCUCUCGUCUUCAAUGUCACUGCUUAUAUCCUUAUGUUGUUCUAGUUUGAAACAGUGGCUUCCACUAUUUCAGGGCCCCCAAAAAUCCAGAAACAUACUAUUCAUCACGAUGACAAAAUUUUGGGCAGGCAGGUGCUUCCUGACUUUCACACGGUAAUUCUCAAAUUCUGAUUUCACCAUAUUUUAAUUACUGAUUAUGCUCUCCAUUAUAAUAGAAGUCGCCGCCACACUAGUGAUUCCAAACUUUAUCUUUUUUCCUUUUUUAAAUUAAUGCAAGUAGCCGCUGUCCUUUUUAUUAAUUAAUUAAUUCGGCCGCCCACAUUUCUUUUUCUAAUGUCUUCUACUGUCGAGUUUAUUUUAUUUUCCCUUUAUUCUUAAAAUAUACUUAUAAUAAUAAAAUAUAAAAAUAAAAAUAAAAAUUAACAUAUCAAAAUAUAAUUUAACAGAAAAUUAAGAUGAAAAAUAAAAAAAAAUAAAUUCUGAACAUAUCAAUCAAUAAAUGAAAAAUAAUAAUUUUUAUUUUUAUUAAAUAUAUUUUUUUCAGUAUUAAUCAAUUAUCUGAAUAACUAAAAUCAUUUAAAAAUAAAUAAACAAAUUAUUCUUUAUAAAAAAAAAAAACUUUUUAUAACACUCACUAUGCUGGUUGUAGGGUAGACGCUUUGGGGACUGAAGUUGGUAACUUCUACAAGUAGUCUUAAGUUGAUAACUUCUACAAGUAGUCUUAAGUUGACUGGCAAAUGUUCUCAGUAUUAUAUUGGUGUGUCGAUAUUAUCUCUAACUGCCUUAUAGAUAAAAAAAUAAUCUAAAUUUAAAAUUUAACAUAAAAUAAAAUAAUUGGUAGAAAAACAAUUAUGGUUCAUUUACUUAUCAGUAAUCAGAAUAGACUGAAAUCGAAAUGAGUUGUAUUACCGUUGAUGUGUUUAUGUUGUCCUCGAAUCGGAAUGAAUUAUUUUAAGUUACUAAAAUAUCCUUGGUUUGUUAUUCUAAUUAUUAUUAUUUAAUAUUUAUUAUAAUAUUUGUCAUAUCAUUAAAAAGAAAUAAUAAUGAUGAUAAUAUUAUCAUUAUUGUUUGUUACAUUAUUAUUAUUCAAAAAAAUUAUUGUUAAUAACAAUAAUUACUUUAUUUCAAUACUAAUAAUGAUAAAAUUAAUAAUAACAAACAACAAUAAUUAUUUAUUAUGCCAAAAAUAACAAUAAUAAUAAUCAUCAUCAUUUUUUUUCCCAAAGAAGCAUUAUCAUCAUUUCAAAAAAAAUAUCAUCAUUAUCAUCAUCAUUUUUGUAGUGGCUGCCUAUCGGCUGUUGCUUUCAUGUGAGAUUGACUUGCGACGCUUCAACGGCUAUUAUUUCUGGCAAUGUCAGGUGUUACUGUUUCAAUUUAGGAAGAAGCUGUUUCGUUGUGCUAACGAUGGGAGAUGUUGUGGCUGCGAUUCGGGGAGCUACUAGUUUAUUGCACUAAUGACGGCAGGUGCUGCUGCUUGAUGCGAGGUCCAUGGCCAGUUGUCAGCAGUUCGACUUUGGUAUGGGUGCUGCUGGUUCGAUUUUAGGUGUUGUCCAAUUUCAUUUUCAGGAUUUUAAUUUUAUUUUUCUUUUAUAUUUUCAUUAAUUAAUCAGGACAAAGUUGGAUUUUAGAAUUUGGAAUGAAGGUAAUUUUGUUAAUCAUGGAAAUGAGAUUCUGAUUGUCGAGAAUGAGCUUACACAAACAACUACAAAUUAAGUGAAAACAAAACGCUUUUUCUCUUUGUGUGAUUAAAACAUGAUAUGUACCAUAAAUAAAUAGGUAAAAAAUAAAUUAAUACAAUCCAAAACAGUAAACUAAUUACAAGAGGCACAAAUUUUUAUGUGAAAUACCAAAAAUAGAAAAAACCACAGCAUCUUAGUAUGAGAUAAUCUUCUACUAUAUUAAUGAGAUUAUAGCACAAAUUCUUCCUUAUAUAACACUAGAGGUUAACAACAUCAAGAAUUUCAAUAAUCUUGACUUACAAUACAGCCUAAUAUUUGUCUCUCUAAUAAGUAGAUAUCUAAAAUAACAGUCUCUAAUAAAUAAGUAUCUCAAAUAACAGUCUCUAAUAAGUAUCUCAAAUAAUAAUUUCUAAUAAGUAUGUAUCUCAAAUAAUAGUUAACAAGAGGAUAAAACAAAAAUUAAGAUUAGUAGGAUUGUAUAAGGCGAUGCUAUCAACUUAUCUUCUAAAUUUGAGAAAAAUAGUUAAAUUCACUUUUUCGAUUGUGACCAAAGAUGGAAACCUUUGCCCCAAAACCAAAGGAAUCACCAUUUCUCUCUCUCUCUCUCUCUCUCUCUCUCUCUCUCUCUCUCUCUCUAUCUCUCUCUCUCUCUCUCUCUUCUUCUACUUUUCUUAAUGUUAGCCGCCACUCGCUUUUAUUCUUUAUAGCAUUUAAAAAGCUACUUUUAAUGGUAAAUUUCAUUUAAGUCCAAAACUUAGUGAUAAUUGUACACCAAACAAUUCUUUUUGGACUAUGAGCUUUUGGGCCUCCAAAUGAGAUGAAUACAACAAAUCUCCCCCUUUAGAUCAUGUGGGGGGCACCACAAGCCUGCUCUCUGCAUAUAGUUUUUCAACUUCUCCUUGAAUAAUGACUUUGUCAUCAUACAUAACCCAUUCUCUGUUGUGUAAAUUUUCUCAAGCUGUAGCUGUUGCUUCUCAAGCACGUCUCGUAUCUAAUGAUAUCUCACAUCAAUAUGCUUAGAUUUCGAAUGGUUUAUCAAAUUCUUUGAACGGCACUCUGACUGUCGCAGUACAUAACAUAGCUGUCUCGUUUUACACCCAGCUCUUAUAGGAAAUUCAUUAUCCAUAAUAUUUUUUUGCAACCUUCAAUAAUUGUUAUAUCAUUUGCUUUAGUGGUAGAAAACGUAACUUAUUACUAAAGUUUAGAUUGCAAUGAGACUUCUCCCCCUGCAAAAGUGAGCAAACAUCCUAGAAGGAAUUUUUCGGAAUCAACAUCUUCUGCCAUAUCUACACACUUGUAACACAGGUUUGUCACCACUAAAAUAUAAACAUGCUCUGGAAAUGCCUCUAAGAUAUCUGAGAAUUUUUCAUUGUUGUCCAAUGCUCUUUUAUAAUAAAUACAAACAUAAUGAAUUUAUAAAACAUUUAGAGUAUUUUGAAUAUUAUAUAAAAUAAUUUUAAUAUAAUGCAUGAGAUAUAUUUUAUUAAUUUAAAAUGCUAUUUAAUCUAAAGAUUUAUUUAAGAUAAAUUAAUAAUUAAAUUUUUUUAAUUAUUUCAAAUAUUAAAAAUUUGUAAUAUUAUUAGUCUAUUAGAUAGAUUAAAUUAUUUAUUUUAUUUUGUAUUUAUUAAAAAAUUUUAAAGUCAAUAUUUUUAAUUACUAUUCGAAGGAUAUAAUGAUUAAAAAAAUCUUAAUAUUUUUUAUUAAAAAUUUAAAAAUUUACAUGACCAUUUCUAUAAAUAUUUAGGGUAUAUAUGAGCCACGGUGGAGAAGAUUUAUUUAAUAUUAUUGAUUUAAAUAAUAUCUAAUUAAAAAUAUACUGAGAAAAAAUUUCGGUGGGUAUUUUAGUCUUUUCAGCAAUCACAUGAUUAGCCUUUGGGCUUUGGCCUUGAAACGUCGGUCAGAAAAGUUUUAAACUGCUUAAUUGUUUUUCACUUUUAACGUUAGUGGCUGCUUAUAUUUUAGGAAAAUGAGAUUCUCACCACAGUGAGAACCACACUGAGCACAGAACGGUGCGUUUUGUGCUCAGUAUAAAUUCUAACUGUAGCGGAAAUAUCGCAACACAAACGCGCCAUUCCAAACCCACGCGCGUUCUCCCUCACGCCAGCAAAUCUCACCACGCUUCCUCCUCACUGUAAGCGCCCCCCCUCCCCGGGGGCGGUCGGCUGCGUCACGCUCCCUCACGGCGCCUCACUCUCUCGGCUCUCUUAGAAAAUUGAAUUGCGGCUUCCGCCGUGGGGUUCUCUCCUCAACUGCCGUUGUCUCGUCUCUGACAGCUGCCUUAAUCAAAUUCUGAAGGUAGUUUGCUUCAAUUCAUUACAUUAAUUUCAAAUUUGGUUUGUGUGGGAUUAUGAGUUUGUGAAGAUUUAGUUCUGUUUCAUGGUAAACUAUUUUUUGCUCAGUGUGUUGAGAAUAUCAGCACGGUUUAAAAUUCUUUUUAGAUUCUGUCGUAAAGUUUUCUUUGUAUUGGGCAAGUCAGUUACUUUAGUUUUGUGUCUGAAAACAAAAACACUUAGCUUAGUGAGUUUUAAGAGAUUUUGCUAUUUUGUUCAACGAAGCUUAAAAAGGGGAAGCUUUUAUGGCGUCUGUGAGCCGAGGCAAUUUGGAUCGGGUGCUUUUUCAGUUCAUUUGUUUGUUUCUUAUUUGGGUUCUUUAUUGUUAGAUGUUCUUUUGAGAUUCUGGCAUCUGGCAUCUGGCUACUUGCUUUUGUGGAGUUUUUUUAUUAUUUGAAUUCUGUGAAUUCUUUGUUUUCUUUCCCAAAUGAUUCCACUCUAUAAAAUAUAUAUUGUGCUUGGCUAGAAUUUUCUUUUAGAUAAUUGCAUCCUGUACAUUGGCUUAACCUGUCAAGAAUGAGAAUGAUGGAAGAUGCCUAUCUUGGAAAGAAUAUAUUGAGUUACAUAGUACCGGUUCCAAAUGAAUAAAUUGGAACUUGCCUAAAACAGGCACCAAUCCACCAUGACACCAAGCCUUUUUAAAAUUUUUUUUUUUUUAAGUUUAAAGAAACUUAUGUUGCUUCUUUAGAUCUGUUUUAGCUUAUGAUGAAUUUUGCUAAUGGUAAAAUCCCUCCCCUUCAAAGUUGGGGGAGGGGAAGCAUCUAUAUGCAUAUGUGUACAUUAUGGAGCUCGAACUACAUGUCGCAGUAAUACAUUAUUCUCUUUGCUUUGCAGGUUUUGAUCAACAUGAGUGAUUGGGAUGUAGGUCUGUGCUUGAGAGGCCGGAGUGAUGACCAGAAUUCUGUCAACCAGACCAAAGACAAUCAACUGAUGAAGUGUUGUUGUUCUCUAUAUUGAUUGUUGGAAAUUAUGUGUUAUUUCCAGAUUUUUAGAAAAUUAUGAUUGCUGGAAAUAAUUAUAUAUGUACAAUCAUUAUGUCCUCCAGCACAAGUGAAUUUCCAAACCCACAACUGAAAGCUUGCGAAAAAUUUGUAGAAAAUUUGUACAUCAAAUCCACAAGCUAAGUGUUGUAUCAGAAUAUGAAUGACAAUAAAACAAAAAUCUGUGUUCUUCAUUCUUAAAAUACUAAUACAAUACAAGUACAUUCUUAUUCUGAGAAAUAACUACCUAUUAACUCCAUAUUCAUUAUCUUGUUGAAAGAGUAGCUGCUGAAAAUGUCCAUGUCGCUGAGCUUGUAUGUGCUAUUAAAAAAAAAUUAAACAUCUUGUUGUCAUCCGAAAAAAUAAAGAAGGCAAGAUGAACAAAUAAAAAACUUAUCACUACUUACGGUGCAAGAAUUUUAUGUAGAUAUUGAAUAAACAUUAUCCUCAAUUAUUUGUCACAAUAAUUUAUAUUCAAUUCAUGGUGUGUUGCAGCAAGCUUCCAUUGUUUAACUAAAUGACAGCUGAAUCUUUACAACUAAUUAUCUUUACAAUCAAAUUUGGAAUUAAUUAAGCAAAUUACCGCUAGAAAUCGACGAGUGAAGCUAAGAGAGUGAGGCUGCAAGUCGAAUUUUUGAGACAGCCGAGAGAGUGAGGCGCUGUGAGAGAUGCAAUGGACGGGCGAGAGAGAGACGAAGCCGAUGGUGAUUGCUGCAUUGGUAGGAUUGAGGGAGAGAGCGAAAGAGCCAGAGCGUGCGUGCUUGUUCUGCCAGAGAGCGCGUAUGUUUUUUCUCAAUGCGCGUGUUGCGUAAUUAUCCAUCUACAGUGACCAUUUUAUAGUUAUCUUGAAACGCACCGUUCGGUGCUAUAUGUGGGGCUGAAUGUUGUGAGCAUAUCGGUGCUGUAUAUUUUAUUAAAAAUUAAUGCUAACAAGAAAAAACCCCUCAAUGAAUGAGGGUGAGAUUGCUAAAAAUUACGACAGGUGAUAUUUUAUUAUUAUUAUUAUUAUUGGGGGAGAAAUCCUCACCAAAGUGAGGAGAUUUUAUCAAAAUCAAAAUAAAAAUAUAACAAGAACUGAAAGUUGGGCAGCCUAAAAGCUAGAUAAACUAAAAUUCAGGCGCCUAAAAACAACCUUAUGCAAAAGAGAAGCAACAUGAGACCGAUCAAGUAAAAGAAUCCACCGCAACACCUAAAUUGGCCAAAUUAUCUGUUGGUAUUACAAGUUUCUUGUUAUAAAAGUGUAGAAUGAAGAAGGUGACGUAGUUUUAAGUUACAGCUGCAUGCCCGAUCGCAAUAUCAAAUAAUGAUUAAAUAUCAAAUAAUACUUAAAAUAGUUGCCUAGACCCGCCACAAUUUAUAUUAACUCUUAAAUUUAUAAAUAAUUAAAUUUUUAAAAGUUCGGAUUUAUAUUAAAAAAUCUUCAUAUAAAUAAAUAAUAUAUGCACUUUUACAACACAGUCUUUAAAUUUAAAUUUUUCUAGAAAAAUCUUCUGUAUAUCUUUUCUAUUAAAAAAUUUCCAUAUAAAUAAAUAAUAUACCUAAUUUAAUUGGACCCAGCGCAACGCAUAUGCAUAGAACACAUUCCGAAAAGCCAUGAUAUUCGGAAAUUGACGAAUGAAAAGUGAGGAGGCAGCAGUCAAUGCUAUUUCGGCUUGGCCCAAAAUUGAUUUAUCAGUUUGACGUGUGCCAGGAAUGAAGAACUGGAAUAUCACCAUCAAGCAAGCAACCUGCGGAGCAAUACCAUAGAAUGCACAAUCCGGCUUUGCAAGGUGACACUGGAGGCUUUUUGAAAAGUGCUUCACGCUCACUUGACAGAUUGAGCAUCCCCUCUGGAUAUUGCCCUCUCUGAUCGAAUCUGAGCACUCAAAUUUCGGUCCUCAGAUGGAGCUACAGCUUUCUCUCCAAUAACCAACAAUUUUCUAAACUCAGCACCUAGUGUGAUCAGAGUUGUUGAUAUUUGUAAAUGGAGAUCCCCGUAUUUGCAAAUGGAGACAUUUACCAAAUCACCAACAUGCUUCAUCCAGUCUACGAAAUUCUGCAGCUGAUUCAAAUCCGGAACCUGAACAAGAGUCGGAGGUAAAUCUUGAGCCAUAUCUAAAGCAGUCUGAAGUUCAAGUACUUGAGCCCUUGACAAUGGUUUUGAAAUUGGAACAUCUUGGAUUACUGCAGACUUGUGCCCCUUGGUUUCAAAGGUAAGGAAAGGCAUUGCUUGAGUACAAUUUGGAGGCAGCUUCUUCACCAAUUUUAUUUGGAGGCGAUUGGCAGCGGAUCCAGCUGCACCAAUUUCAGAGCAAAUACUGACACUACUUCGAACAGCACACUGAAGAAGUGAUAUGUCUACGGCAAAGGCAAUGCAGUCCUCAUUUUGGCUUGAGAUGCAGUAAUCAUCGAAGAGAGUUUCCUUGUGAAACUGGGCAACACAUUGAAUCCCUUCGCCACUGAGAAGGUUGCGGAGGAAGUAAGCUUUCUCUCUAGUGAGGAAGAGGUGGCAUACCUUCCCCAUGUCUAGGGCAGGUAGGAAUCUUUUUUCUAAGAGAUUUACUUCAUUCUCUGUGAGAAAUGCUUUGAACUUCAUCCCUCUGUCUCUAUCCUCACUUAUCAGUAAAAUAGUUGAAAGUGCUACAAGGAGAGAAAAGAAGAGUAUUAAGAUAUAUAUAGACAAGAAAAACAUUAGAUGUCGAUCUUACAAGCUAAUACUUCAAACAGUAUCCUAGAAAGCUAAAAACUGCAAAAUGGCUUGACAUUUGAAAAGAACACAUGCUUUUCCUCCUUAACUUGAGAAAAUGUUUAAUAUAGUGCACCUUACAGAAACAUUUAAGCAAUUAGAACUUUGCACAAAAAUAUUCAAGAAGACUAAACAAAUCAGAUGCAGUGUAUUUCUCCAAGCACAAAUGGCAUUGCAUUUUUUCCUCAACUGUAAUAUUUAUUGAUGAAAAUCAGUACAGGUCCCUCAUUUGUUAUGGAAAGCUUUCUUGUAGUCUGACUGGUUAAUUCACGGAUCUAUAAUUAUCUUGCAAAGUUACAGGCAUUUCUUUCGAUUUAAAGUCUUUGCAUCACCACCUCAUCACACACCUAGCCAAUAUUCCGUCUACUUCUACAACAAAAAGUUUUAAGUAAACGAUCCUAAUGCAUGCAGCCAAAUAAAAUGCAGUAAGAAUAUUCAACUUAAAACUCUGAAAGCCAUCUUGGUGAAUUGCCUCCUUAGGGGAAGUUCCAUGAUUUACUAUACUUGACAGGACUGAGCAAAAGCUUACAUACAACAGAUUUUGAAAAUGAUGAUGCCAAUAGAUACUCAUACAAUCCAUUGAAACUCCUAAGGUCCAUUGUUCACAGAGGUUUACAGAGUUUUGGUUAUCAAAUAGCUCAGACCUUAAUCCCAAACAAAAAACGAGUGAAAAUUAGAUCACCAGCAGCAAAUUGUAAAUUCUAACUUAACUCUUCAUCUCCUUUGUAAACAGGAGACAAAAUGGAGACACGCAAAAUGAAUAAGGAGAACAUUUGAACUCAAAUGAAAUGAGGGCACGAAAGCAAACAAAUGGCAUGCGCAAACAAACCAAGCCUCAAUCAAAAACUAAUUAACCAUUAAAAAACAAAACUGGUCAGCUUCUGGUGUUCUCAAAUUGUAUAACAAGAGAUCGACACAUCGAAUCAGAAGAACUCAAUUCAAAUUUGUCUCAAAAAUCAAAAUUAGAAGAUUUCACAUUUCGAGAGGAACAAGCGACAGGUCAGAUGCAAAAUUUUCAGCCAUAACAUGCCACAAUUAACGGUUUAUUUCCAUGGAUUUAGAGAGCUGACUGACCUUUUGGCUUUUGGAAUUGAGAAGAUCGCGCGCCAAAAUGGAAGAGGGAAAGCGAAAGUGCGGGUUUUAAUAGGGUAUUGGAUUAGCAAAUUUUAUUAGUUUGCGAGGGUAAAAUAGGAAAGUGAUAUCACUAUUAACCUUUUUUUUAAUAAGAAAAAAGAAUAAUAAAGAAUAUUUUAUUGUCAUUUGCAGCAUUUAUUUUUUUUAAAUGCUAUUAGAAAAAUACGACAACAAAGAAAUGCUCUUUUUUUUUUUUUUUUUUUUCUCGAAGGUAAAAUCAAUUAUUUAGCUCCUUAUAUGUAAUCAAACUACAUUUCUUACUUUAAGUCAUAUCCAACGGACCAACAAAGUAAUUAUUUUUUUUUUCAUUCAUUUUUGCAGAAAAUUAAUAACUUAAAAAUAUUGAAAGCUAUUGUAAAAUUUUUUAUUAUCAACCUCAUAGUUUUAUUUUUUGGGAAGAAUUGAAUUUUUUUUUUUAAUUUCCAAGAAUUUCAUUCUCUAGUUUUUCCAUUAAUAUUACUUAUCUUGAUACCCAUCUUAAUUAAAAUCUGUAGUUUUAUUCAAGAGUCAUGCUAUUCAUUCACUCACAGACCAAAGGCUUUCCGCAGCAAUAUUAUUAUUUAAAUUACAACAAAGGGGAAAUCAAAUACGUCAUACAGAAGCUUAAAGCUGAAUCUACAAAAUCUAGAGCUCUCAACUACAUAAAUUACACUUGAUGAUCCUCUACAAGAUGAAGCUUGUUCAAUAUCUCAUCCAAAGCUUGUAAAGUAACAUUAUAACGAUCUUGAGAUUGCCUGCCUUCCUCGACGACCUGCACGAUGCGUUUGUACAAAUCAUCAUACCUGUGCACCGGAUUUUUAAUAUCAAUGCCACUGCAGCUGUGAUCAAGAACAUAAGAGCGUUUAACAUCUUUUCUCCAUCAAGAAAGAAUGUAGUGAGAUGGGAUCUCCUGCAUGCCACUCUGGUUUAGAACACAAAGAAUGUGUCUGCAUAAAUAUCCUCUGAAAUUGAACAACCCACAAACACAAAGCACCUCCAAGUCGGAGGCAUUGUACAAAACAUCGAAAAUAGUUAUGUUUUACAAUCUAUUAGACAUAUUUUAUUAAAUUAAUAUAAAUUUUCUAUAAAAUAAGAAUAUAAUAUUAAAAUAAAUUCACAAAAAAUUAAAGAAUUUUGAAUGUAAAAUAAUUUUAAUAGAUUAAUACGUGAGUUUUUUUAUUAAUAUAAAAAUUAUUUAACUUUAAGAUUUUUUAAAAUCUUUACAAUAAGUAUGACUAUAUUAUUUACAUUUAAAAAUAUUUAAAUAUUAUUAACCUACAAUUAUAUUUGCAUUUGUUAGAAUUUUUUAAGUCAAAUAUUUUGCACUUCUAUAUUAUUAGAAUUAUUGCACACAAAGAAAGAAACAUAUACCUUUAGAAAUUGUUUUCUUUUAAAAUAGAGAUGAUGAUUAGUAUAAGGAUGAAAAAAAUGAUAAAGAAUAUUAAUGAUUAACGAAAUCUCUAUACAAAUUGAUUUUAGUAGGAAAAGAGUGAGAUGAAUGAUUUCUUUUACGGUUAGAAACAUAGAUGAUGAUUAUUAUAACGAAGAAAAAAAGAUAAAGAAUAUUAAUUAUUAAUGGAAUCUCUAUGCAAAUUGAUUUUAGUAGGAAAAAAAAUGAGUUAAAUGAUUUAGAGUGCGUUUGGAAUUGAGAUUGGGCAGCCAUAGAUUUUAAGUUACAAUACUGAAGUGUUUGAUAAAUACUAGCUGCUGCAGAUUGAAAGUUAUAUUGAUAUGAUUUUUCACAUGUAUCAUAGAAAAUAUAUUACAUCUUUAAUAAUUUUUUUAAAAUUUAUAUUUGCUAUAUAUUAUUAAUUUUUUUUUAUAGUUAUAACUUUUUUUCCACAGCAGUUGUAGCUUAAAAGUCACAGCAUCUCAAUCUCAAACAAAUCCUUAGACAUUCAUAGUGUGUUUAUUUUUUGGAUUGGUGAAUCAAAAUUAUUGACAACGCUAACUUCAUCUUCAUUGUUCGCAAUCCAACAGCAGCAGCAAUUGUCACCAAUAAUGAUAUCUCCAAUGAUGAUGACAAUUAUUAUUAUUAUUAUUAUUAUUAUUAAUUUAUUAAUUAAUAUAUUAAUGUUAAUAAUAUUAUUAUUAAGAUUAACAAUAAUUAGUAGUAAUACAAUUUUUUGAAUAAAAAUAAUCACAAUAAUUAAAAUACAAAUUAAUAAUUAUGACAAUAGUUAAUUAAUGUCUUUUUAGUAAUUUGUAAUAAUCUAACUCAUUUUGAUUCUGAUUAUUACAGCUUAAGUAAACAAAUUAUUAUGAUUCCUAUUUUCCUUUCCUAUUUUAACUCACUUCGAUUCCAAUCUAUUCCAAUUUCUAUCUAAUAAAUGCACCAUUAGUGCUAAAGUAAUAUUUCAUACAUAGAAAAAUAAAAACUACACCUAAGGUUAAGGGAAAGGACUUCAAAACUCUCUUUUGAUCAUAAUACAUUUUGUCCUAAUUAACUUAAAGAUUUUGAAUCUAAUAUUUUAUAAUAAAUAAAAAUAUAUUCCUAAAAUAAAUAUAAUAUCAAUAUUUAAAAUAUGUUUUAAUAUUUUACAAUCUAUCAUACACAUUUUAUUAUAUUAAAGUAGAUUUUAUAAUAAAUACAAACGUACUAUUAAAAUUAAUAUAUAAAAAAUUUAGAAAAUUUAGAAUAUUAUAUAAAAUAAUUUUAAUAUAAUGCGUGAGAUAUAUUUUAUUAAUUUAAAAUUUUAUUUUACCUAAAAAUAUGAUAAAUUAAUAAUUACAUAUUUAAAGUUAUUUCAAAUAUUAAAAAAAUUUAAUAUUAUUAGUUUUUUAGAUAGAUUAAAUUAUUUUUAUAAGAGAUAGAUUAAAUUAUUUUAAAAUACCUUAAUUGUUUUUACUUUUAACGUUACCGGCCUUUCUUUUAUUUUAUUGUAAAUUAAUGCUAACAAGAAAAAGCUAGAUCAUAUUCCACAAAAGCAAAAGUGACAAACACAAUCAGCUGGAAUCUUUUAUAAAACUACAAAUUAAAAUGGUUUUUUUUUUUUUUUGAUAAAUUACAUAUAAAAGUGGAUUCUUUUGAAUAUAAGUGGGGUAGGCUCUUUUAUUUUUUUUUAAUACUGUAUAACAAGAUUGUAGACUCCUUGAUUAAGCACAAGUAUAAAGUAGUCGAGACGAUACUUUAUGCUAGGUGUCCAUUGAAUAUUAGAUCUUCAUUUCUUUGGCCAUUUAAUUUUUUCGAGAAAUUUUUCUUACGAUCCCGGCUAAGCUUGAAGAAAAGACAACUCAACGGUUUUUUUAAAACAAGUUUCCGUUUUGGUUGGUGAAAUGAAAACGAAAUAAAGCACUUCCAUCCAAAAAUCAUUCUUCUGGAGAAAGGGAUGACAGAUUAAAGAAAAGGGGUGUACUGAAAGGAGAAAAAAGGUUCUUGCAUGAGAGCUGGACACGUUAAAAGAAGUUGAACAAAUGUCUCAAAAAGAAGCUAUUUCGCUUUCAUACUAAAGCCUAUUUGUAAUAGCAUCAGCAAUGCUCCACUAUCCACAUUCUUGUGCGGAUAUCAUUGCAAUCUACUAAUGGUAUAUAAACAUGCAUGUUGUCCCAUGAUGAUUAAGUUAACACACACUUGGAGGUACUUAAAUUAUGCCAUAAAGAGAUAUAGUUAUUACGCAUACAAAUGUUAUUCAAUGGUUAAAAUGUAUGAUAAAGAAAUCGCUUGAAUUUUUUAUUUGCCGUUACGUAAUUUUUUUAUUGAUUCCGAGUUUGAAUCUUAAAAGAAAUAAAGGGUUAGAAAAUUAAUUUGAACUUUGUCCACUCUUUAACUUAAUGAGUAUAAAAACAGAAAAUGCAGGUAAUUUAAUUUUGACAUCUAACAUUUAAGAGAUAGAGCUUGAAAGAGUCCAAUAUUAAAUUAUAAAAUAAUUGAAAUAAAGUUUGCCCCAUAAGAAAAAUUGAACAAAAAAUCUUAAGUAUGAUAUGAUGCUAGAGAAAUUAUUUAUCUCAAAACUUUUAUUAGGUAAUUAAGUCCUAAGAAUAUGUAAUUACACAUGUAACAAAAAUUAGAGAUGAGGGUCUUUUAUUAAACUACAAAUUGUAUAGUCUUUUUAAAAUUGUUAUAAAUUGGUGGCCCCUACAAUCCUCAAUAAUUGUGCCGAUAUUCACAAGUUGGUGGCCCCUACAAUUAUCAACUGUGCAAGUGCUCAUUCACAAUCUUCCAGGUCAUGCUCUUAAUAAUUGUUUUUUUUUUCUGCAUUCCCUUUCAUGCUCUUAAUAAUUGAAGAGCAUACUUUUCAAAUAUGGAGCCGCAGCUAAUGUCGCUAAUUUAAUUUGGGAUUAAAUUAGGGGACCAUUAUGUUGCAGUGUGCACUAAUUUUUGUGUUUAUCUAAACUCCUUAAAUUUAAGACAUAUUACGGCAUAAAUAAGAAUAUAACAAUAACAAAAGAGUUAAAAAGUGUAGAGAAGAUCUUGCAGAAAUAUAAAUAAUAUCUAUUUUAAAAUAAUAUCAAUAUUUAAAAUAAUUUUUAAUAUUUUAUGAUCCAUUAGAUAUAUUUUAUUAUAUUAAAGUAAAUUUUAUAAUAAAUAAAACAUACUAAAUUUAGAGUAUUUUAAGUAUUAUAUAAAAUAAUUUUAAUAAAAUAUGUGAGAUAUUCAUAUUUUAUUAAUUUAAAAUACCAUUUAACCUAAAGAUUUAUUUAUGAUAAAUUAAUAAUUAUAUUUUUGAAAUUACUUCAAAUAUUAAAAAAAUUAAUAUUACUAAUCUAUUAGAUAGAUUAAAUUAUAUAUAUUAUUUUCUAUUUAUUAAAAAAUUUUAAAAUUAUUUUUAAUUACUAUUCAAAAAAUAUAAUGAUAAAAAAAAAUCUUAACAUCUUUAUUAAAAAUUUAAAAAUUUUCAUGAUCAAUUCUCUAAAUAUUUAGGGUAUAUGUGAACCACGGUGGAGAAGCUUUAUUUAAUAUUAUUGAUUUAAAUAAUAUGUGACAAAACAACUAGGUGGACUACAAAUUAAAGUGGAUUCUUUUGAAUACAAGUGGGACAGACGAUUAGGCUCUUUUUAAUUUUUAUUAAAGGCAAGUAAAAAGUAGUCGAAUAGUCUUUUUCAAAUUCUUGUUUUAUUGUUUUUCAAAACUAACAAGAAAAAGCGAGAUCAUAUUCCACCCCAAAAGCAAAAGUGACAAAACAACCAGCUGUAUUCUUUUAUUAAACUACAAAUUAAAAUGGAUUCUUUUGAAUACAAGUAGGACAGACGAUUAGGCUCUUUUUAUUAAACGCAAGUAAAAAGUAGUCGAAUAGUCUUUUUCAAAUUCUUGUUUUAUUAUUUUUCAAAAUUAGUUUUUGGUAAUUACUGUUUUUCCUUCAAAAGUUAGCGGUUCAUGUUUGCAAGUGUGAAUGUGCGAUGCUCUUUUCUUAAAGGCAAUUACAGUGGGGCCCGAAUGCCUAAAUCUUUUUAAAAUUUUUGCCGUAUAACGAACAGAGGUCAUUACUAAAAUUUCUCUUCCACAGCCUACAGCAGCUUCAGUUUAUCAAACUCAAUCAAUUUUCUUUCUUAACAAAAUUCCAAAGAUGUGUAGCAUUUUUCAGAUCGCAUGCGAUGGUGCUCUUUUCAAUCGUUGCUUGGAUUGCUUUCUUGGAAAAGCAGCAUACCUUCGUAACCUCCCAGAUAAUCUUGUAGACUUGGAGACUGAACUGGGAAGACUAAUCGCAGCAAAGAACGAUGUGAUGAUGAGGGUUGUCAAUGCUGAACGGCAACAAAUGAGAAGGCUGGGCCAAGUGGAAUGGUGGGUUUCGAGGGUGGAUGCUGUUAAAACUGGAGCCGAUGAACUUAUCACAGACGGCUCUGAAGAAAUUGGCGAAUUAUGUGUUGGAGGCUACUGUUCCAAGAACUGCAGGUCAAGCUACAAGUUCGGAAAACAAGUGGCUAAAAAGCUACAAGAUGUGAAGGCUUUAAUCGCCGAGGGAGUUUUUGAGGCGGUGGCUACUGAGGUGGUGCCCGAGAGAGCUCCGGAACCUGUAGCAGAUGAAAGACCCAUUGAGCGAACAGUAGUAGGCUUGCAAUCACAACUUGAACAAGUCUGGAGAUGUCUUGUAGAAGAAUCAGUGGGAAUCAUUGGCCUAUAUGGUAUGGGCGGUGUUGGUAAAACCACACUGUUGACCCAUAUCAACAAUAAAUUUCUUGAGAGUCCCACCAACUUUGAUUGUGUGAUUUGGGUCGUAGUUUCAAAAGACCUGCGACUUGAAAAAAUUCAAGACGAUAUUGGGAAGAAGAUAGGUCUGUCUGAUGAUUCAUGGAAGAAUAAAAGUUUUGAGGAGAAAGCUGUAGACAUCCUGCGGAGUUUAGGAGAGAAGAGAUUUGUAUUGUUGUUAGAUGAUUUAUGGGAGCGGGUUGAUUUAACAAAAGUGGGCGUUCCACUUCCCGGACCACAAAAUACUACCUCAAAAGUCGUAUUCGCAACCCGUUUCAUCGAUGUUUGUGGUAGCAUGGAAGCUGACAGGAAGUUCCUAGUGGCGUGCUUAUCAGAAAAGGAUGCUUGGGAACUGUUUCGAGAAAAAGUUGGGGAAGAAACUCUUCAGAGUCAUCAUGAUAUCGUUGAGCUAGCCCAAAUUGUGGCCAAAGAGUGUGGUGGUUUGCCACUCGCACUUAUUACUAUUGGUCGAGCUAUGGCCUGCAAAAGGACAGCCGAGGAGUGGAUACACGCAGUUGAAGUGCUAAGAAGAUCAGCUUUUGAGUUUGCAGGUUUGGGAAAAGAGGUGUAUCCUCUUUUAAAGUUUAGCUAUGAUAGUUUGCAGAAUGAGACGAUUAGAUCUUGUUUCUUAUAUUGUUGUUUAUAUCCCGAAGAUUAUGGAAUUCUUAAAUGGGACUUGAUUGAUUGUUGGAUUGGUGAGGGAUUCUUAGAGGAAUCUGACAGGUUUAGUGCAGAAAACCAAGGUUACUACAUUGUGGGCACUCUUAUUCAUGCGUGUUUACUAGAAGGGAUAGAAGAUGAUAGAGUAAAAAUGCAUGACGUUGUUCGUGAUAUGGCUCUAUGGAUAGCUUGUGAAAUUGAGGAGAGGAGACACUUUUUGGUUUGUGCAGGCGCUGGAUUAGAACAGGCACCGGCUGUUAGAGAAUCGGAAAAUGUGACAAGAUUGUCAUUGAUGCAAAACCAAAUUAAAAUUCUGUCGGAGGUUCCCACAUGCCCUGAUCUCCUCACUUUAUUUCUUGACUUUAAUGAGGAGUUGGAGAUGAUCGCGGAUGGCUUCUUCCAAUUUAUGCCUUCUCUCAAAGUUUUGAAGAUUUCAAACUGCGGGAAUUUUACUUUUCAAUUACCUUUGGGGAUGUCAAAGUUGGGUUCACUAGAACUUUUUGAUAUUUCACGCACCGAAAUACAAGAGUUACCAGAAGAGUUAAAGUUGUUGGUAAAUCUGAAAUGUUUGAAUUUGAGGUGGACAAGCAAGUUAAUUAGAAUUCCACGGCAACUAAUAUCAAAUUCUUCAGGGUUACGUGUGUUGAGAAUGUUCGCUACUGGCUAUGAAUGUUUUCAUGAAGCACCAGAAGACAGCGUUUUAUUUGGUGGGGGUGAAGUUUUAGUACAGGAAUUGCUCGGUUUGAAAUAUUUAGAGGUAUUGGAGUUGACCUUGGGAAGUUAUCAGGCUCUCCAAAUCUUUUUGAGCUCAAAUAAGUUAAAAAGUUGUAUUCGAUCUCUUUUCCUCCAGUUGGCCGGAGAUACAAAGUCGAUUAUUGAUGCUGCGGCUUUCGCAGAUCUAAACCACCUCAAUGAAUUAUAUAUUUAUGAAGGUAUUGAGUUGGAAGAAUUGAAGAUUGAUUAUACAGAGAUAGUACGAAAAAGGCGGGAACCUUUUGUUUUCCGCAGCCUUCACCGUGUUACCAUAUUUAGUUGCGGUAAAUUGAAAGAUGUGACAUUCCUCGUUUUUGCUCCAAACCUCAAGUCUCUUGAGCUAUUGCAAUGCGAUGCUAUGGAAGAAAUAAUCAGCGUCGGAGAAAUUGCUGAGACUCCUGAGAUGAUGGGACACAUAAGCCCUUUUGAAAAUCUCCAAAGUCUUCAUUUAUCGUAUUUACCAAUUUUGAGGAGCAUCUACUGGAAGCCAUUGCCUUUCACUCAUCUCAAAAAAAUGGAGGUACGUAGAUGCGAUCAGCUUAGAAGGCUUCCGCUCGAUUCCAACAGUGCAACAGAGCGUAAUGUUGUUAUUCGUGGAUACACACUCUGGUGGAACCGACUUCAAUGGGAGGAUGAAGCCACUCAAAUUGCUUUUCGUUCCUGUUUCCAACCUCGUUCCUGAGCAGUGGUCGCAAAAUUUGAUUUCUGGUGAGUGCGUUUGUCUUUUAAAAAGAAGAAUUUAAAAGAAAUUUAUUCUUGUCGUUUUCUUCACUGUUUUUAUUUGAUUUCUGGUUAGUUUCUUUCUCUCUCUCUCUCUCUUUGUCUUCUGCAAAUCACAAUUAAAUGUUGAAUUAAUGGAAUUGAUGCUCUGGUUUUUUACUUUUUGUUGUCAAAUUUUGCCCUGUUCUAUCUUCUUAGCGAUUUAAUUUCCUGUCAAAAGACGAGCGAGAAGAACAUAUAUAUGACUUAAACCAAUUGAUACUUUAUUUAUGUGCAUUGUAUGUAAUAAAUAUUAAGUAUACUUUAUUUUUGCCCUGUUCUCUGUUUUUAUUUCAGUCUCUCUCUCUCUUUCCUGUCUUCUGCAAAAUAUAAUCAAUUAUUUUCAAAAUAUCAUUGAUGAUUUUUCUGCUCUAAUGCUAUGUAAAUAGUAUGUUAAGUAAAACAUAAUCAAUUAUUUGUGUUUUAUCUCUAAUUAGAACAUCAAUCAGUUCAGUACCUCACAAAUAAUUCGCAAUAUCUACAAAAUACUAUAAUGGCUACAAAACAAAUCCUGCUUGCAAAUUGUCAAGGAUACCUAUCCGUUCGCUUGACAAGUCAUUUGAAUAAAUAUUGUUCACAUUCCUUACUCUAUCAAUUAUCCAAAGCACCAUCAAUGGUCCUCAACUUUAGUUUGAAUAGUAUACAUGCCAUCACCAUUACCAAGAAUCAAGCAUGGAAGAGUCAUUCUAUAGAGUUAAUCGAAGCAAGGAAUGAUGUAUCAGAAAAUAUUUGGUGGAGAAUUCAGCACAAACAUAUUUUGGAUGAUCAGAAUCAAUAAAACCUGGUGGUUGCGCCAUAUAAACAUCUUCGGAAAGCUGACCUUGAAGAAAGGCGUUAUUGAUAUCCAAUUGACGAAGAGGCCAGCCAUGACUAACAUCAAUACUAAGAACAAGCCGUACUGUGGUGGACUUAACAACUGGACUGAAAGUGUCAUAAUAGUCCACACCAGGCCAUUGAUUGAACCCUUUGGCAACAAGAUGAGCUUUAAACCUGUCAACAGAACCGUUGGAAUGUCUUUUAAUACAAAAAUCCAUUUGCAGCCAACAAUAUUGGAAGGGAUGGGAGGUGGAACAAGCUUCCAUGUCCCGUUACGAACAAGAGCAUCAUACUCUUCUGACAUAGCUGGACGCCAGUGAAGAUUUUUGAUAGCUUGCGUCACAGUUGUAGGUUCACAAUCAGAAGAAGGGCUAAAAUGAGCACGGAGGUUAAGUUUUUGUAACGGCUUGUGAAUCUUAUUUUUAGCUCGGGUAGUCAUAUCAUGAUGACUUGUGGGGCAAUGAUCUAGUGGAGUUUAGGAAGAUGAUUGAACAGGAAGUGAAGAAGUGCUUUGUGUAGAGGUAGAAGUAGGUUGGGAGGAUUGCUGCGGAGAUGUUACCGGUAGAGAAGAAGGAGCAGUACACGGUGGCAACUCCAGAGGGCCCACAAUAGAUGGAGUAGGUGCCGACAAUGGAGUACUAGGAAAUGAAACAGGAAGAAUUGGUGGAACACUUGCGUAAUUAGGAGUGGUAGAUGAGCUUGUAAUGAUUUGUAUGGAAAAACAAACUCUACAAAUUUAACGUGACGUGAAAUAAAAAUUCAACCCGAUUGCAUAUUUAAGAACAUCUCAAAUGAAUUGCUUACUGCUAUCAUCAUCAUUAUUGUCUAUAUAAUAAUGGAUCUUUAUUAUAUAUAUGUUUCCACUAAAAUAUAUUUAAUUAUUCUUUAUUUUUCUAUUGUUGCGUGUAAGAUUUAUUUGAGUUCUAAGUUAUAUCAAUACAAAUGUUAUCUUAUCCAUAAAAAGUUAGAUCCAACAAUUAUGAAAAUUACUAUAGAGUUGCUUUCAAUUAUUUUUUUAAAAUACCAGGAGUAAAUAAUAAUUAGUUCAAAUGGUGGAGACUAAAAUGCGUUCACCUUUAUUUUUUAUCUGUUAUUUACUUUUGUCAUUACAUUAAUGCACAUGCUAUACAUUUGAGACAUUCCAUUAAUUGCCAAUUAUGUAUGUGAGAUAGUAAUUUAAAUUAAAAAAUAAAAGUGAAAGUUAAUCCUAUGCAAUGUGAAUAAAUUUCUUUCCUUUUUCCUUUACUCUUUUUAUUUGACAAUAAAGUUUCCAUCUAUCAUCUAUCAUCUAUGUACACAAAAUUUCUGCAACAAGUACAAAACAUAAAAAUAUAUGAAUAUUAAGGGAAACACGCAGAAGUUCAUCAUUUCAAUGUUCAGUAUUACCAAUUUUGGCAUUAAGCUUGUACGAAUAUAUUCUACUUCGAAAGCAAAAUAUUAGACUCGUGAUUUUAAUUCAUUCAUUAUCUCUCAUUUUAAUCCCAAAAUAUUCAAGAGUAUCCAAGUUACCAUAAGACUUCAGAGGCUCGAGCCUUAGCCAGAGAUGGUUAAUUGAUAGACUAUGUGCCUGGGUCGAGCACUGGAAGCCUGCAAUGCAGACUGAUUGAUUUAUCAGUUUAACGUGUGCCAGGAAUGAAGAACUGGAAUAUCACCGUCAAGCAAGCACCCUGUGGAGCAAUACCAAAGAAUGCACAAUCUGGCUUUGCUAGGUGACCCUGGAGGCUUUUUGAAAAGUGCUUCAUGCUCACUUGCACAGAUUGAGCAUCCCCUCUGGAUAUUGCCCUCUCUGAUCGAGUCUGAGCACUCAAAUUUCGGUCCUCAGAUGGAGCUACAGCUUUCUCUCCAAUAACCAACAAUUUUCUAAACUCAGCACCUAGUGUGAUCAGAGUUGUUGAUAUUUGCAAAUGGAGAUCCCCAUAUUUGCAAAUGGAGACAUUUAACAAAUCACCAACAUGCUUCAUCCGGUCCACGAAAUUCUGCAACUGAUUCAAAUCUGGAACCUGAACCAGAGUCGGAGGUAUAUCUUGAGCCAUAUCUAAAGCAGUUUGAAGUUCAAGACCUUGAGCCCUUGACAAUGGUUUUGAAAUUGGAACAUCUUGGAUUACUGCAGACUUGUACCCCUUGGUUUCAAAGGUAAGGAAAGGCAUUGCUUGAGUACAAUUUGGAGGCAGCUUCUUCACCAAUUUUAUUUGGAGGCAAUUGGCAGCGGAUCCAGCUGCACCAAUUUCAGAGCAACUACUGACACUACUUCGAACAGCACACUGACGAAGUGAUAUGUCUACGGCAAAGGCAAUGCAGUCCUCAUUUUGGCUUGAGAUGCAGUAAUCAUCGAAGAGAGUUUCCUUGUGAAACUGGGCAACACAUUGAAUCCCUUCGCCACUGAGAAGGUUGUGGAGGAAGUAAGCUGUCUCUCUAGUGAGGAAGAGGUGGCAUACCUUCCCCAUUUUGUCUAGGGCAGGUAGGAAUCUUUUUUCUAAGAGAUUUACUUCAUUCUCUGUGAGAAAUGCUUUGAACUUCAUCCCUCUGUCUCUAUCCUCACUUAUCAGGAAAUAAGUUGAAAGCACUAUGAAGAGAGAGAGAGAGAGAGAGAGAAUUAAGAUAUAUAGACAAGAAAAUAAUUAGACGUUGAUCUUACAAACUAAUACUUCAAGCAGUAUCCUAGAAAGCUAAAAACUGCAAGAUGGCUUGAAAUUUGAAAAGAGCACAUGGUUUUCCUCCUUAACUUGAGAAAAUGUUUAAUAUAGUGCACCUUACAGAAGCAUUUAAGCAAUUAGAACUUUGCACAAAAACAUCAAGAAGACUAAACAAAUCAGAUGCAGUGUAUUUGUCCAAGCACAAAUUGCAUUUUGUCCUCAACUUUAAUAUUUAUUGAUGAGAAUCAAUACAGGUCCCUCAUUUGUUAUAGAAAGCUUUCUUGUAGUCUCACCAGUUAAUUCACAGGUCUAUAAUCAUCUUGCAAAGUUAAGGGCAUUUCUUUCGAUCUAAAGUCUUUGCAUCACCACCUCAUCACACGCCAAGCCAAUAUUCCAUUUACCUCUACAACAAAAAGUUUUUAAGUAAAUAAUCCUAAUGCACGCAGCCGAAUAAAAUGCAGUAAGAAUAUUCAACUUAAAAAUCUGAAAGCCAACUUGGUGAAUUGCCUCCUUAGGUGAAGUUCCAUGCUUUACUAUAGUUGACAGAACUCAGCAAAAGCUUCCAUACAACAGAUUUUGAAAAUGAUGAUGCCAAUAGAUACUCAUUCAAUCCAUUGAAACUCCAAAGGUUCAUUGUUCAUAGAAGUUUACAGAGUUUUGGUCAUCAAAUAGCUCAGACCUAAUCCCAAACAAAAAACGAGUGAAAAUUAGAUCACGAGCAGCUAAUUGUAAAUUCUAACUUAACUCUUCAUCUCCUUUGUAAACAAGAAACAAAAUGGAGACACGCAAAAUGAAUAUGGAGAAAAUUUGAACUCAAAUGAAAUGAGGGCACGAAAGCAAACAAAUGGCAUGCACAAAAAAACCAAGCCUCGAUAAAAAACUAAUUAACCAUUAAGAAAAAAAUUGGUCAGAGAAUGAACUCCAAAUUCAGGAGUCAAGCAAGAAGCUUUCAUUAUUUCAGAAGCUCCUGUACAAAUUAAUAAGUUAUGCUCUUUGGAAGCAAACCUAAAUUCCAAGAGAAACAGAACCCAAAAAAUUUGCAAUUAUACGCAAAGGAAGUGAAGCACAGGAUUCUAUCACACAUAGGAAUUGUAUAACAAGAGAUCGAUAUAUCGAAUUAGAAAACUCAAUUCGAAUUUGUGUCAAAAAUCAAAAUUAGAAGAUUUCACAUUUCGAGAGGAACAAGCAACAGAUGAAGUUCAAAAUUUCAGCCAUAACAUGCUAAAAAUGCUACACUUAACGGUUCAUUUUCAUGGAUUUUCUCGGGAAACAAACAGAAAAUUACGGUUUAGAGAGUUGACUGACCUUUUGGCUUUUGAAAUUGACCAGAUCGCGCGCCAAAUUGGAAGAGGGAAAGUGAAAGCGCGAGUUUUAAUAUGGGUAUUAGAUAAGGAAAUUUUAUUAGGUUGCGAGGGUAAAAAAGGAAAGAGAUAUCAUUAUUUUAUUAUCGAUAAUUAUUAAAUUUUUUUCCAAAAAAAAGAACAAGCAAGGAUUUUUUAUUGUCAUCACUAAGUUAAAAAAAAUUGUUUCAAAAUUACUUGAGUCAUAUCCAAUGGACCAACAAAGUAAUCGUUUUUAUUUUUAUUGAUUUUUGCAGGAAAUUAAUAACUUAAAAAUACUGAAAGCUACUGUAAAAAUUUUUAUUAUCAACCUCAUAAUUUUUUUUUUUUGGGGAAGAGAAUUCAAACUUUUUUUUUAUGAAUAUCGCUGUUUCGUUUGAGUUGGAUGUGAAUUCAAAUCCAAAUAUUCUUUGUUUUUCAAUUUUGAACUCAAUUUCUUUUUCUCAAGAAUGUUAUGCAGAAAUAAUUUUUACUAAAUCUUUUUUGAUGAAUUGUUUAAAUUAAACAAUUGGAAUAAGAAUUGUAACGAUUUAUCAUAAGCGUGCUAAUAUGAUAACUUGUUUUACGAAGGAUUAAUUAAUCAAUUAAUAUUAAAUUAUAUAUUAGUCAAUUAGAUAUGUGUUACAUUUAUCAUGUUUUGUAGGUGAUAGUACAUCAUUUCUAAAAGAAUAUAGUACGUUAAAAUAUUAUUUUAAUGAAGAAAAUUUUAUUAUUUUAUUAUUAGGUGACACAAUAAUAAAUGGAUUUCUGUAAGAAUUGAGAUUCUUGAUAUAAUUAUUACAUAAGGAGAAGUUUAGUUGGUUCAAUUUUGACGUGAUAAGAAGACAACACAGCACAGAAAACCCAAAUUGCCACUUCCACUAAUAAAAGAUACCUGUUUGAAAAGUAAUUAUAAACUAUCUUCUUUGUGUUAUUUCUCAAAACUUUUGUGGCACAAAUGUUAUUUCCAUUGACAACAGUACGAAAUACCACCCCUUUCACUUGAGCAGGAGCAAAGCAAAGGUAUGAUGAGCUAUCUCUGUAUAAUUGAAACGCCAUUACUAAACGAUUCUUGAUGAUGGGAGCCACCGUGCCAGCUUUGUCGCUGAUUUGCAUGAUUUAUUAGUUGUCCAGAUGGCGGAUUUUGUACUGUUACCUUCGUUUCAUUCUUCAGAGCCAUGUACUGUUCUAGGAUACCAGAGAAACCAAGGUGGCAUUGAAGUUGCCCUGGUGGUUAGUUUUCCGAUCAUUUUUUUAUUCAAUUAUUUAUGUUUUUAGAAAAAUGUAGGAAAUAUGUAGAAAUGUUGACAGCUAUGAUUUUGAAACUUUUGCCUAAAAUUGUUAUCAUUACUUGUUGUUUCUUAUUUAAAGAGAAAUUCUAGAAACAUGAAAUGAUUAUUCUACGCUUGUUUUAAUAUUGUGCUAUGAAGAUUACGAAGGUUUGAUUAUAUGUCACUAUCAAUUGCCUUAAUCGUUUGUCGUAAAUCAAUUAAGCAUUUUGAUGCGAAUGAUUCCCUAUUAAAAAAUUCAAGUCAGAGCUGAAUUGCAAAGUAGUUAGUCGUGCUUGCAAUUCAAAUUAAGUAUUGUAUUUUCUCCCUGAUUUGGUUGAUUCAACUAUGUGCAUUUGCUUAUGAACGUUGCAGUAUAGAAAUCGAAAUAUCUUGUCUUUUGCUAAGCCCAGAAGCAAAUUCUUUGUAUUCUACUCAUCAGUUUUCUUCAUUCUCUUUGUUGAAAUUUUAUCUAAACAGCGGUUUCUUCGAAUUUAUGCCUUCGCUUACUCUUUUAAAUUUUAUCCAAACAACGGUUUUGAAAUUGUUUUCACUACAAUACCUUAGUCUUUCAGAUGCUCCCGUCACUGAGUUGCCAGAAGAGCUAAAAGCCUUGGUAAAUCUUAAGUGUUUGAACCGGAGUACACAAAUUAUCUCUCUACAUUUCCAAAGCAAUUGAUUUGUUACUUUUCGAUGCUACAUGUUCCGCGAAUAUUCAGUUGUGGUUAUCUUGUUCAGAUACCAGAAAAUAGCGUUAUAUUUAGUGGUAAUGAAUUCUUGGUUUGGGAGUUGCUUAGUUUAAAACGUUUAAAUGUAUUAAGCAUCAUCUUGAAAAGUUUUUCUGCUGUCCAAAAACUUAUGAGCUUCCAAAAGUUUCAAAGCUGUACACAAUGCAUGGAGCUUGUAGACUGUGAUGAUCCAAAGUCAUUUGCCGUGGCAGAGUUGAAGCAUCUUGAAAAACUAGGUUUUUCAAGUUGUGGAAAUUUGGAAGAGUUAAAGUUCUGCUGUGUCGAAGUUGCAAAGGCUCGAGAAUGUUUUCGUUUGAACAGCCCUCACUGAGUUAAGAUGAAGGCUUGUCAUAAAUUGUGGGAAGCGACAGGUUAUUCAAAUAGAAAAAUUUAUGGAGAUGGAUGUUAAUCUUAAGGUUAUUCAAUUAGAAAAAUUUGAAUAAAAUUUAUGGUAAGUGCUUUUCCAUUUAUUGCAUAUUUAUAUCUAAUUUUUAUUUUCCUUUAUUGUUAAAUUUUGGUCUCUAUUUGUUGUUGUAUGGUGGCAUUCUUGUACAAUUAUUAGCUUUUCAUUUCUCUUCUCACAUUAACUGCCCUUCUGAUCAUGUAGGAUUUGCUGAUGCAAAGAGUCAUAAUUUGGGAUACAAAUGUAAGAAUUAGACAGAUGACAUGUUGUUUUGAAGCUCUCAAAGAAGGACUAAUUAUGUCAUUGAAAGCCUCCAAUUUUGUGAUUGGUUUCUUUUUAUUUUAUUUGUUGUUUUCUCUAUUUUCAGAUCACUUAAUUGUUAGUUGUUGUAAUGUAAUGUUUUAGUAUAGCAAAUUAUAUUCGGCCAAGACAGUGAUAGGAGGGCACAUUGUGCAUGCACACUAGUGGAUUUGGCAUGCCAAAUCCAAUUAGGAUGGAUAACACUUUAUAAGCAUUAGGCUUCUCUCAUACCUGAGUAAUAUAGAAUAUGUUUAUAAGUUGUGAAUCACCCUUUACAAGUGUUAGGCUUCUGCUAUACUCAGUGAUGUGAAAUAUAUUUAUAAGCACUAAACUUCUCCCAUACACUUUAUGUUAAUAAUAAUAAUAAUAAUAAUAAUAAUAAUAAUAAAAUAAUAAUAAAUAAACCCAUUUUAACAGACUCUUUUUUCUUUUUCUAUAUGAACAAAUGCAUUCUUCAAAGCAACUGUGGGGAGAAGAAGUGAGUAGAGAAGAACUGAGCCCCUGUCAUUCCCCUAAAACCUCACCAAAACCUCUCUUGUAAGCUUCUCGGAUUUUCUUUCUAUAUUUCUUAGGAACUCAUUUUUUAUUGAAUCACUUAUUUUGCAUGCUGCAUUUUUUGGUUGUCGUAUUUGUGUAUUAUCUUAUCUGGAAUGCUGUUAUGAUUGAUGGAACAAGUAAUCGAUUUUUGGUCUAAUGGAAGUUGAUUUAUUUAUUUAUUGUUGUUUUUAUUUGAAAUUAUGUACAAUUGUAUUUCAUUCAUUUCUCUCUCUUUUGCUUUUUUCCCCCCAUAUAUUUGUUAUGUAUAAUUGCGUUUCAUUUAAUAUUGAUCAUACUGUAGGUAACCAUGUGAUUGUAGAUGGGGAUUUCGAGUUUGUUGAAUAUUCAUGUAAGUGAAGUAACCGUCACAAUACUAGUGAAAUUGGGAGCUUUAUUCAUGAGUUUGUGGUUUUGAAAAGUACCACAGUUCAACUGGUGAAGGCUCCGUUUUGGGAUUCUUCUUUUUCUAGGCUGCAAUUAGGAUAUGUACAUGAUAGACAAUCUUUUGUUGGUUUAGCAUAUCUUCGCUGAUUUUGUCUUUUAUUCCCCAAUUUUAUAAUUACACACCAUGAAUGUUGGGUGAUUGUAUAGAAAAUUUGUGUUAUAACAAAAACAUUGUGAAGGAGUUUCCGUGCUAAUAGUUAGUGGCUUCUGUUUUAUUGGCAUUGAUUGGGUAGAUUACGUGUUACAGUGAUUCAAUUUGUGUUCCAAACUUUGCUUUAAUUUUCUGUUUUCCCCAACUAUUUAUGUCAAAUUUAAAUCCAGAAGCAUGUGCUGAUUUUUUCUUUUUGUAUUAAUCUGUGAAGUUUAUUUGGAAUGGAAGUAACUGGGUCGGGUCUAAUGGAUUAAAUUAUGACAUUGAGGGGAAGGCACUAAAAGGGUUUGCUUGACACAUUUGGUUCUGUGUUUACUCUGCAAGAAAUAACUUUUGCUUAUUGCAAUGCAGGGGGAAAUCCCGAUUUGGCUGGUGAAUUUCUCUGCAACAAACAGGCAAACACCUCAACAUCUUCUGUCCAUACUUCUGCUGGGGAGGCAAGGGGUAAAGAGUCUUCAAAAUCAUCAAAUAGUUACAUCUCUGAGAAUUCAUUUUAUGGAAAUGGAAAAUCUAGAGUUUCUAAUACAAAAUGGCAUCUGGUAUCAGGACGUACCGUUUCAAGUUUUCUUGGUAAAGAUUAUGUUAAACCUGCACAGCCAGCUAAUGGCACUUUUCUGGCAUCAAAGCCAUUGAAGUUGGAUCCAAGGGAGUUUCGCAUUUCUGCACUUUCAGAGAAGAAACUAAACCGACAAUCAAAGGAUGACCAUUUGCAGAAGGAUAUGGAAGAUUUUCUUUUUAAAUUGCUAGGAGAAGGGUUCCAGCUGUACAGGGAUGUGAUUCAGGAGGUUCAUGGUAACGUCUUAAAUAUAUUGAUGCCAAUUUAAUACAUAUUGUCCUUUUCAAUGUUCUUUCUUUCUUUCUCCUCUUUUUAUUAUUCUUCUUCUUCUUUUUUCUUUUCAUGUGCAUGUGAUCACUAAUUUGGUAUUAUUCUUGACUUGCAGAUAGUUGUGGAUAUGAAAUGCAAAAGGUAAGGGCUAUAUCUUCUUGAUGGAGGCCUCUGAUUUUUUAAAUCGCAUUUUCCUUUGUGAUUGAUAUAUCAUACCAAAGUCAAGUCUUAAAUACUGCUGUCAUAUGUUAAGGUUCAACUUCCAUUUUGAUUAACGUCGAUUUGCUACUGCUUCCAAAAGUGAGAAUGAGAUACUUUGGUUAAUUUCAGUAGUUGAACUCAAUGGAGUACUUUAUUUAGAUCUUCAUGGUUCAAAGGCCUGAAAAAACUUGCCGGUAUUUGCAAAAUGACAUCUGUGCUUUUAUUUAGACUUAUUAUUAAAGACAACAUUUUAUUUCAGCCAAAAAUGUUUGUUUCAAUUAAAGACUUGAACCAUUUUCAUUUAACCUGAUUGUGAUGCUUUACAUUAUGCAUGUUCCUCUCAAUCAAUAAAAGUUGAGGUCAUGAUUUUAUAUUUCUAUUUUGUAACUUGAAAUAAUUGGUCUGCCUGUUUCUGUUGCUUGAUAACAUGAAUUUUUCCUUCUGAAGUUAAUUUGAUCAAUAAAGUAAUUCUUCGGAGAGGAUAUGCCCAUUCUAUAGUCAUUUUCUUAGCUAACAUGUUUUUUCUUCACUCUUCAAAGCAUGUCUAAACUAAUUGAUCGCUCAGCGGAGACUUUGGGUGAGAAGACAAAAUUUCUUGGUAAAUCCUCUGAAAAGGUAUGCAUAAUUCCCGAGUAUUAAAUAAUCAUUGGUCAUAAUUUUUGUACACGACUCUUGUUUUGGAGAUCGUUAAAAGUGGUUGAUGAUCUAUUUUGUAAUAUCAUAGAGGGAUCAUGAAUUCCUUUUCUUUUCUGUGGCUAGGCAACACUUUCGAGCCAAGCUAAGGAAAUCUAUUUUAGGUAAUGUGAAAACUAGUUGUAGGAUGUAAUAGUUUAUUAUGCCCUGACAAUAACUUUUUGUAUAAUUGUCAGUUUAAUGAAUACAAGAGGAACUCUGUUGGCAAGUUCAUCCAUGAUAGAUGCUAAAAUUAUUUAUGCAUACCAGUUGCCUUAACUAAUUUUUCUCAACACUGGUAUUGAACAGGAAAAUGAAUAUGCAAUUUGUAUAUUGUGCCAUUGUGGAGAAUUUGGAUAUUCUUAUUUAAGUAACAAGGAGAGUAUUUGCCUCAUCUUUAAACAAUGAAUCUUUGAGAAAUGAGGAGUGGGUGAUUGACAGUGUCUUCAUGUAAAUGUUCAUUUAUUUGUAUUUUGAACUAUUAUGAGAAUCUUUGUAUGCCAAAUUAGUAAUACAAAUGUUCAGAUGAUUUUUCCUGUUGAUCAUGCGUGUGUAUCUGCACACAACCAUUGUGUACCACUUUAUUCUGAUGCACAAAUAUCUGUAGUUUAGAAGAAAAGAAAUAAUAAUCAUAUAUUAUUGCUUGGUUCAUGAUUAUUAAAUGAUUAUGGCUUUAGAAAAUCCACAAAUCCUUUGUGUUCAUAUAUGAAUGUGCGAAGUUCGCUAUAUCUUAGAUUACCUUCUUCCAAGAUAACAAGUUCAUAUAUUUUUUUUAAUCCUUUUUCAUCACAGUUGAAUUUCAAGUGUAAGUUUUGUUAUUAAUAGCUGGUUUCCUGUUAUUAUGAUUUCAUAAACAAUGAGAGGAUAUGUGCUCUACUUUUGGAUGGCCUCCACAUAAAAGAAAAUUGCAACAAUUGAAUUCUUCUGGAGGGUAUGGUAUUUAAUUUAUUUUCUCAGCUUGUUGUAAGACUAAUAUAUUUCCUUCAGUACGCACGGCAUGGUGGGAAGGGUUUUUAUUGAAAGAAUUAUGAUAUUUCUUAGACUUUGUUUUGGAAGGGGGUGGAGGGAUUUCUCAUCCAUGUAUGGUUACUUGAUUAGCUUUUGACUGUACUGUCUCCGUCGUGCAAAGGAAAAUCCAAAUACUAACGAAGGGGAAUUGCUUAGGCACCCAAAGGACAGAAAUGAAUUACGGAAGGAGGUUUUUGCUGCUUUAUUUAGUGCUGCUGAGAAAUCUGAUGAAUUUCCUGAAAUUACGGUGAAGACGGAGUGGAGGUCCAACGCAUUAGGAAAGGUGGUGAGUGAACCGCCAGAGGAAUUAGUACCAGAAUACAAGGCUAAUGUGGUGCACUGGCAGCAAGAUGACCAGACCUGUAUGUGCUCUUAUAUUAACUAUAUUGGCUGGAUUUGUGAGUGUGUUCAUUUUUGUGUGUAUACUCACUUUUGUAUUUAUGCAUAUUCACGUGUGUAGGAUUCUCGAUUUCUGCCACUUACUGGAGAACUAGUGGAAAGCUUUAUACUGAUAUAUGUGCUAUAUAACUAAUGGAAACUACAAUAUGAAUAUUUUCUCUCACCUGGAGAGCAGUGUAACUAAUAUAAUUUGUGGCUCUGGAAUACUGAAGAUUCUGCAAUAACUAAUGGAAAAUAUGAUAUGAAUAUUUUUUCUCACCUGGAGAACUUUGUAACAGAUACAUUUUGUGCUGGAAUGUCUAAAGAAUGCUUCAGUUUAUAUCAAAUAUCUUUUAGUUAGAAAAGAUAAAAUUCUCUGAAUCUGAAAGACUGAAACAUUUUGCAUAUUUCGUGAAAGGCAAGUAUCUGUAGAUACUAGCUCAUGCAUUGAGGUAAUAUCAAUGUUAAAGAAAAACAGCAAUAAUUUAUUAUACAGAAUUAGGUUCACUUGCUUUAAAUGCUGGUCUGAUCAACCAUAUCAACCUGUAAUGGUCCUGCAGAAAUAUAUAUACGGGGAGAAACUAGCUAAUUUUCCUUUCACUUAUGGGUUUGGUCUUUUUUUCCCCAAUUUUUCAGCUUUCCUUCUCCUGAAGUAUGUUAAUAAUUGCAGAUAAUGGCGAAGAGGACUGCUUCCAGGCUACCGGCAAAAACUUUGUGAAAGCUUUGGAGUUAAACAGGGAAUUCACUUACUGCUAAGGACAAUUGGUGGCGAGCUAUUUCAUUCAUUUUAUGUCCAUACAUCUAUUUAAUUAUUAAAGAUAAUGUACGCAUUUGUAAAUUUCAGAUUGUGUGUCUCUGAAAAUAACAAUAUUUAAAAUGUCUCUUAAAUUAUUAUAAAUUUUAAUUUACUCUCGAUUUAAAAUGGAACAUGUUGGUGAAAUAUUUUUUCUUCUUAAUAAAAUUGAAAUAAAUUAUGUUAGCAGUAGUUUGAAAUAUUUUAAAGAUGAUUAUUUUAUAAGGGAGUAAUAUGAAAUGAAAUUUACUUUUCAUGCGUGAAAUGUUGAAAAAGGACAAAGCAAGUGUCCCUGCUUUUAUUUUAUUUCAAAGUGGAGUCAUCUCACAUACUUUAGCUCUAUCAUUAGGAGCCGGCUAAGUUACGUUAAACGUAAUUUACGCCAGGCACAGCAAUAAUGACAAGUCCCAUGACUAGUAUUGUUGCUGUGUCUGACGUAAGUUACGUUUAACGUAACUUAGCCAAAGCCCUAUCAUUAAUAUAUAUUUAAAUUUAACACAUGCAUGUGGGUUACUUUUCCGUAAGUUCCUUAAUAUAUAUUUAACACAAAUCAUGGAAGAGAUGGGAGUAUAUCAAGAUGAUCAAAGCAUGAAACAAAAAUAUUUAAGAAGUAAAACACUGAAAAUGGAGAAGAGAUGCAAGCAAAAGAUAUUCUAAAGAAAAGCAAUCUAUCCCCUUUCGAGGGCAAACUUAUCAGGUUUAAGAAAAGUACAUGCUUUGGAUUGGUAGUUGCAGCCUUGCAGGAUAAUUGUUUUUGCCACUAUAUUAGUUGGAGGAGUUGAACCCAGUGAAGAAUGUUAUGGAAGAGCAAAUGAUAUUUCUGAUAGACUCUAUUUGAUUAUGUAGCCUGAAUAGAUGUCUUGUUGAAAGAUAUAUCAGUGCAUUAGUUCAUCCUUGUCUGUCAAUGUGUUUUUAAUGGUUUUUCCAAUUGUUUUUUUUUUUUUUGAAACUGAUUAAGCAUCAGGUUACUGCAUUACACAGAUAUAUAUACAACUGCUAUGACAGCAGGUCAUUACACUGAUAUUUACAAUCAGAUAUAUAUACAUGGGACUUAUAUUAUUACAUUUUUAUUCUAUGAAGUACAUGCCCAUCCCAAAUACCCCUCACGGAGGAGGGAUGUCUCUACUCCACUCGCAUUUCGCAAGGGAGAAAGACGUUUAUAGAAAUCUCCACACAAUUAUGUUUAAUUGGAGGAGGUUGAGUCCGUGGGGACUCGAACCAUUGCCCUCAAAGUCAUGCUUAACUUUGAGGGCAAUGGUCCACCACUGGGCUACAAGCCCAAGUGGCGGUUUUUCCAAUUGUUUAUUGCUAUAGAUUGAUUGUAAAUUGAUGUGAACUUAAUGUUGAAAUAUUUUCUCUUUAGUGGAAUGAAAGUUAAACAUUCAAGAUUAGAUUAUUCAAGGUCCACAUAGUAUGUGUUCCGUUGUGUUGUCUGUAAUUUUGCAUUUAAAUAAAUUUGAGUGCUGCCGUUUCGCUCCCACAAUCUCUCGCCUUUUUUUAAUUUUAAAAAUUAAAAUAUUAAUAAAAAACAAUAAAGAAAAUCGAAUCCUUUAUGUCAUUCCAUCUUUACAACUCUCUCUCACAAACUCCAUCUAACAGACUUCUCUCUUACUAUCUCGGUCGAACAAGACCAGUGACAAUGAUGACACGACCGCCGACGAUGAGAUGGUCAUCGCUAAAGAAUCGGGCCGUGUAUUUUACAAUUUCUUGGUUUGUGACAACAAUGGAAAACUCCUGAAAAUUUUGAAUUUGUAGUCGAGCAAAGGAAGAAGCAAGUUAUCUUCAAAGCAUUUUCCAGUAAUAGCUGAUGAAAUUUAAUACUUCAAGCUGGCCCUUUGCUGUCACAACUAGAUGCAUUUGCACUGUCAUUACAAUUUAUGGAAAUUAAAGUAAUUAAUGGUUCUAAUUAAUAGCUUCCCAAAAAACCAAUCUGCCCUUGUGAGAACCAAAGCAUUAAUUUCUUGUAAGAGCUGCAGAAGGCCAGAGAAUUUCAGAUCGUGAAAAGGAGUGUGUGAGUGAGAGAGAGAUCGUGAAAUAGUGAGAGACAAUGAGAGAGAGAGCCGCUCGACUGAGAUGGUGAGAGAGUUGCAAAAAUGGAGUAAGGAGCAGAUAAGAUUAUGUUUUCUUUAUUAUUUUUUAUUAAUAUUUUAAUUUUUUUAAUUAAAAAAGGGCGAGAGAUUUUGGGAGUGAAACGGCAGCAUGUUCCAAUAAAUUUUUACCAAAGUUUCUCUCGUGUUUCUCUCACCUUUCUAGAUACCAAGCAUUUUCCAAUAAAUUUUUACUAAAAACUUAGCAAGCCCUUGAAACUUUGGUCAAAAUUAUUGUUAUUAUUACUUUUAGAGGAAAAACUUUUAUUAAAACCUCAUUAACACAAUUCUUAAUUAAAAUUAUAAGUUUGUGUUGGUGUAAGGAUUUGCAGGAGCAAUUACUGCCUAGCCAAGUGUCAAAAGCACAAAAUAAAUCAAGAGAAAGUAGACAUGAAUUAGGAUCCAAUGAAAUUUAAAUCCCGGAGAAAAGAAAUAAUCAUGCAGAUUAUCAAGAUUUCAAUAAGGGAUAUUGAUAUCCUAUUUUGAUUAAUAAUAUCCUUUUACUGUGUUAACUCAAAAAAUAUGUAUAUUCUAAUAUUUUACAAUAAAUAGAAAUCUAAUAUUAAAAUAAAUGUGAUAUAUAUAUAUAUAUAUUAAAUAAUUUAAAUAUAAAAAAUAUUUUAAUGUUUUACAAUCUACUACACAUAUUUUAUUAAGUUAAUAUAAUUUUUCAAAUAAAUAGGGACAUAAUAUUAAAAUAAAUUUAUAAAAAUUUAAAUUAUUUUGAAUUUAAAAUAAUUUUAAUAUUAUUAAUAUGUUAGAUAUGUUUGAUUAAUUAUAAAAAUUAUUUACGCAAAUUUUUUUAAUAUUUUCAGUAGAUAUAAAUAUAUUACUUACAUUUUGAUUAUUUAACUAUUAUUAUUCUACAAUUAUUUAUAUAAUGUUUGCACUUAUUAGAAUAUAUUUAAAGUCAAAUCUUUUGCACUUCUACCUAGCUAGAAUUAUUGGACGCAGAGAAAUAAGCAUAUAUGCUUUAUAACUUUAGAAAUCGAAUUAUCUAUACAAAUUGAUUUUAGCUGGAAAAAAAGUGAGCUGAAUGAUAUAGGCGAUUAGUGUGGUAAUAUUUCAUAGAGUUAGACUAUUGAAUUUGGCACCCCUCCAAUCUUCUCAUGAUUACCUUUUUGAGUUAUUAAUACACUUCUAAUUUUUCGUUUAAUUUUUUUUAUUGUUAUACUCAAAGUAGUAUUGUGAUAUUUUAUAUUUCUUUUGCAAUCUUAUUAUUAUUUUACACAAAAUUAAAAAGUUUUCUAGGUGAUGAACUUUUGAGUUUUGAACAUUAAUCAUUGGCUUAAAUUUCAUAUAUUUUACAUUAUAAUUUGAAAUUAAGUACGAAAAUAUUUAAUAAAUUAUGAAAAGAUUAACAGAUUAUUCUAAAUUGAUACAACUUAUUUUAGUUAAAUAAAAAGUAACAGGUAAAAAAAAAAAGGAUUGGUUAUGAAAUUUGUUGGAAAAAAAUCUGUGUGUGUUUAAUUUUUAUUUGUCCUUAAUUGUAAUUUAUUUGAAGUGAGGUUUUAUAAGGAUAAUGAAGGGGUGCCAUAGUUUCACUCUAUUUCAUAUGGAGAGAGAAGUAAAAGGUACACCUGAGGUUAAUGGAAAGGACUUCGAAAGUUUCUUUUGAUUAUAAUACUGUUUGUUCUAAUUAACUUAAAAAAUUUUACUUUAAUAUUUUAUAAUAAAUUAAAUUUUAAUCUUAAAAUAAGUAUAAUCAUAUAUUUUAAAAUAAUCUUAAAAUAAAUACAAUCAUAUAUUUUAAAAUAAUCUUAAAAUAAAUACAAUCAUAUAUUUUAAAAUAAUCUUAAAAUAAAUACAAUCAUAUAUUUUAAAAUAAUCUUUAUAUUUAAAAUUUAUUUAUUUGUACAUAUUUUAUAAUAAAUAUAACACAUACUAUUAAAAUAAUAUAUAAAAAAUUAAAGUAUUUUGAAUAUUAUAUAAAAUAACUUUAAGAUUCUUAAUAUGUAAGAUAUAUUUUAUUAAUUUAAAAUUCUAUUUAAAAUUUUAUUAAUUUAAAAUUCUAUUUAACCCAAAGAUUUAUUUAAGAUAAAUUAAUAAUCAUAUUUUUUAAAUCAUUUCAAAUAUUAAAAAAUAUUUUGAUAUUACUAGUCUAUUAAAUAGAUUAAAUAUUUUUAUUAUUUUGUACUAAUCAAAAGUUACAGCUCGAAUGAUAUUAUGAGAACAGAAUUUUUAUGUCUUUAUUAAAAAUUUGGGUUUGUAUAAUUAUUUUUUCAAAUGUUAGGGGCAUAGCUGUCUUUUUACUUUUAUAUAUGUGAACCGCGGUGGUGAAAAAGUGUGAUUUAAUAUUAGUUAUUUAAAUAAUAUCUGAAUUAAAGAUGUACAGAGAAGAAAUUUCGGUGGGCAUUUUAGUCUUUUAACGAUUAUCAUGAUUAGGGAUUAGGUCCUGCUCUUGAAACGUUGGUCAGAAAAGUUCUAAAAUGCGUACAUUAUCUUUACUUUAAAAAAGUUAUUUUAUUUUAUUACAAAUUAAUGCCGACAAGAAAAAGCAAGAUCUUAAANNNNNNNNNNNNNNNNNNNNNNNNNNNNNNNNNNNNNNNNNNNNNNNNNNNNNNNNNNNNNNNNNNNNNNNNNNNNNNNNNNNNNNNNNNNNNNNNNNNNAUAAAGAUGAAGAAAAGGGCAAAAAAAUAUUAAUGAUUAACGAAAUCUCUAUCCAAAUUGAUUUUAGCAGGAAAAAAGUGAGCUAAAUGAUGUAGACGAUUAGUGGUAAUAUUUCAUAGAGUUAGACUAUUGGCACCCUUCCAAUCUUCUCACGAAUCCUCUUUUUGAGUUAUAUUUAUUUUAUUUUUAAAAUAUCUUUUUUCUCUUUUACUACACUUCUAAUUUUUCAUUUAAUUUUUUUAUUGUUAAACUCAAAGUAGUAUUGUGAUAUUUUUAAUUUCUUUUGCAAUCUUAUUAUUACUCUGCAUAUAAAUUAAAAAGUUUUUUAGGUGAUGAAUUUUUGAAUGUUAAUCAUUAGCUUAAAUUUCACAUAUUUUACAUUACAAUUUGAAAUUUAAUAUGAAAAUAUUUAAUCAAUAAGAAUUAUGAAAAGAUUAAUAAAUUAUUCUAAAUUUAUACAACUUAUUUUAGUUAGAUCAGAAGUAGCAGGUUAACAAAAGAAAGGAUUGGUUAUGAAAUUUGUUGGAAAAAAAUCUAUGUGUGUUUAAUUUUUAUUCGUUGUUAACUCUAAUUAAGUAGGUUAAAUAUUUUUGUUAUUUUUUACUUAUCAAAAAAUUUAAGAUCAAUAUUUUUAGUUACCAUUCGAAGGAUAUUAUGACAAAAACAGAAUUUUCACUUCUUUGUUAAAAAUUUGGGGGUUUGUGUAACUAUUUUUUCAAAUGUUAGGGGCAUAUCUGUCUUUUUACUCUAUAUAUAUGAACCAUGGUGGUGAAAAAGCGUGAUUUAAUGUUAUUUAUUUAAAUAAUAUCUCAAUUAAAAAUGUAAGGAGAAGAAAUUUCGGUGGGCAUUUUAGUCUUUUAACGAUUAUCAUGGUUAGGCCCUGGUCUUGAAACGUUGGUCAGAAAAGUUCUAAAAUGCGUUCAUUUGUCUUUACGCCAACAAUAAAAAGCAAGAUCUUAGUGUCCCACAAAAGCAAAUCGUAAUAUUCCGCAAUGGAGUUAGAUCCGCAAAAGCAAACAAAUUCUUUUAUUAAACUACAAAUUAAAGUGGAAUCAUUUACUAAACAACAAAUUAAAUUUGAAAUAUUUAAAUAGUCGUGCGUUAGACGAUUAGAGACUCUUAUUAAAGGCAAGUACAAAGUAGUGAAGAAUCGAAUAUUUCUAUUGUCUAGUCUUUUUUUAAAAAAAAUUUUCUUUUAUUAUUUUUCAGAAUAUGUUUUGGUGAUUACUAUUGGGUUAUUAUUCAGAGUUAUUGUUAUCUUCCGGGGCAGUUUCUGUUCAUCGAAUUCGUUAAUAAAAUUUUAAAACUCUUAUUGAAAGAAUGUUUUUCCGUUAUCUUUUUUAUAAUCUAAUUUUAAGUGUAAGAAGUAGUCAUUUUAGAAUUUGGGUCUUGAAUCGAAUUUCAAUGCAUGAAUUAAUAUUUAAAAAAAAUUUACUACAUGCAGUUUAGGUUACAAACUAUUUUUUGCAAAGUUGACUAUGAAAUUGGAGAAAUUAAGUAAUUUAUAAUGUUUGCAAAGAAAGAGACCAACAUACUUCCAAUUACACUAUAUCUCAAUUAUCAUAAUGUUAAGAUUAAACUAACUUAAAAUAAAAUUUAUUUAAAAAGUUUAUCAAACGCAGUCUAAUUUUAUUAACUUGAAGAGAUAAUAGUUAUAGAAAUUAUUAUUCUAACUUAAUUAGUAAAAGUGGUAUAAAGGUUAAGUGUGCACUAAAUCUAUUUAAAUUUUUUUCCAGUAUAACUAACAGAGGUCAUUACUAGAAUUAUAUUACUAGUCUAUUAGAUAGAAAAAAUUAUUUAUAUUGUUUUAUAUUUAUUAAAAAAAUUUAAAGUCAAUCUUUUUAAUUACUAUUUAAAGGAUAUUAUAAUUAAAAAAAUUUUAAUGUCUUCAUUAAAAAUUUAAAAUUUUAUAUGACCGUUAUCUAAAUAUUUAAAGUGUAACUGUCAUUUUCUCAUAUAUAUAUAUAAUUUCAUCAACCCCUUAUACUUUAUGUUAUUUAUAUUUUAUUCAUGAAUAUUAUAAAUUUUUUGAAAUAUAAAAUUUCGUUUAACCCUUUAUACUCAAUUUUAUUUUAUUAAAACCCUAGAGUAUGAAUUCGUCCCUAUAAUAUUAAAUUCUCAAAAUAACUUCCAUUUAAUUAAAAAAUAUAAUUAUUAUUAAAUGAAUUAUAAUUAUUAUUAUUAUGUUAUUAUAAUCAUAAAAAGCGAGAUCAUAUUCCACAAAAGCAUAAGUGACAAAACAACCAACUGGAUUCUUUUAUUAAUCAACAAAUUGUAUAGUCUUUUUCAAAUUGUUAUAAAUUGGUGGCCCCUACAAUCCUCAAUAAUUGUACCGAAAUUCACAAGUUGGUGGGCCCUACAAUUCUGUUCCGAUAAUUUAACUGUGCAAGUGCUCAUUCACAAUCUUCCAGGUCAUGCUCUUAACAAUUGUUUUUUCUUUUCUGCACGCCCUUUCAUGCUCUUAAUAAUUGAAGAGCAUACUUUUCAAAUGUGAAGCCGCAUCUAAUGUCGCUAAUUUAAUUUGGGAUUAAAUUACGGGACUAUUAUAUUGCAGUGUGCACUAAUUUUUAUGUUUAUCUAAACUCUUCAAAUUUAAAACAUAUUAUGGCAUAAAUAAGAAUGUAACAAUAACAAAAGAGUAAGAAAGUGUAGAGAAAAUCUUGCAGAAAUAUAAAUAAUAUUUAUUUUUAAAAUAAUAUUAAUAUUUAAAAUAAUUUUUAAUAUUUUAUGGUCCAUUAGAUAUAUUUUAUUAUAUUAAAAUAAAUUUUAUAAUAAAUAAAAACAUACUAUUAAAAUGAAUAUAUAUAGAAAAUUUAGAGUAUUUUAAGUAUUAUAUAAAAUAAUUUUAAUAAAAUAUGUGAGAUAUUCAUAUUUUAUUAAUUUAAGAUACCAUUUAACCUAAAGAUUUAUUUAUGAUAAAUUAAUAAUUAUAUUUUUGAAAUUACUUCAAAUAUUAAAAAAAUUAAUAUUACUAAUAUAUUAGAUAGAUUAAAUUAUAUAUAUUAUUUUUACUUAUUAAAAAAAUUUUAAAAUUAUUUUUAAUUACUAUUCAAAAAACGUAUUCAAAAAACAUAAUGAUAAAAAAAUCUUAACAUCUUUAUUAAAAAAUUAAAAACUUAUAUGAUAAAUUCUCUAAAUAUUUACGGUAUAUGUGAACCACGGUGGAUAAGCUUUAUUUAAUAUUAUUGAUUUAAAUAAUAUGUCAAUUAAAAAUGUACAGAGAAGAAAUUUCGGUGGGUAUUUUAGUCUUUUAAGCAAUUAUCAUGAUCAGAUCAGCCUUUAGCCUUCAAACGUCGGUCAGAAAAGUUUUAAAAUUAAUGCUAAAUUGUUUUUCACUUUUAACGUUGGUGGCCUUGAAAUUGCUUGUAUUUUAUUAAAAAUUAAUGCUAACAAGAAAAAGCUAGGUCAUAUUCCACAAAAUCAAAAGUGACAAAACAACCAGCUGGUUUCUUUUACUAAACUACAAAUUAAAAUAAAUUUUUUCGAUAAAUUACAAAUUAAAGUGGAUUCUUUUGAAUACAAAUGGGACAGACGAUUAGGCUCUUUUUAUUAGAGGCAAGUAAAAACUAGUCAAGAAUCGAACAGUCUUUUUCCAAUUCUUGUUUUAUUAUUUUUCAAAACUAGUUUUUGGUAAUUACAACCGGGUCAUUAAUCAUUAUUCAGAGUUAUCUUCCGGGGCAGUUUCUGUUCAUCGAAUUCGUUAAUAAAAUGUUAAAACUCUUAUUGAAAGAAUGUUUUUCCGUUAUCUUUUUUAUAAUCUAAUUUUAAGUGUAAGAAGUAGUCAUUUUAGAAUUUGGGUCUUGAAUCGAAUUUCAAUGCAUGAAUUAAUAUUUAAAAAAAAUUUACUACAUGCAGUUUAGGUUACAAACUAUUUUUUGCAAAGUUGACUAUGAAAUUGGAGAAAUUAAGUAAUUUAUAAUGUUUGCAAAGAAAGAGACCAACAUACUUCCAAUUACACUAUAUCUCAAUUAUCAUAAUGUUAAGAUUAAACUAACUUAAAAUAAAAUUUAUUUAAAAAGUUUAUCAAACGCAGUCUAAUUUUAUUAACUUGAAGAGAUAAUAGUUAUAGAAAUUAUUAUUCUAACUUAAUUAGUAAAAGUGGUAUAAAGGUUAAGUGUGCACUAAAUCUAUUUAAAUUUUUUUCCAGUAUAACUAACAGAGGUCAUUACUAGAAUUAUAUUACUAGUCUAUUAGAUAGAAAAAAUUAUUUAUAUUGUUUUAUAUUUAUUAAAAAAAUUUAAAGUCAAUCUUUUUAAUUACUAUUAAAGGAUAUUAUAAUUAAAAAAANNNNNNNNNNNNNNNNNNNNNNNNNNNNNNNNNNNNNNNNNNNNNNNNNNNNNNNNNNNNNNNNNNNNNNNNNNNNNNNNNNNNNNNNNNNNNNNNNNNNNNNNNNNNNNNNNNNNNNNNNNNNNNNNNNNNNNNNNNNNNNNNNNNNNNNNNNNNNNNNNNNNNNNNNNNNNNNNNNNNNNNNNNNNNNNNNNNNNNNNNNNNNNNNNNNNNNNNNNNNNNNNNNNNNNNNNNNNNNNNNNNNNNNNNNNNNNNNNNNNNNNNNNNNNNNNNNNNNNNNNNNNNNNNNNNNNNNNNNNNNNNNNNNNNNNNNNNNNNNNNNNNNNNNNNNNNNNNNNNNNNNNNNNNNNNNNNNNNNNNNNNNNNNNNNNNNNNNNNNNNNNNNNNNNNNNNNNNNNNNNNNNNNNNNNNNNNNNNNNNNNNNNNNNNNNNNNNNNNNNNNNNNNNNAUUGUGGGCACUCUUGUUCGUGCAUGUUUGCUAGAAGAGAUGGAAGAUGAUAAAGUAAAAAUGCAUGACGUUGUUCGUGAUAUGGCUUUAUGGAUAGCUUGUGAAAUUGAGAAGGAGAAGAGAAACUUUUUGGUUUGUGCAGGUGCUCGAUUAGAAGAGGCACCGGGUGUUAAAGAAUGGGAAAAUGUGAGAAGAUUGUCAUUGAUGCAAAACCAAAUUGAAACUGUGUCAGAGAUUCCCGCAUGCCCUCAUCUCCAUACUCUAUUUCUUGCCUCUAAUAGGAAUUUCAGGAUGAUCACGGAUGGCUUCUUUCAAUUUAUGCCUUCUCUCAAAGUUUUGAAGAUGUCACGCUGUGGGCAAUUCGAAGGUUUUCAAUUACCUGUUGGGAUGUCAGAGUUGGGUUCAUCACUAGAACUUCUUGAUAUUUCACAUACCACCAUAAGAGAGUUACCCGAAGAGUUAAAGUUGCUGGUAAAUCUGAAAUGUUUGAAUUUGAGGUGGACAGGUGCGUUAAUUAGAAUUCCACGGGGACUAAUAUCAAAAUUUUCAAGGUUACGUGUGUUGAGAAUGUUGGGUACUGGCGGGUUCAUUUUUUAUGAAGCACCAGAAGACAGCGUUUUAUUUGGUGGGGGUGAAGUUUUGAUACAGGAAUUGCUCGGUUUGAAAUAUUUAGAGGUAUUGGAGUUGACCUUGGGAAGUUAUCAUGCUCUCCAAAUUCUUUUGAGCUCAAAUAAGUUAAAAAGUUGUAUUCGAUCUCUUUACCUCUAUUUGACCGGAGAUAAAAAGUCGAUUAUUGAUGCUACGGCUUUCACAGACCUAAACCACCUCAAUGAAUUAUGGAUUGAUAAUGGAAUUGAGUUGGAAGAAUUGAAGAUUGAUUAUACGGAGAUAGUACGAAAAAGGCGGGAACCUUUUGUUUUCCACAGCCUUCACCUUGUUACGAUAUAUAGUUGCCAUAAAUUGAAAGAUUCGACAUUCCUCGCUUUUGCUCCAAACCUCAAGUCUCUUUCGCUAUUCAAAUGCCGUGCUAUGGAAGAAAUAAUCAGCGUCGGAAAAAUUGCUGAGAAUCCUGAGAUGAUGGGACAUAUAAGCCCUUUUGAAAAUCUCAAAAGUCUUGAUCUAUCAUAUUUGCCGGAGUUGAAGAGCAUUUUCUGGAAGCCAUUGCCUUUCACUCAUCUCAAAGAAAUGGGGGUAAGAGCAUGUGAUCAGCUUAGAAAGCUUCCACUCGAUUCCAACAGUGCAAAAGAGCGUAAAUUUGUAAUUCGUGGAGAAGAAGACUGGUGGAACCGACUUCAAUGGGAGGAUGAAGCCACUCAAAUUGCUUUUCGUUCCUGUUUCCAACCUGAUUCCUGAGCGGUGGUCGCAAAAUUUGAUUUCUGGUGAGUGCGUUUGUCUUUUAAAAGAAGAAUUUAAAAGAAAUUUAUUCUUGACGUUUUCUUCACUGUUUUUAUUUCAGUCUCUCUCUCUCUCUUUUUGUCUUCUGCUAAUCACAAUUAAAUGUUGAAUUAAUGGAAUUAAUGCUUCAUAAAUUUGCCGGCACUGCCAUUACUUUUUUUUUUUUUAAUACAAAUUGAUACUUUAUUUAUAUCUUCUUAGCGAUUUAAUUUCCUGUCAAUUGACGAACGAGAAGAACAUAUGACUUGAACCAAUGCUCGCAUAAACUUGCUGUAAAAAGAUAUAAUCUCACUGAAAUGCACACGCCUAGAAUGAAUAGAAUUAAAACAGGGAAAAUAUUAAGUAUAUUAGCCCUCUUUACCGAAAAUCAAAUGACAAUAAAUUUUUUGAAGUUUUGAUUUUCUAUGGUCAAUUCCACCUUUUGCAAUUUCUUCUGUUCUAACAAAAACCAAUUUCUUUGUUCAAGUAUUUUCGUUUGGGUAUUAAUAAUUCUCCACCGAAAGAGUGAACUCUUGCUCAAGGGAUCUCUAAUCAAUAGCCGGAAGGGCGCCGAGACCUGAUCGGACCUAGGCCCAAGUUUGGUCUUAAAGCCUGGGCUUGAGCCUGGCAAUUAAAUUAAAACAGUAAUUGAUUUCUUGAAUGAAUUGUCGUGUAAUUGAUUUAUGGGGGAUGACACAUCAACAUACUUGAAAAUACACUAAUCUCAGCAUCAUCCGUUAAUAACUUUUAGAUUUAUGGGCAAUCAAUAGUUAAAUUAGUUGUCAUUAAUACUAAAUAAUUUUUACUUUUUUUGUCUCUUCUAGAGGAUCUUCUAGAAAAAUGCAUCCACAAUUAAAUUUAAUACUUUACAUAAUAAAGAAAGCAUAAAUGUUAAAUUUAAGAAACUGCAUUGUAUUUCAGCUGAAGUUGACUUUAAUAUUUAGGGUAGAAAAAAAUUAAAUCCUUAAUGUGUUUAAUUUCUAUCACUUGUGUCAUUAAAAUUUUCUAGUCACCCUAACCAAUUACAUCUCAACCCACUUUUUUUUGGAUGAUUUUAUUUUUACACUAUUAUUUUCAACAUUUUUUUUUCCUUUUAACACCAACAUUAGUGUAUGUUACGUAACAUAAUCCAUAUUUGGAUAAUUUGAAAUUUGUUUGUGUUUUAUCUCAAAAUAGAGCUUCAAUCAAUUUGUACCUCAUAAAUUCACAAUAUCUGGCAUAUUGUCAAAUGUGCUUAUCCUUUUGCUUGACAUGUCAUUUUAAAAUUGUCAUUCAAUGUCAAAAAAUCACAUCAACUAAUGGCCGACUACUUUAAUUUGAAAGCAUGCGUGCGAUCGCCAAUAAUUAUAACUUAAUUGUUAUAUUGAAAUUUUUUUCUUUAUAAUUUAAGUUUAAUACUGCUACAUGUGUGGCACAUAAGUUGGAAAAUAUAACAUAAAAUUUGAAAAAUGUGUAGUUUUCGUUCCUUUUUUUUCUAAAAAAAUGGGAAAAAAGAAUGUAAUUUUGUUUAAAUUACUGUUGUCAUAACAAUUAUUAUUUUAUUGAUUAAUUGGCAGAGAAUCGUAAUGGUUUCGCAUGGUUGUUAAAACAUUGGAAAGUCCACUACAUCAUCGGUUAAUAACUUUCAGAUUUAUGGUUAAUUAAUAGCUGAGAUUUAUUAUCAUUAAUGCUAAAUAUUUUUUCUCUCUCCUGGAGGAUCAUCCACAGGCAGGUGCUUCCUGACGAUGACAAAAUUUUGGGCAGGCAGGUGCUUCCUGACUUUCACACGGUAAUUCUCAAAUUCUGAUUUCACCAUAUUUUAAUUACUGAUUAGCAUAUAUUCAAGUGCUCUCCAUUAUAAUGGAAGCCGCCGCCUCACUCGUAAUUCCAAACUUUAUCUUUUUUUCCUUUUUUAAAUUAAUGCAAGUAGCCGCUGUCCUUUCUAUUAAUUAAUUAAUUCGGCCGCCCACAUUUCUUUUCCUAAUGUCUUCUACUGUCGAGUUUAUUUUAUUUUCUCUUUAUUAUUAAAAUAUACUUAUAAUAAUAAAAAAAUAAAAAUUAACAUAUCAAAAUAUAAUUUAACAGAAAAUUAAGAUAAAAAAUUAAAAAUAAAUAAAUUAUGAGCAUAUCAAUCAAUAAAUGAAAAAUAAUAAUUUUUAUUUUUAUUAAAUAUAAAUUUUUCAGUAUUAAUCAAUUAUCUGAAUAAAUAAAAUCAUUUAAAAAUAAAUAAAUAAAUUAUUCUUAAAAAAAAAAAAAAAACUUUUUAUAACACUCACUAUGCUGGUUGUAGGGUUGACGCUUUGGGUACUGAAGCUAGUAACUUCUACAAGUAGUCUUAAGUUGACUGGCAACAACUAUAUUGGCAUUUAGAAAUAAUGUACUGCAACCAUAUUGGCAUGUUCAAAUGUUCUUAUUAUUGUAUUGGUGUGUCAAUAUUAUCUCUAACGGUUUUAUAAAUAAAAAAAUAAUCUAAAUUUAUAAUUUAACAUAAAAUAAAAUAAUUGGUAGAAAAACAAUUAUGGUUCAUUUACUUAUCAGUAAUCAGAAUAGACUGAAAUCGAAAUGAGUUGUAUUACUGUUGAUGUGUUUAUGUUGUACUCGAAUCGAAAUGAAUUAUUUUAAAUUACUAAAAUAUCCUUGGUCUGUUAUUCUAAUUAUUAUUAUUAUUUAAUAUUUAUUAUAAUAUUUUUCAUAUCAUUAAAAAAAAAUAAUAAUGAUGAUAAUAUUCUCAUUAUUGUUUGUUACAUUAUUAUUAUUCAAAAAAAUUAUUGUUAAUAACAAUAAUUACUUUAUUUCAAUAAUAAUAAUGAUAAAAUUAAUAAUAAUAAACAUGACAACAACAAUAAUUAUUUAUUAUGCCAAAAAAUAACAAUAAUAAUAAGAAUAAUAAUCAUCAUCAUUUUUUUGCCAAAGAAGCAUUAUCAUCAUCAUUUCAAAAAAAAAAUCAUCAUCAUCAUCAUCAUUUUUGUAGUGGCUACCUAUCGGCUGCUGCUUUCAUGUGAGAUUGACUUGCGACGCUUCAACGGCUAUUAUUUCUGACAAUGUCAGGUGUUGCUAUUUCAAUUUAGGAAGAAGUUGUUUCGGUGUGCUAGCGAUGGGAGAUGUUGUGGCUGCGAUUCGGGGAGCUACUAGUUUAUUGCACUAAUAACGGCAGGUGCUGUUGCUUGAUGCGAGGUCCAUGGCCAGUUGUCAGCAGUUCGACUUUGGUAUGGGUGCUGCUGGUUCGAUUUUAGGUGUUGUCCAAUUUCAUUUUCAGGAUUUUAAUUUUAUUUUUCUUUUAUAUUUUCAUUAAUUAAUCAGGGUAAAAUUGGAUUUUAGAAUUUAGAAUGAAGGUAAUUUUGUUAAUAAUGGAAAUGAGAUUCUGAUUGUCGAGAAUGAGCUUACACAAACAACUAUAAAUUAAGUGAAAACAAAACACUUUUUCUCUUUGUGUGAUUAAAACAUGAUAUGUACCAUAAAUAAAUAAGUAAAAAAUAAAUCAACACAAUCUAAAACAGUAAACAAAUUACAAGAGGCACAGAUUUUUAUGUGAAACACCGAAAAUGGAAAAAACCACAGCAUCUUAGUUUGAUAUAAUCUUCUACUAUAUUAAUGGGAUUAUAGCACAAAUUCUUUCCUAUAUAACACUAGAGAUUAACAACAUCAAGAAUCUCAAUAAUCUUGACUUACAAUACAGCCUAAUAUUUGUCUCUCUAAUAAGUAGAUAUCUAAAAUAACAGUCUCUAAUAAGUAUGUAUCUAAAAUAAUAGUCAACAAGAGGAUAAAACAAAAAUUAAGAUUAGUAGGAUGUGUAUAAGGUGAUGCUAUCAAUUUAUCUUCUAAAUUUGAGAAAAAUAGUUAAAUUCACUUUUUCGAUUGUCCGACCAAAAAUGGAAACCCUUGCCCCAAAACCAAAGGAAUCACCAUUAUGUUUUUCUCUCUCUCUCUCUCUAUCUCGUUCUUUUCUUCUUCUUUUCUUAAUGUUAGCCAUCACUUGCUUUUAUUCUUUAUAGCAUUCAAAAAGCUACUUUUAAUGGUAAAUUUCAUUUAAGUCUGCAACUUAGUGAUAAUUGCACACCAAACAAUCCUUACAUAGUGUUUUGGGCCCUCAAAUGAGAUGAAUACAACAAAUCUCCCCCUUUAAAUCAUGUGGGGGGCACCGCAAGCCCGCUAUUUGCAUAUAGCUUUUCAGCUUCUCCUUGAAUAAUGACUUUGUCAUCAUACAUAAUCCAUUCUUCGUUGUGUAAAUCUUCUCAAGCUGUAACUGUUCCUUCUCAAGCUGUAAUUAUUCCUUCUCAAGCACGUCUCGUAUCUAAUGAUACCUUACAUCAAUAUGCUUAGAUUUCGAAUAGUAUAACAGCACUCUGACUAUCGUAGUACAUAACAUAGCUGUCUUGUUUUACACCCAGCUCUUGUAGGAAAUUCUUCGUCCACAAUAUUUUUUUGCAACCUUCAAUAAUUGUAAUAUCAUUUGCUUUAGUGGUAGAAAAGGCAACUUAUUACUAAAGUUUAGAUUGCGAUGAGACUGUUCCCCCUGCAAAAGUGAGCAAACAUCCUAGUAGGAAUUUUUCGGAAUCAACAGCUCCUGCCAUAUCUACACACUUGUAACACAGGUUUGUCACCACCAAAAUAUAAACAUGCUCUGGAAAUGCAUCUAAGAUAUCUGAGAAUUUUUCACUGUUGUCCAGUGCUCUUUACCGAGGUUGAAGAGAAACCACUGACUACACUAACUGUAUAGGCAAUAUUUGGUCUUGUACAAAUUAUGGCGUACAAUAAACUGCCAACUGCUGAAGCAUAAGGAACUCCUCUCAUGGAGAAAUGGGUUUUACUCUUGAGAUUUUUGGGACCAUGAAGAAUAAAGAUGUAAUUUCUUAUACUGCCAUUGUUUCGGGAUAUAUAAAUAGAGAACAAGUCGAUAUAGCUCGACAGUGUUUUGAUCAGAUGCCAGAACGAGAUUAUGUCUUAUGGACUACCAUGAUUGAUGGGUACCUUCGAGUGAAUAGGUUCAGAGAGGCUUUGACACUUUUUCAGGAGAUACAAACUUCAAAUAUAAUGGGAGACGAGUUUACCAUUGUUAGCAUUCUUACAGCUCGUGCGAAUCUGGGGGCACUAGAACUGGGAGAAUGGAUAAAGACUUAUAUUGACAAAAACAAAGUCAAGAAUGAUAUAUUUGCGGGGAAUGCUUUGAUAGACAUGUACUGUAAAUGUACUGUAAAUGCGGAGAUGUUGAGAAAGCUCAAAAGGUAUUCAGGAAGAUGCUUUGAAAGGUCAAAUUCACAUGGACGACCAUGAUUGUUGGCCUUGCCAUCAGUGGAAAUGGUGAUAAAGCUCUUGAUAUGUUUUCCCAAAUGCUCAGGGCUUCGAUCAAACCAGAUGAGGUAGCUUAUGUUGGUGUUCUGUCUGCCCGUACUCACAAUGGUAACGAAACUUUUGUGAUAAAUAGUUGCAACUUAAGGUGAGAACUGGAGGAAGGGAAAUAGAUUGAAGUUGUUCAAUCAUCAGUAGUUGCUACUUGGUUUUAAGUUGUUCAAUCAUCGGUCGUCUCUAUUUGGUUUUCUCCAAUAUCUCAUCUUCAAUUUUGACUCAGAUUGUAUCUUACCACUAGUAAUUACAUAGACUUGCUGCCAAAGGUAAGAAUGGGAAUAAAUUAAAUAGAUUAUGUCGAAAACGAAAUAAAUUUACUAUUGUUCUGUUCAUUCUAUUUGUUUCCUACAAAAUAUUUCUCCUGCCUAAAAUUUUUUGAAUCAGUAAGUUUUUACCUUAUGGAUGAAUUGUGUUGAGAGUAAUUCCAUUUCUCAGUCUCUUUAUGUUUCAAUGAAGACGUAAAACUUGUGUUCUAGUGCACCAACGUUUAUGCUUCUUACAAUUUGACUUUAAUUUACUUUGUAAAAUUUUUGUCAAAAAGUACUAAAAAGUAGUGCACCAAACACCAACUUUAUUACAGAGAGGACUUUAGUUAAAUUUUAAGAAAACACUCAAAAGAAAGAGUUGUAAAUUAUUAUAAAAAUAUUUCACAUAAAUAAAAGCCAUCCCAUGCUGCAAAGAUCUUGCUAUAAUCACCAAAAACUAUCGGGAGCUUUUAGGGUUUCCAUAAAAAUGCCAUUUCGUUCCAUGUAUAUGAUUCUAUAGUCUCACUGGCAAGUAAACCACAGCCCAACAGCACUGACUGUCCAUGAUGAUUCACCCCAAUGAACGAAACCAGCGUUGCAUCAUAUCUUUCUGUCAAGCAUGUAAUAUCAAUUGAUUUGAGCUAUUAACAUCAUUUCCAAAUACUCCAUUGGCAUCUACAUUACCAUUUCCCUCGGCAUCAAUGAUAAGAGUUCGAAACAGUCUAAUCUUUUGAACUUCUUCAGCACCAUCUAAGAGCAAUGUUCUUUUGGUUCCAAUACCCAUGUGCUUAUGAUAUUUGUAAAAUAAUUAUUUGUAAAAUAAUUAGUUCAAUUUUGACAUAAUACGGAAUAAACACAACCUGCCAAUCUAAGUUACUAUCUUUUCCCGUCAUCAGGUACCUGUUUGAAAAAUAAUUAUAUACAAUUUUAUUUGCGUCGUCCCUCUAAAAAUUUGGGACUCAAAUGUUAUUUCUAAUUGCUAAAAGUACGAAAUUGCCCCCUUUCUCUUCAGCUAAAGGAGUGCAAAGUCAUCUGUAUAAUUGAAUCUGCAUCAUCAGUUUCUAUUGCUGGCUGGUGUUACUGCAUGCUUACAGUUGCUUGACAAAGUGAGCCAGUUUUUUGUUUAUUAAUUUUUUUUCUUGUCGAGACAGUCACAAAGUAUUACUUGUUCUAUUUGAGAAUGAUGUGAAUCAAUUUUUCAAUUAUGCAUUCUGUGGUAAUUAUUGUGAAUUUAGUUUCAUUUGUCUUGUCUCCUGCAAAUUUUGAAGAAAAUGCAGACAUACAAAUUUACAAUAUGUAUUUGCGUUAGUAUAAAAACAAUUGUUAGAUGAUUAAAGCGAUUUAUUUUUUUUUUUACAGCAUUUGAUUGUAUUAGUUAAAAUCAUUUUUUAAGGAUAAAAAUAAAUAGAAAAUUAUUCUCAUGUAGUGUGGAAAUCUUUUCUAAUUUCUUGUUGACUUGUACAUUUAUUUCAGAAUUUCCAUUCAUUAAUUCUACUGUUUUAAUCUUUGACUUAGCUACCGUAGUUGACUUUUUAUAUCAAAGGCUUAAACAGCAUGCAUUUUUGAAUUGACUGAGAAUAAUUUGGUGGACAAAUUACUAGUAAAGGACUUCAAAUGGUUGAAUUGACUGUGGGUUUUUCAUGCCCAAGUCACUCGUCACGUCGUUUCAUCGAAACAAAGUGCCCGGUGCAAAUGGUGUGAUGUAAAACACCUUUUUAAAUUGUCAUUUUUUUUCCUUUGCUUUUGCUUUAAUUUUCUAAAUGCUCAACGCCAUAAAUCCAUGUAUUCUUAAUUUUCGUUUGCUGUAUUGAUUCCCAACCCUCUAUGUCACAAGGUUUUGAAUGCCAGUAAUUAAGUUAAAUUAAACAUAUUUUAAGUCCUACUUUAAAUUAUUGAAAAAUGUAUUAUGGUUGAACUGAAUUUUAACUAAAAAAUAUAUACAAAAUAAAAGAUUAAUCAUAUCUUUUUAUGAGGAAGGUCAGUCAUCAUUCUGACCACAGACACUUAAAAUUAAUUGAGUGGAAUAUUGCAAAAUAUAUAUAAACCAUGCCAAAACUAGAUGUUUGAGUAAUGAAAACGAGAAUUCAUAUGACUCAGAAAUAUGGUCGCUUUCCUUUUUCUGAAAGGCAAAAAAAAAGGGGGAACCAAAAAGGACCAAAAUGAACAAAAAUGGAAGGCGAAGGUAAGCAGACAUGUUAUAUGUUUUACCUAAGAUGCCAAAUGCAACUCCCCAUUGAUGGUGAUCGAACAUUAUGGCCAUUUUCUUAGUAAACAAAAAAUGAAUUUUGAACACUCAACAACGAAACUUGAGCAGAAGAUCAAGCAAGGGCCUCGAUCUCAAAGAAGAUACUAUGAAACCCUACUUAAUGGUUAAAUAACUUUCAUUCAGCUUUGGACCCUAUUUCGUGAUACGGAAAGACAAACCUUUCUUGGCCGGCAGUGUCCCAGAUCUGGGCUUUGAUGAUCUAGAGGUUGAUGGUGACAGUUCUGGUUUGGAACUCGACGCCAAUGGUUUAUUUCGAUUCAAAGCAAAACUCAUUCUUGGUGAAUCUCGAAAGAAUCUGAGACUUGCCCACGGCCGAGUCACCGAUCACCACUACCUUGAAUACAUAGUCUAUUUUGUCAGGAAUCAUAUUCUCUCGUUGUUGAUGACGAUGAUCGGUGCCAUCACCACUCAUUUCUUCGUUCAUUCAUUCUAUGUCCAUUGAUCUUUUUGAAUUAUUGAAGACAAGUGGCUCACCGCUUUUAGUAUUGGUAAAAUUCAGAUAAUCUCUAUUCCGAAAUAAUAAUAUUAAAAAUAUCUCUUAAAUCAUUAUAAACUUCAAAUCUAUUUUAAUUUUAUUUAAAAGAUAAAAGAAAAAUAAGUUAUGUUGGUGAUUUUUUAUUAUCUUUUUAAUAAAAAUAGAAUAAAUUGAUGUUUAUAAUUAUUUAAAGUAUUUUAAAGAUUGCUAUUUUAUGAGAGAAUAAUAUUUCAUUUUUUUUUUCGUGUGAAAGACCGAAAAAGGACAAAGCAAGUUUCCCUAAUUUUUAUUUUAUGUGAAAUUGGUCAUCUCAUAUACUUUACCCUUCAACACUCUAAUUUUUUUGGUUAUAAUUUUAUUAUUUUUUCUCUUUUACACAUGCAUGUGAAUUACUUUUCUUUAAGCUCCUGAAUAUUUAAGACAAAUCAUGGAAGAGAUGAGAGUAUAACAAGAUGAUCAAAAUAUGUAACAAAAAAAUUUUAGAAGUGAAAAAUAUGUUAGAGUCGAAGUAAAACUCUGAGGUGAUGUUUGAUUUGAAGAAAAUGGAGGAGAGAAAAAGAGUGGAAUGGAGAGGAAAAGAGAGAAAAGGAGAGGAGAGGAGAGGAGAGUGAACUUUUUUUCUAAUGUUUGGUUUGUCACAUAAAUAUACAAAGAAAGGAAAUCUCCAAUUUUUUAUUUAGACAAUUUUAACCUUAAUAAGUAUUAAGCUUUCAAUAUUUAUCAUGUGUAUAAUUUAAAAAAAGUAAAUGGUAGAAAGCGGUUUCUGAUUCCGGCCACAUCGCCGGCAAUGGAAGGUACUUAUCAGAACAUCAAGAACCGGCCAUCAUUCCCUAGCCAUCACUGCUGUAGGAACACUGCUAAAAAGCUGCCGAUUGAACCGCGAAAAGUCGUGGAAAUCGUUGCCUCAAAUCGGUGAGUUUCGCCUUUUUCUGGUCAUGCCGUCGCCUUGGCUUUGUCCAUCAACGCUGCCACUUCCAUUUCAACCAUCCAUAGCCACUAUUAACCGCCAAAUCGCCGCCGAUCAGCGGGAUCUGUGGAAGUUAAAAAGUUUCUAAAAUUUUUUAAUUGGAUUUGAACAACAUACAACCAUUUUUUGAUCUCAAUAACGACAUAGUAAUGUUGAUCGUUGGUCGGCAAGUCGAAUGGUAGUGGCGGUGAGUAACACGCGCCAAUGACAUCGGCGGCGGCGGCGGCACUAUCCGGCUACUGUUAAAAUUAAUAUUUUAUAUUUGUAGAUUAAAUAAAUUUAUUUUAUUAAACUUUUUAAAUCAUUAUUUAAAUUUAAUUAAUUUAAAAUUAUCUAUGAUGUUGAAUUGAUAAAAUAAAUUUAUAAAUAAUAAUUAUGUGAUUACAUUAAAUAAGUUAAAAAGUUGAAGGGUUAUUUUUGGAAGAUUUAGUUUCCAACACAAAGGGAAUUUGAAUUCUUCACUUCUUAGUGUGGAAUUCAAAUUCUAUAUUGUAAUGGAUAUUAAAUUCCAAUAGAAAUUAAAUUCUUAUAAGUUAUGUCAAACCAAACAACGGAAAUAAAAAAAAAGAAUUUAAAUUACUUUCCUUUCCUCCACCCUCUCCUUCCAACCAAAUACAUCCUGAAAAUAGAGAUAUUGAUUAAUUUAGAAGAGAUGCAAGCAAAAGAUAUUCCACAAAAAAAAAAAAGCAAUAUGUCCCUUUGGAGGGCAAACUUGUCAGUUUUAAAAAAGUACAUGCUUUGGAUUGAUAGUUGUAGGAUAUUUGUUUUGUCACUAUGUGUUAGUUGGAGAAGUCAAGCCUUGUGAAGAAUGUUAUGAAAGAGCAAAGGAUAUUCCUGAUAGCUGAUAGAGCUCUAUUUGAUUAUGUAUCCAAUGAAUGGAUGUGUUGUUGGAAGAUAUUUGAGUGCAUUAGUUCAUAUGUGUCUAUCAAUGUGAUUUUAAUGAUUUUUCCACUUGUUUGUUGUAAAAGAUUAUUGUAAAUUGAAAUGAACUUGAUGUUGUAAUAUUUUCUCCUUAGUAGAAUUUCACCUAGUAUGUAUUUAGUUGUGUUGUCUAUAAUUUUGCAUUCGAAUAAGUUUCACCUAAAAUAUUAGCAUGAGUAGUGGCCCUUGAAACUUUGGUCAAAAUUAUUGUUAUUAUUUCCGACUAGAUGUAAAUUUUUUAUUAAAUCUCGCUAACACAAUUCUUAAUUAAAAGUAUAGGUUAGUGUUGGUGCAAGACUUGCCACACCAAAUUCUGCCUAACUGUCAAAAGUGCAAAAUAAAUGAAGAGAAAGCACAAAUACACGACUUGAAUAAGGAUACAACGAAACUUAAAUUCAAGAGAAAAUGAUAGCUAUAUCUCAAGAUUUGAAAAAACGGUCAUGUAGAUUUUUAAGAUUUCAAUAAGCGACUGAGAUUCAAAUAAUAUCCUUUAAUUCUAUUAACAAAAAACAAAGACUCAAAUAUUUUAUGAUAAAUAAAAAUAUAAUAUUAAAAUAUAUGUGAUAAUAUACACAUUUUAAAUACUUUCAAUCCAAAAAAAUAGUUAUGUUUUACAAUCUAUUAGACAUAUUUUAUUAAAUUAAUAUAAAUUUUCUAUAAAAUAAGAAUAUAAUAUUAAAAUAAAUUCACAAAAAUUUAAAGAAUUUUGAAUGUAAAAUAAUUUUAAUAUAUCAAUACGUGAGUUUUUUUAUUAAUAUAAAAUUUAUUUAACUUUAAGAUUUUUUAAAAUCUUUACAAUAAGUAUAACUAUAUUAUUUACAUUUAAAAAUAUUUAAAUAUUAUUAACCUACAAUUAUAUUUGCAUUUGUUAGAAAUUUUUUAAGUCAAAUAUUUUGCACUUCUAUAUUAUUAGAAUUAUUGCACAAAAAGAAAGAAACAUACACCUUUAGAAAUUGUUUUCUUUUAAAAUAGAGAUGAUGAUUAGUAUAAGGAUGAAAAAAAGGAUAAAGAAUAUUAAUGAUUAACGAAAUCUCUAUACAAAUUGAUUUUAGUAGGAAAAGAGUGAGAUGAAUGAUUUCUUUUACAGUUAGAAACAUAGAUGAUGAUUAUUAUAACGAAGAAAAAAAGAUAAAGAAUAUUAAUUAUUAAUGGAAUCUCUAUACAAAUUGAUUUUAGUAGGAAAAAAAUGAUUAAAUGAUUUAGAGUGCGUUUGGAAUUGAGAUUGGGCAGCCAUAGAUUUUAAGUUACAACACUGAAGUGUUUAGUAAAUACUAGUUGCUGCAGAUUGAAAGUUAUGUUGAUAUGAUUUUUCACAUGUAUCAUAGAAAAUAUAUUACAUCUUUAAUAUUUUUUAAAAAUUUAUAUUUGCUAUAUAUUAUUAAUUUUUUUUUAUAGUUAUAACUUUUUUUCCACAACAGUUGUAGCUUAAAAGUCACAGCACCUCAAUCUCAAACAAAUCCUUAGACAUUCAUAGUGUGUUUAUUUUUUGGAUUGGUGAAUCAAAAUUAUUGACAACGCUAACUUCAUCUUCACUGUUCGCAAUCCAACAGCAGCAAUUGUCGCCAAUAAUGAUAUCUCCAAUGAUGAUGACAAUUAUUAUUAUUAUUUUUAUUAUUAUUAUUAUUAUUAUUAUUAUUAUUAUUAAUUAAUUAAUUAAUUAAUUAAUUAAUUAAUUAAUAUAUUAAUGUUGAUAUUAUUAUUAUUAAGAUUAACAAUAAUUAUUAGUAAUACAAUUUUUUGAAUAAAAAUAAUCACAAUAAUUAAAAUACAAAUUAAUAAUUAUGACAAUAAUUAAUUAAUGUCUUUUUAGUAAUUUGUAAUAAUCUAACUCAUUUUGGUUCUGAUUAUUACAGCUUAAGUAAACAAAUUAUUAUGAUUCCUAUUCUCCUUUCCCAUUUUAACUCACUUUGAUUCCAGUCUAUUCCGAUUUCUAUUUAAUAAAUGCACCAUUAGUGCUAAAGUAAUAUUUCAUACAUAGAAAAAUAAAAACUACGCCUAAGGUUAAGGGAAAAGACUUCAAAAUUCUCUUUUGAUCAUAAUACAUUUUGUCCUAAUUAACUUAAAGAUUUUGAAUCUAAUAUUUUAUAAUAAAUAAAAAUAUAUUCCUAAAAUAAAUAUAAUAUCAAUAUUUAAAAUAUGUUUUAAUAUUUUACAAUCUAUCAUACACAUUUUAUUAUAUUAAAGUAGAUUUAUAAUAAAUAUAUAAAAAUUUAGAAUAUUUAGAAUAUUAUAUAAAAUAAUUUUAAUAUAAUGCGUGAUAUAUAUUUUAUUAAUUUAAAAUGUCAUUUUACCUAAAAAAUAUGAUAAAUUAAUAAUUACAUAUUUGAAGUUAUUUCAAAUAUUAAAAAAAUUUAAUAUUAUUAAUCUUUUAGAUAGAUUAAAUUAUUUUUUAUAAGAGAGAUUAAAUUAUUUUAAAAUGCCUUAAUUGUUUUUACUUUUAACGUUACGGGCCUUUCUUUUAUUUUAUUGCAAAUUAAUGCUAACUAGAAAAACAAAAACAAAAGUGACAAACACAACCAGCUGGAAUCUUUUAUAAAACUACAAAUUAAAAUGGAUUUUUUUUUUUUGUUGAUAAAUUACACAUGAAAGUGGAUUCUUUUGAAUAUAAGUGGGGUAGGCUCUUUUAUUUUUUUUUUAAUACCGUAUAACAGGACUGUAGACUCUUUUAUUAAGCACAAAUAUAGAGUUGUCGAGACAAUUAGGGUCUUUUAUUAAACUACAAAUUGUAUAGUCUUUUUUAAAUUGUUCAGAUAUUUAUAAAUUGGUGGCCCCUACAAUCCUCAAUAAUUGUACCGAUAUUCACAAGCUGGUGGCCCCUACAAUCCUUAAUAAUUGUUUUUUUUUUUUUCUGCAUUCCCUUUCAUGCUCUUAAUAAUUAAAGAGCAUACUUUUCAAAUGUGGAGCCGCGGCUAAUGUCGCUAAUUUAAUUUGGGAUUAAAUUAGGGGACUAUUAUAUUGCAGUGUGCACUAAUUUUUAUGUUUAUCUAAACUCCUUAAAUUUAAGAUAUAUUAUGGCAUAAAUAAGAAUAUAACAAUAGCAAAAGAGUUAGAAAGUGUAGAGAAGAUCUUGCAGAAAUAUAAAUAAUAUUUAUUUUAAAAUAAUAUCAAUAUUUAAAAUAAUUUUUAUUAUUUUAUGAUCCAUUAGAUAUAUUUUAUUAUAUUAAAGUAAAUUUUAUAAUAAAUAAAAACAUACUAUUAAAAUGAAUAUAUAGAAAAUUUAGAGUAUUUUAAGUAUUAUAUAAAAUAAUUUUAAUAAAAUAUGUGAGAUAUUCAUAUUUUAUUAAUUUAAAAUACCAUUUAACCUAAAGAUUUAUUUAUGAUAAAUUAAUAAUUAUAUUUUUGAAAUUACUUCAAAUAUUAAAAAAAUUAAUAUUACUAAUCUAUUAGAUAGAUUAAAUUAUAUAUAUUAUUUUCUAUUUAUUAAAAAAUUUCAAAUUAUUUUUAAUUACUAUUCAAAAAAUAUGAUGAUAAAAAAAUCUUAACAUCUUUAUUAAAAAAUUAAAAACUUACAUGAUCAAUUCUCUAAAUAUUUAGGGUAUAUGUGAACCACGGUGGACAGAGGUCAUUACUAAAAUUUCUCUUCCACAGGCAAUUACAGCAGCUCCAGUUUAUCAAACUCAACCAAUUUUCUUUCUUAACAAAAUUCCAAAGAUGUGUAGCUUUUUUCAGAUCACAUGCGAUGGUGCUUUUUUCAAUCGUUGCUUGGAUUGCUUUCUUGGAAAAGCAGCAUACAUACGUAACCUCCAAGAUAAUCUUGAUGCCUUGGACACUGAACUGGGAAGACUAAUCGCAGCAAAGAACGAUGUGAUGAUUAGGGUUGUCAAUGCUGAACGGCAAUAAAUGAGAAGGCUGGACGGAGUGCAAGUGUGGGUUUCGAGUGUGGAUGCUGUUAAAACUGGAGCCGAUGAACUUAUCACAGACGGCUCUGAAGAAAUUGGCAAAUUAUGUGUUGGAGGCUACUGUUCCAAGAACUGCAGGUCAAGCUACAAAUUCGGAAAACAAGUGGCUAGAAAGCUACGAGAUGUGGAGACUUUAAUCGCCGAAGGAGUUUUUGAGGCGGUGGCUACUGAGGUGGUGCCUGAGAGAGCUCCAGAGCCUGUAGCAGAUGAAAGACCUACCGAGCGAAAAGUAGUAGGCUUGCAAUCACAACUUGAACAAGUCUGGACGUGUCUUGUGGAAGAAUCAGCGGGAAUCAUUGGCCUAUACGGUAUGGGCGGUGUUGGUAAAACCACACUAUUGACCCAUAUCAACAAUAAAUUUCUCGAGAGUCCAACCAACUUUGAUUGUGUGAUUUGGGUAGUAGUUUCAAAAGACCUGCGACUUGAAAAACUUCAAGAAGAUAUUGGGAAAAAGAUAGGUUUGGUUGGUGAUUCAUGGAAGAGUAGAAGUGCAGAGGAGAAAGCUCUCGACAUCUUCCGGAGUCUAAGAGGGAAGAGAAUUGUAUUGUUGUUAGAUGAUAUAUGGGAGCGGGUUGAUUUAACAAAAGUGGGCGUUCCACUUCCUGGACCACAAAAUACUACCUCAAAAGUCGUAUUCACAACNNNNNNNNNNNNNNNNNNNNNNNNNNNNNNNNNNNNNNNNNNNNNNNNNNNNNNNNNNNNNNNNNNNNNNNNNNNNNNNNNNNNNNNNNNNNNNNNNNNNNNNNNNNNNNNNNNNNNNNNNNNNNNNNNNNNNNNNNNNNNNNNNNNNNNNNNNNNNNNNNNNNNNNNNNNNNNNNNNNNNNNNNNNNNNNNNNNNNNNNNNNNNNNNNNNNNNNNNNNNNNNNNNNNNNNNNNNNNNNNNNNNNNNNNNNNNNNNNNNNNNNNNNNNNNNNNNNNNNNNNNNNNNNNNNNNNNNNNNNNNNNNNNNNNNNNNNNNNNNNNNNNNNNNNNNNNNNNNNNNNNNNNNNNNNNNNNNNNNNNNNNNNNNNNNNNNNNNNNNNNNNNNNNNNNNNNNNNNNNNNNNNNNNNNNNNNNNNNNNNNNNNNNNNNNNNNNNNNNNNNNNNNNNNNNNNNNNNNNNNNNNNCAGGAAGUCCUAGUGCGUGCUAUCAGAAAAGAUGCUGGGAACUGUUUCGCGAAAAUGUUGGGGAAGAAACUCUUGAGAGUGAUCAUGAGAUCGUUGAGCUAGCCCAAACUGUGGCCAAAGAGUGUGGUGGUUUGCCACUCGCACUUAUUACUAUUGGUCGAGCUAUGGCCUACAGAAAGAAAGCGGAGCAGUGGAGACGUGCAAUUGAAGAGUUAAGAAGAUCAGCUUCAGAGUUUGCAGGUUUGGGAAAAGAGGUGUAUCCUCUUUUAAAGUUUAGCUAUGAUAGUUUGCAGAAUGAUACAAUUAGAUCUUGUUUCUUGUAUUGUUGUUUAUAUUCUGAAGAUUAUGGCAUUCUUAAAUGGGACUUGAUUGAUUGUUGGAUUGGUGAGGGAUUUUUGGGGGAAUCUGACAGGUUUGGUGCAGAAAACCAAGGAUAUGACAUUUUGGACACUCUUGUUCGUGCAUGUUUAUUAGAAGAGGUGGAAGAAGAUGAAGUAAAAAUGCAUGACGUUAUUCGUGAUAUGGCUAUAUGGAUAACCAGUGAAAUUGAGAAGGAGAAGAGAAACUUUUUGGUUUGUGCAGGUGCUGGAUUAGAAGAGGCACCGGAUGUUAAAGAAUGGGAAAAUGUGAGAAGAUUGUCAUUGAUGCAAAACCAAAUUGAAACUCUGUUUGGGGUUCCCACAUGCCCUCAUCUCAUCACUUUAUUUAUUGACUUUAAUAGGGAGUUGAAGACUAUCGCGGAUGGCUUCUUCCGAUGUGUGCCUUCUCUCAAAGUUUUGAAGAUGUCAAACUGUGGAAAGCCUUAGAAAGGUUUGGAAUUACCUUUGGGGAUGUCAAAGUUGGGUUCACUACAACUUCUUGAUAUUUCACACACCUGCAUACAAGAAUUACCACAAGAAUUAAAGUUGUUGGUAAAUCUGAAAUGUUUGAAUUUGAGGCGGACAAUUUGGUUAAAUAAAAUUUCAUGGCAACUAAUAUCAAAAUUUUCAAGGUUACGUGUGUUGAGAAUGUUCGCUACUGGCUGGUUCAGUUUUCAUGAAGCACCAGAAGACAGCGUUUUAUUUGGUGGGGGUGAAGUUUUGAUACAGGAAUUGCUCGGUUUGAAAUAUUUAGAGGUAUUGGAGUUGACCUUGGGAAGUUAUCAUGCUCUCCAAAUUCUUUUGAGCUCAAAUAAGUUAAAAAGUUGUAUUCGAUCUCUUUUCCUACAGUUGUUCAGAGAUACAACGUCGAUUAUUGAUGCUACGGCUUUCGCAGAUCUAAACCACCUCAAUCAAUUAUGUAUUAGUAACGGUUCUGAGUUGGAAGAAUUGAAGAUUGAUUAUACGGAGAUAGUACGAAAAAGGCGGGAACCUUUUGUUUUCCGCAGCCUUCAACGUGUUACCAUAGAGGAGUGCCAUAAAUUGAAAGAUUUGACAUUCCUCGUUUUUGCUCCAAACCUCAAGUCUCUUUCGCUAUACGAUUGCGGUGCUAUGGAAGAAAUAAUCAGCGUCGGAAAAUUUGCUGAGACUCCUGAGAUGAUGGGACAUAUAAGCCCUUUUGAAAAUCUCCAAAUGCUUUAUUUAAUGGCAUUGCCGGAGUUGAAGAGCGUCUACUGGAAGCCAUUGCCUUUCACUCAUCUGAAAGAAAUGGAGGUACUUGGGUGUGAUCAGCUUAAAAAGCUUCCACUCGAUUCCAACAGUGCAAAAGAGCGUAAAUUUGUAAUUCUUGGAGACACACAGUGGUGGAACCGUCUUCAAUGGGAGGAUGAAGCCACUCAAAUUGCUUUUCGUUCCUAUUUCCAAACCUGAUUCCUGAGCGGUGGUCGCAAAAUUUGAUUUCUGGUGAGUGCGUUUGUCUUUUAAAAGAAGAAUUUAAAAGAAAUUUAUUCUUGUCGUUUUCUUCUCUGUUUUUAUUUCAGUUUGUUUCUCUCUCUCUCUUUUUGUCUUCUGCAAAUCACAAUUAAAUGUUGAAUUAAUGGAAUUAAUGCUUCAUAAAUUUGCCGGCACUGCCAGUACUUUUUUUUUUUUUUAAUACGAAUUGAUGCUUUAUUUAUUUCUUCUUAGCGAUUUAAUUUCCUGUCAAAAGACGAGCGAGAAGAACAUAUGACUUAAACCAAUUGAUACUUUAUUUAUGUGCAUUGUAUGUAAUAAAAUUUUCUCUGUUUUUUUCAAAUUGAGGCUUUAUUUAUAUUUUCUUCGUGAAGAGUGAUUUAAUUUCCUGCCAAAAGACAAACGAGAAGAACAUUAGAGUCAAACUAAUGCUCACAUAAAUUUCCCGUAAGAAUAUAUAUAUAAUUAGACUGGAAUGCACACCUCUAGAUUGAACAGAAUUAAAGCUGAGAAAAUAUUGAGUAUAGUAGCCCUCUUUACAGAAAAUGACGCGAAAGUUAAUUUAGAAAGAUAUAUUCUUGAUUAAUCCAUUUUCUGAAGUUUUUUAUUUUGUAUGGUCAAUUAUACCUUCAUACUAAAAAAAAAAAAAAAAAAGAGAAAAUAUGUAAUCCAUGAAUGGUUAAUUUUGUUUGUUUGUUUUUUUUUCUUAAAUAUCAUUCUUUUUCGGCCACCCAAGGACAUUUUCACAAAUACCUUUUGUGUGCAGAAGUCUUCCAAACCAUCAAUGGAAAAAUAAAAAAUAAAAAAAACACGGUCCAGUAUACCUCAAAAUAUCAUUGAUGACUUUUCUGGUCUAAUGCUAUGUAAAUAGUAUGUUAAGUAAAACAUAAUCAGUUCAGUACCUCACAAAUAAUUCGCAAUAUCUACAAAAUACUAUAAUGGCUACAAAACAAAUCCUGCUUGCAAAUUGUCAAGGAUACCUAUCCGUUCGCUUGACAAGUCAUUUGAAUAAAUAUUGUUCACAUUCCUUACUCUGUCAAUUAUCCAAAGCACCAUCAACUUUAGUUUGAAUAGUAUACAUGCCAUCACCGUUACCAAGAAUCAAGCAUGGAAGGGUCAUUCUAUAGAGUGCAGAACAUGACUCUAUGCGGUAGUCAAUUUGACACACGACGAACACCAUAUGCUGCAUAACAUACAAAUUAAUUUCCCAUAUGUGAUGCAAUUUUCUCCUCAACAUAUGCGCAAUUCUUUCCAUUCCGGCAUUUACACUCAAAUUUUCCUUCCUUUCUCUUUGUGGUUGAAUCUUACACCACAACUCAUGUGAUGCAAUCUCCUCUCGCUGCCUAAAUUGCACUCUCAGCAAAGCAGCAUAUGUAAGCAAGCUUGAAGAUAAUCUUGCUGCUCUGCAGAAGAACGGCAAAAGUUAAUCGAAGCAAGGAAUGAUGUAUCAGAAAAUAUUUGGUGGAGAAUUCAGCACAAACAUAUUUCGGAUGAUCAGAAUCAAUAAAACCUGGUGGUUGUGCCAUAUAAACAUCUUUGGAAAGCUGACCUUGAAGAAAGGCGUUAUUGAUAUCCAAUUGAUGAAGAGGCCAGCCAUGACUAACAUCAAUACUAAGAACAAGCCGUACUGUGGUGGACUUAACAACUGGACUGAAAGUGUCAUAAUAGUCCACACCAGGCCAUUGAUUGAACCCUUUGGCAACAAGAUGAGCUUUAAACCUGUCAACAGAACCGUUGGAAUGUCUUUUAAUACAAAAAUCCAUUUGCAGCCAACAAUAUUGGAAGGGAUGGGAGGUGGAACAAGCUUCCAUGUCCCGUUACGAACAAGAGCAUCAUACUCUUCUGACAUAGCUGGACGCCAGUGAAGAUUUUUGAUAGCUUGCGUCACAGUUGUAGGUUCACAAUCAGAAGAAGGGCUAAAAUGAGCACGGAGGUUAAGUUUUUGUAACGGCUUGUGAAUCUUAUUUUUAGCUCGGGUAGUCAUAUCAUGAUGACUUGUGGGGCAAUGAUCUAGUGGAGUUUAGGAAGAUGAUUGAACAGGAAGUGAAGAAGUGCUUUGUGUAGAGGUAGAAGUAGGUUGGGAGGAUUGCUGCGGAGAUGUUACCGGUAGAGAAGAAGGAGCAGUACACGGUGGCAACUCCAGAGGGCCCACAAUAGAUGGAGUAGGUGCCGACAAUGGAGUACUAGGAAAUGAAACAGGAAGAAUUGGUGGAACACUUGCAUAAUUAGGAGUGGUAGAUGAGCUUGUAAUGAUUUGCAUGGAAAAACAAACUCUACAAAUUUAACGUGACGUGAAAUAAAAAUUUGAAAGGUGGAUGGGUCAAAACAUAAAUAAGCACUUUGAGAUAAAGGAAUAUCCUAGAAAAACACAAGGCUUAGAGGGUGGUUCGAGUUUAUGUGAUGAAACACAAACAUUCAAAAAAUUUUAAGUUUAUAUUAAUUAGGAGUGGUACCAAAAAUUAAUUAGCUAUGGGGUUGUUGGAUGUGUUUUGGAUAUUUACAGUUAAGUUUGAGUAUCUCAACUUAAAAUUUGUAGUUUUCACUUGAAAAAAUUCAGUUAAAUUUUGCAAUGCAGACUGAUUGAUUUAUCAGUUUAACGUGUGCCAGGAAUGAAGAACUGGAAUAUCACCGUCAAGCAAGCACCCUGUGGAGCAAUACCAAAGAAUGCACAAUCUGGCUUUGCUAGGUAACACUGGAGGCUUUUUGAAAAGUGCUUCACGCUCACUUGCACAGAUUGAGCAUCCCCUCUGGAUAUUGCCCUCUCUGAUCGAGUCUGAGCACUCAAAUUUUGGUCCUCAGAGGGAGCUACAGUUUUCUCUCCACUAACCAACAAUAUUCUAAACUCAGCACCUAGUGUGAUCAGAGUUGUUGAUAUUUGCAAAUGGAGAUCCCCAUAUUUGCAAAUGGAGACAUUUAACAAAUCACCAACAUGCUUCAUCCGGUCCACGAAAUUCUGCAACUGAUGCAAAUCUGGAACCUGAACCAGAGUCGGAGGUAUAUCUUGAGCCAUAUCUAAAGCAGUUUGAAGUUCAAGACCUUGAGCCCUUGACAAUGGUUUUGAAAUUGGAACAUCUUGGAUUACUGCAGACUUGUACCCCUUGGUUUCAAAGGUAAGGAAAGGCAUUGCUUGAGUACAAUUUGGAGGCAGCUUCUUCACCAAUUUUAUUUGGAGGCGAUUGGCAGCGGAUCCAGCUGCACCAAUUUCAGAGCAACUACUGACACUACUUCGAACAGCACACUGAAGAAGUGAUAUGUCUACGGCGAAGGCAAUGCAGUCCUCAUUUUGGCUUGAGACACAGUAAUCAUCGAAGAGAGUUUCCUUGUGAAACUGGGCAACACAUUGAAUCCCUUCGGCACUGAGAAGGUUGUGGAGGAAGUAAGCUUUCUCUCUAGUAAGGAAGAGGUGGCAUACAUUCCCCAUUUUGUCUAGGGCAGGUAGGAAUCUUUUUUCUAAGAGAUUUACUUCAUUCUCUGUGAGAAAUGCUUUGAACUUCAUCCCUCUGUCUCUAUCCUCACUUAUCAGUAAAAUAGUUGAAAGCGCUACAAGGAGAGAAAAGAAGAGUAUUAAGAUAUAUAUAUUAUAUAGACAAGAAAAACAUUAGAUGUCGAUCUUACAAGCUAAUACUUCAAACAAUAUCCUAGAAAGCUAAAAACUGCAAGAUGGCUUGAAAUUUGAAAAGAGCACGUGCUUUUCCUCCUUAACUUGAGAAAAUGUUUAAUAUAGUGCACCUUACAGAAGCAUUUAAGCAAUUAGAACUUUGCACAAAAACAUCAAGAAGACUAAACAAGUCAGAUGCAGUGUAUUUGUCCAAGCACAAAUUGCAUUUUGUCCUCAACUUUAAUAUUUAUUGAUGAGAAUCAAUACAGGUCCCUCAUUUGUUAUAGAAAGCUUUCUUGUAGUCUCACCAGUUAAUAUGGAUAUUAGAUAAGGAAACUUUAUUAGGUUGCGAGGGUAAAAAAGGAAAGAGAUAUCAUUAUUUUAUUAUCGAUAAUUAUUAAAUUUUUUUCCAAAAAAAAGAACAAGCAAGGAUAUUUUAUUGUCAAUUGCAACCUUUAAUUUUUUUAAAUGCUAUUAGAAACACAAGAUAACAAAAAUGUAGUGAGAUGGGAUCUCCUGCAUGCCACUCUGGUUUAGAACACAAAGAAUGUGUCUGCAUAAAUAUCCUCUGAAAUUGAACAACCCACAAACACAAAGCACCUCCAAGUCGGAGGCAUUGUACAAAACAUCAAAAGCCCUUGAAUCCUUCUCGUUGCCACCAACCUCGAAUUCUUCCUUCACUAUGUAUGUUAUAGGUCCAUCAGAACUAAUAUGUUUUGUGCUAUAGUAAGAGUACAUAGCCUCCACCUCCAUCUGAAACUUCCUUAACAUUUCAUUUGUGUACAGUUUUGAGAGUUGAAAUUCAUAGUAACAUCUUGGUUUCCGGAUACAACUUGAAUUUCUUGAAUCCAUAUCUGCCAAGGCUACCAGUUGAUAAUUCGCCUGCAGUGCUUGAUCAUACUUGUCUAAGAAUUCUUUCAAAGGAGUAUUCUUAUCAAGAUAUCCUUCAAAGUAUGAAGUAGAAACCUCAUUCUGCAGGAACGAAAACACUCCUGAUAAAAAAGCUUCCUUCAAAUAAAUAGGAGCCCACCUUUUAUGAUCUUCAUAUAAAGUUUGAAUCCAUCCGUGAUCCUUUAUUCCAUGACAUUGAAUCAUGUCUUCCCAAGCUGCUUCAAAUUUCUCAGGCCUGAGAGAGUGAUAAAUUGCUCUAUGUAAUGCAGCUUUAAUAGCUUCAUAUUCAAACAAUCCUUGGAGUUUCUCUGGAAUUUUUUUGCAUGAUGCAUGACAAUGAAAAGAAAUGAUAAGCUCUUGGGAAAACAUCACCAACAGCAAUUUGCAAGAUUCUACAUUGGUCAGUGAUGAUUGUUUGUGGAGAGCGCCCUAACAUACAUGUAAGCCACGCCGUAAACAACCAUGUAUAUGAUUCUAUGGUCUCACUGGCAAGUAAACCACAACCCAACAACACUGAUUGUCCAUGAUGAUUCACCCCAAUGAAUGAAACCAGUGGUACAUCAUAUCUUUCAGUCAGGCACGUAGUAUCAAUUAAGACCACAUCACCAAAGUACCUAUAUGCAACUCUUGACCUGGUAUCAGUCCAGAAUAGGUUUUUCAAGCAUCCCUUUUCAUUUAGAUCCACUACAUUAAAAAAGUUUGGAUCUGUCAACUGCAAAUGACAAAAGAAACUCUGGACAGCUUGUGCAUCUCCUGGUUUAAGCUUCAAUUGAUUUGAGCUAUUAACAUUAUUUCCAAAUACUCCAUUAACAUCUACCAUUUCCCUUGGUAUCAAUGAUAAGAGUUCGAAACAGUUUAAUUUUUUGAACUUCUUCAGCACUAUCUAAAUGCAAUGUUCUUUUGGUUCCAAUACCUAUGUGCUUAUGUGACUUGUAAAACUUUCCGCUUCUUGGGCUUAACAAGUGGUUAUGCUCAAGCUCGACUUCAAUGAUUCUCCACCUUUUGGUUUCCAUCAACCUAAACUUUAUCAUUGCUGGACAGCCAGUUCUUGUUUCUGGUCUUGGGCGGUUUGCCUCGCUUUUCUUCUUGAAGCCUGCACUACUACAGCUCAGCUUUCCUCUAUACUUUUCUCUACUCUUUCGGUACCAUGGAUUGCUAACUCUAACACCAAAACCCUGUUCCUUGGCAUAGCAAUUGUAAAAGUAAUAUACAUCAUCAUACAUCUCAAACUCCAUUCCAACAGUAGGAGGCAAGGGAUUUUGGAUUAUCCCAGUUUGUCCAACAUAUUCAGUCAUCGCACAAUCUCCUACAACCUCAAAAUCAUCAGUGUCAUCAUCACCUACUGGUUCGGUGUUGAGAGAAACUUCAUCCAUCUACAAUGGAUGUUCAAUGAAGUGAGCUUUAAGGAGAAAAAGCAAAAUCUGUUCAAGGAAUGAUAAUAUAAUCAUACAGUUACUUUCACAAAGCUUCAUAUUUCAUCACUGCUUUACCAACAUGCAACUGCCAGAGAACAAACAGACAUGUCAUAGACGCUUGAAUUAAGUAUUGGUACAAAUGAGCACACAUCAUGUGGGACAAAAUUUCAGUCACUAAACCCAAUACCACUUUUUACAUCAUACCAAGGAACAGAUUAAACCCGACACCUUCUUUUAAACCAUACCAAGGAACAGAUUAAAUCAUCAAUGAAAAAUUAAUCACAUAAUAACUUAACCAGACAAAUGAAGAGCCUGAAACAGCACAAAACUUGAAUCUGAUUAUGAUAAUUGUUGAGUCCUUGUAUCUACAGCUUUCCUUCAAUGAUAAGACAAUGAACAUAAACGAGACACAAAAAAAUUAUUUUAAACUGACAGCCCAUGAUAUAAAUCAAACAAAAUCAACUCCUUUUUUUACACAUUACAUCUCAUAUUCAUUUACAUUGAAACACAAAAAGGAAGCAGGAGUGGGAAAAAAACAACAGCAGAGGAACUUAUUUCCAUAAGGUUUACGAAAUAAGGAAUCUAUUAAAACCCAAAACUUGAGGUCACCACUAAGAAUUUGGUUCUCAUUAUUUUUUUCUUCAUUUUUCACCAAUUGAUGAACUUAAAAUACAAUCAUAAAUGAUAAAACCCCAUCUCCAUCUUUUUGAACUAGAGCUAAAGCAAAGCAUUUUAAGAUGUUUCAUCAUUUUUUUUUUUAAAAAAAACUCAAUAGUACAAUGUUUUUCAAUGCUAAAUGCACAAUUCAAUCUUCUCCUAAUUUACUCUAAUAAUCUCUUAAUUAAGGAAGAUUAAGCUUCAGUUGUAAGCUAAAACAAAUUUCUUAAAUCAAGCCCCAAUGCUUUAUGCUAUUCAACAAGGGCUCAUAAAUGAUAAAACUACUUCUAUAAAGAUACCCAUUUUCUAAAUUAAUUUCACAAACUGAAAUCAAACUCCUGAAACGUAACGAGCAUUAAUAUAAUCAAGCCCGAACAAGAAUUGAAAAAUGAUACAUAAACUCGUUUACACAUUUCGACAGACACUUUGCAAUCAAUGAGCAAAAAAUUAAUGGAGAAGAUAAAAUUCAAACGAAACAUGCCUUACAUUGAUAAAUUAGAAGGGCAAAAGAAAUUUUAGUACGAUAUGCGAUCAGGGUCUUGCCACGGUGAUGUUAUUUGUGAAGUUCGAGCGACUCAGCAGCCUUCGAGGUUGAAAAUUUGAUUGACCAAAAGCUUCCCGUUCGUUGAUUCUCUAAUAGUAGAAACGAGACUGGCAGUAUACACAAGAAGUUCGCCGAUUUUAAAUUCCGUUGUUUGAGAUGGAAAAUUUUUUGAAAAAAUUAAUGUGUUCGAUGAAAAUCAAAAUCUCAAAAACCUCUUGUUUUUCAUUUUUUUGGAAAAAACCAUUGAGAUCCUUACUAUUUUUUCUUAUAUCAUCUUCCUUAAUAAUUUGCAAAGUCUAUCGCAUAGCACCCAUGUAUGAUGUAUGCUGCGUUGUAAUUUACAAAAUUGCACAUGAAUAAAUCCAGCUAAAAUUUGUUAAAAGAAAAUAAUAAUAACAUGUUAAAACUUUAAAAUUUGAUUAUUCGAAGAAAUUUUAAUUUAGUUAAGUAGGUGACAUGAUAAUAAAUAGAUACGUAUAAUGUCCGAGAUUUUUUAUAAGAUUAAUAAAUAUGAUAAAUUUGGAUUAGUUCAAUUUUGACAUAAUUCAUAAUAAACACAGCUUGCUAAUCUAAAUUGCCACCGUUACUCAUCAUCAGGUACCUGUUUGAAAAAUAAUUACAAACAAUUUUAUUUGUGUUGUUUCUCUAAAAGUUUGAGACACAAAUGUUAUUUCAAAUUGAUAAAAGUACGAAAAUUCCCCCUUGCUCUUCAACUAAAAAUGAAACAUGCAAAUAUACACACUAAUUUAGAUGUGUGAAUAACAAAUAUGGAACGACACAUGCAAAGUCAUCUGUAUAAUUGAAACGCCAUGCACUAGUAGUAGGUAAGAGAAACCAAGGUUGAAGUUGCUCCAAUGGUUACUGUUAAUUUAUUUUUAUUUAUGAUUUUUUUUGUAAAAUGUAAGAAAUAUGUAGAAAUGUUGCCAGCAAUGAUUUUGGAACUUUGCAUAAAAUUUUUAUCAUUAUUGUUUUUGGUAUUAAGAAAUCCGAGGCGGUGAUUAGACGUAUGUUGCAACAAUUAAGAAAUUUCUUAUUGGAGAUAAUUUGGUAGGUUUGCAGCAAUUAGAGAAUAAUUUUCCUGCCAGUUAAUCAAUCAAUAAUAAAUUUCAAAUUGCAGAAAAUAAAAUAAUACAGCCUCACUUAGAAUCAUCUUUUCUAUCUCUUUCAAUUGUGGCAAUCAUUUGCAACAAAUAAAUCAAUUUGAUGCACAUCAUUUCCCCAAUUCAAAGUUCAAGUCACUGCUCAAUUACAGAGUAGUUAGUGGACAUGCAUGCAUGUUUAAUUAAGUACUGCAUUGUAGUAUCGAAAAUCAUAACAUCUCACCAAUAUCAGAUUAUUAACCAUGGAAAUCAUAUCACAAUAUCAUAUAGAAUUCACAAAUCUGAAAAUCAUCACCAAACAAGUACCCAGAGAAAUAAUCUCGUCAUAUCCAGACCUCAACGGACGGGCAAUGACGUACUAUUUGGGUAACGUCACACCCUGGAGCUACACGGAUAAAUAGGAAAAUACCAUCUCAUAUCUCAUCAUAUUUGUGCAUGCAUAAUCUAGUCCCCAAGGGACAAAAGCGCCCAAGCACACGGCCCAAAGCCUCUAUGUGUACUCAGACGGGCCCCAAAGGCCUGUAUCUCAUAUGUAUCAUAUGUAUCAUUUGUAUCUCAAUAUCUGUUUGUAUCUCAUUUCCGUAUAUCUAUAAUCAUCAUACCGCAUGCAUAUGCCCCCAAAAGACAAAAGCGCCCAAACACAUGGCCCAAAGCCUUUAUAUGUGUUUAGACGGGUCCCAAAAGCCUCUUAUCUCAUCUUAUCUGUAUCACUGUAUCUGGAGAGAAGGGUACUGUCUAAUGAUUUAAAAAACAAUCAUUAUACUCAUAUUUACAUACCUCUUAAUCAUAUUUGAAAUCAUAUCACAUUUGAAUCCACUUUUCUAAUCUUUAAAAUAUUAUCAUGCUUUAUUCAAAGUCGAUACGCAAAAUCAAUAACCAAACAUUUUAAAUCAAAUUAUUAACCAUGGAAAUCAUAUCACAAUAUCAUAUAGAAUUCACAAAUCUGAAAAUCAUCACCAAAUAAGUACCCAAAGAAAUAAUCUCGUCAUAUCCGGACCUCAACGGACGGGCAAUGACGUACUAUCUGGGUAACGUCACACCUUGGAGCUACACGGAUAAAUAGAGAAAUACCAUCUCAUAUCUCAUCAUAUCUGUGCAUGCAUAAUCUAGUCCCCAAGGGACAAAAGCGCCCAAGCACACAGCCCAAAGCCUCUAUGUGUACUCAGACGGGCUCCAAAGGCCUGUAUCUCAUAUGUAUCAUAUGUAUCAUUUGUAUCUCAAUAUCUGUCUGUAUCUCAUAUCCGUAUAUCUAUAAUCAUCAUACCGCAUGCAUAUGCCCCCAAAAGACAAAAGCGCCCAAACACAUGGCCCAAAGCCUUUAUAUGUGUUCAGACGGACCCCAAAAGCCUCUCAUCUCAUCUUAUCUGUAUCACUGUAUCUGGAGGGAAGGGUACUGUCUAAUGAUUUAAAAAAUAAUCAUUAUACUCAUAUUUACAUACCUCUUAUCAUAUUUGAAAUCAUAUCACAUUUGAAUCCACUUUUCUAAUCUUUAAAAUAUUAUCAUGCUUUAUUCAAAGUCGAUACGCAAAAUCAAUAACCAAACAUUUUAAUAAAAUACCAAUGCAUAAAUAAAAUUCAUUUCGAGAAAUCAUUAAAUCAGAACAUUUAAAAUACUUAUUUCGCAAACAUGCUUUACUAUCAUCGCUAACUAUGAAAAUAAGUUUUGUAUAUUCCACUUUCAGUGAUGGUGUUCACGGUCGGUUAUCGUCCAUAUCUGCAGACCGAUUCUCGCUCGCGAAUCCUCCUAAAUCAAGGAAACGACAUAAUUAUUUUUUGUAAAUCGGAAUUAUGACUAAAUUUUAUGCAAUAAACUCAAAACGAACAUCUAUUCAUAAUUGACAACUCCUAUAUCCAUAAAAUUACUAAAAUAUCCUUGAGUCCGUAGAUCAUUAACAUGCUCCGAAAUCGUAAAUCACUGAAUUACCCUCGGAAUCGUAAUUACACCCGAUCCUCAAUUAUAGGAAUUACUAACAGAUCCACAGGCUUAGAAAUUACAAAAUUGCCCUCGUAGUGUGAAAUUACCAAAAGCCGGAAGUUGGUCAACAAUGGCUAGGAAGCUCAAAUCGUAAAGUUCCAAUCACGCUGAGUUCAAUGGUACCGGCGGUGAGCUCCAACGCGCGACAACGAUGCCAGAAUCUAGCUCGGCAGCCGUGAAUUCCACCAAUCGACCGGCGGCACAACAGUGACUCUCGGUGCCUAUGGAUGGUCGAAAAUGGAAGAGGGAGCCGUGGGGAACAAAAUCCAACCGGUGGUGUCACCAAAACCGGUGAAAAUCCCGGCGGAGCAAAGUGAAACAGUCGCGGGUUUCAUGCUUCGAUCGCCGGUGUUCCGAUUGGUUUUUGGCGAGGAGGAUGGCAAGGGAACGACAGCCGGCUUCUAAGCUUCAGAUUGGUACCAAGCUCGGCCGAAACGAUGGCCGGAAAUGGGAGAUAUGACCGGGUCAAGGUCGCGGGUUCCGGGUCGGGUUUUUUGGUCUGUAGUUGGGUCGGUUUGGUAGCUUCUCUCUCACUCUCUGUUACACGUGCAUAUGUUUCCUCUGUUUCCAGCUUAUUCUUUUGCUUUUACUAACUUCUUAACCGCCUCAUACUUAUUCAUUUUUAAUUCACAUAUGUUACAAUAAUUCCCGAGUAUUAAAUAACCAGUGGUCAUAAUUUUUGUACAAGAUUCUUUUUUUUUUUUGGAGAUCGUUAAAAGUGGUUGACGAUCCAUUUCGUAAUAUCAUAGAGGGAUCAUCAAUUCCUUUUCUUUUCUGUGGCUAGGCAACACUUUUUGGCCAAAGUAAGGAAAUCUAUUUUAGGUAAUGUAAAAACCAGUUGUAGGAUGUAAUAGUUUAUUAUGCACUGACAAUAACUUUUUGUAUAAUUGUCAGUUUAAUGAAUGCAAGAGGAACUCUGUUGGCAAAUUCAUCCAAGAUAGAUGCUAAAAUUAUUUAUGCAUGCCAGUUGCCUUAACUAAGUUUUCUCAGCACUGGUUUUGAACAGGAAAAUGAAUAUGCAAUUUGUAUAUUGUGCCAUAGUGGAGAAUUUGGAUAUUCUUAUUUAAGUAACAAGGAGAUUAUUUGCCUCAUCUUUAAACAAUGAAUCUUUGAGAGAUGAGGAGUGGGUGAUUGGAUGUGUCUUCAUGUAAUUGUUCAUUUAUUUGUAUUUUGAACUGUUAUGAAAAUCUUUAUAUGCCAAAUUAGUAAUACAAGUAUUCAGAUGAUUUUUCCUAUUGAUCAUGCAUUUGUAUCUGCCCACAACCAUUGUAUAUCACUUUAUUCUGAUGCGCAAGCAUCUGUAAUUUAGAAGAAAAGAAAUAAUAAUCAUAUUUUAUUGCUUGGUUCAUGAUUAUUAACGAUUAUGGCUUUAAAAAUCUACAAAUUUCUUGUGUUCAUGUAUGAAUGUGCCAAGUUUGCUGUAUCUUAGAUUACCUUCUUCCAAGGUAACAAGUUCAUAUAUAUAUAUUUUUUAAAUCAUUUUCCAUUACAGUUGAAUUUCAAGUGUUAGUUUUGUUAUUAGUACCUGGUUUCCUGUUAUAAGGAUCUAAUAAACAGUGUACGGAUAUGUGCUCUACUUUUGGAGGGCUUCCACGUGAAAGAAAAUUACAACAAUUGAAUUCUUCCGGAGGAUAUGGUAAUUAAUUUAUUUUCUCAACUUCUUGUAAGACUAAUAUAUUUCCUUCAGUAGGCACAGCAUGGUGGGAAGGGUUUUUAUUGAAAGAAUUCUGAUAUUUCUUAGACUUUGUUUUGGAAGGGGGUGGAGGAAUUUCUCAUCCAUAUAUGGUUACUUGAUUAGCUUUUGACUGUAUUGUCUCUGUCGUGCAAAGGAAAAUCUAAAUACUAACGAUGGGGAAUUGCUUAGGCACCCAAAAGGCAGAAAUGAAUUACAGAAGGAAGUUUUUGCUGCUUUAUUUAGUGCUGCUGAGAAAUCUGAUGAAUUUCCUGAAAUUACGGUGAAGACCGAGUGGAGGUCCAAAGCAUUAGGAAAGGUGGUGAGUGAACUGCCGGAGGAAUUUGUACCAAAAUACAAGGCUAAUGUGGUGCACUUGCAGCAAGAUAACCAGACCGGUAUGUGCUCUUAUAUUAACUAUAUUGACUGGAUUUGUGAGUGUGUGCAUUUUUUUGUGUAUACUCACUUUUGUAUUUAUGCAUAUUAACAUGUGUAGGAUUCUUGAUUUCUGCCACUUACUGGAGAACUAGUGGAAAGCUUUAUAUUGAUAUAUCUGCAAUAACUAAUGGAAACUAUGAUAUGAAUAUUUUCUCUCACCUGGGGAGCUGUGUAACAGAUAUACUUUGUGGCUCUGGAAUGCUGAAGAUUCUGCAAUAACUAAUGGAAAAUAUGAUAUGAAUAUUUUGUCUCACCUGGAGAACUUUGUUACAGAUACCCUUUGUGGCUCUGGAAUGUCUAAAGAAUGCUUUAGUUAGAUCAAAUAUCUUUUAGUUAGAAAAGAUAAAAUUCUCUGAGUCUGAAAGACUGAAACAUUUUGCAUAUUUUGUGAAAGGGAAAUAUCUGUUGAUACUAGCUCAUGCAUUGAGGUAAUAUCGAUGUUAAAGAAAAACAGCAAUGAUUUAUGAUAUAGAAUUGGGUUCACUUGCUUCAAAUGCUGGUCUGAUCAACCAUAUCAACCUGUAAUGAUUCUGCAGAAAUAUAUAUACAUGGAGAAAGUAGCUAAAUUUUUCUUUCAUUUAUGGGUUCGGUCUUUUUUCCCCUUAUUUUUCAGCUUUCCUUCUCCUGAAGUAUGUUAACAAUUGCAGAUAAUGAUGAAGACGACAGCUUCCGGGCUCUCCUUAGAGCCGUGAUGGAAUAUAGGGGCACAAUGAAGGAAUAUUGUAAAGCUGUAGGUACUUUUUCUCCUUUCAUUUAUGUUUUCUCACACAUUUUGUAUAUGCCCUGAACAUGCACCUUUGUAUGUAUCAAUUGACUUUUAAAUUUUAAAAGCCAUAAAGUAAGAAUACGGUUCCUUGUCAGGCUACUGAUGACAUUCGCUCAGGGGGAUCAUGUUCGAGCAGGAAAAUUUCUAGAACAGGUAAGGUUUCCAUCUACAGCCAUCCAUUGACAGCAGAUACAUUUUCAUUCAGCAGACUCUGUUAGCAUUCAAGAUGCUGGCAGAUUCACUUGAUUCUUAUUAGCUUGUUUAGUGGCAAAGCCUAUAACCUGUAUUUCAAAGCCAAGUUGUGCUAUUGAUUAUGUUAACUUUUUUGUUAACAUAAAAUGAUAUGGAGGAAAUAAUCAGUGUUGGAAAAUUAGGUGAAAAGAUGAUGUCAAAUCUUGAACCUCUUACGAAACUCUAAGUUCUUUACUUGAAGAGGCUACGAAAUUUGAACAGCGUCUACUCGAAGGCCUUGCCAUUCCCUGAUGCAUGCAGAAUUUUUGUAUUUAAAUGCCCAGAGCUUAAGAAGCUGCCACUGGAUCUUGAAGGGGCAGACCAAGGUAAAAAUCUUAUCAAGGGAAAGGAAGAUUGGUGGAAACAACUUAAUGGGAGGAUCAAGUAACUCAGAAUGCAUUGCUUCCAUUUUUUAAAUUGACUGACAAGUGAUUGAACGGGGCAUCAUCAACAUCAUCAACAGGGAUGGAGAGAUACCGGAGCAGAUCAGCAGGGUUUGAAUAUGACCUUUGGCGGUUGCUUUUUUUUUGUGAUUUUUUUUUCAUUUUUUCCUUCCUGUCAUUUUAUCAUUUCUUUCUCUGUUUCUAUUGCGGGUGUUACUGCAUGCUUACUGUUGCUUGACAAAGUUUGCUAGCUUUUUGUUUGCAGUGUUGCUAUACACUCCGAGUCAAGCCUCGAAAAUUUAUUAAACGAAGCCGUUUCGACAGUAACAAUUCUUUUCUUUUCCCUUUGCAUGUCUCUUUCAUCUGCUGUUUCUCUAUCACUUUUCAUUUUUGAUUUCCUUGCUUCUCAGCUGCCCCUAAAUUGUUAUUCUAGCAAUAUACUUUCUCAUCUUUGAAUUUUCAUCCUUGAGUACUCCCACAGCCGUAAUUUCAUCAUCAUAGACUUCACUUGGAAUGCUGUAUUUUUUCGAUUCUUGAGCUACUUCAAUUACAUCUUAGUAUAGGAUCCUCAUCUUCCUUUAUUUCUUCAUCUUAUGAGGUAAUAAAUGGAUUUCACAACUCAUCUACUUUUAAGCAAUUACAUAUUAUACCUUGAAUGAUUCAACUGUUCUGACAGUUAAAGAUUUUAUGCUCAACCUGCAGUGCUACGAACAUUGUCCAUGAAAGAUGAGUUUCAGCAUAUAAAAUGAAAUAUAGAUGUUUAAUCUAAAAUAACCCUUCACUGCCAGAAACCUAGGUCACAAAAUUCACAGAUAAUGAUAAAGAGCUAAAAAAUUUGAAAAACUCUACAGAUCACACAUCAAGCAAGAUAUCAUGUUUUUUUCCCUCAUUCAGUGGUGAUUGAUUCGCUUUUUGAUGAUGGAUAUGGUAUAAAAGUGUUGACCCAAUUUCAAGCAAACACAAAUAGAAACACAAACACAAUCGGGACUAGAGUUGUGGGCGAUUAUCUUAGGUGUACAAGUGAAACGGUGGUGGCUGUCGAUGGUGGUAGUGGGGUGGUUGGGUAUGCGUGAUGGCUAGAUUUUAGGACAAUAAUGAUUGGAGUUGACCUCAAUCAACGAAGGAAAGUGACAACAAUUUUGACAUCAAACGGUGCAUUUUUUAGCUUAGUAAAAUGGAGCCGUUUCGAUUUUGGGGUUUAAUCCGGGGUUUGACUCGGUGCAAGUAUCAUUUUCCUUUUGUUUAUUAAAUUUUUUUAUGGUCACAAAGUAUCACUCGUUCUAUUUGAGAGUCAUGUGAAUCAAUUUUUCAAAUUUUCAAUUUUAAAUUUUGUGGUCAAUGUGAAUUCAAUUUCAUUUGUCUCCUGCAAUUAUGAAAAAAUUAAAUAGUCAUAAUAUGGAAAAAUACACCGGUAAAAACUUUGUAAAAGCUUCGGAGUGAUACGGGGAAUUCACUUACUACUAAGGACAAUUGGUGGCAAGCUAUUCCAUUCAUUUUAUGUCCAUCCAUCUAUUUAGUUAUUGAAGAUAAGUGGUCCAUUUGUAAAUUUCAGAUUGUCUCUCUCUCCCUCUUGAAAUAACAAUAUUUAAUAUAUCUCAUAAAUUAUUAUAAAUUUUAAUUUACUCUCGAUUUAAAAUGGAGCAUGUCGAUAAAUUUUUUUUCUUCUUAAUAAAAUUGACGUAAGUUGUGUUUACAGUAGUUUGAAGUUUGAAAUAUUUUAAAGAUUAUUAUUCUAUAAGGGAGUAAUAUGAAAUGAUAUUUACUUUUCAUGUGUGAAAUGAAAAAGGACGAAGCAAGUGUCCCUGCUUUUAUUUUAUUUCAAGGAGGAGUCAUCUCACAUACUUUAGCUCUUAACAUUACAUUUUUUCUGGUUACAUUUUUUAUUUAUUUAUUUUUUUUUUUUUACACAUGCGUGUGGGUUGCUUUUCUGUAAGCUCCUUAAUAUAUAUUUAAGACAAAUCAUGGAAGAGAUGGGAUUAUAUCAAGAUGAUCAAAGAAUGUUAAAAAAGAAAAAAGAAAAAAAAAAGAAGUAAGACACUGAAAAUGGAGAAGAGAUGGAAGCAAAAGAUAUUCCAAAACAAAGCAAUCUAUCCCCUUUCGAGGGCAGACUUAUCAGGUUUAAAAAAGUACACGCUUUGGAUUGGUAGUUGCAAUCAAGGGAAAAUAAAUAGGAUCCAAUGAAAUUUAAAUCUCGGAGAAAAUAAAUAAUCAUGCAGAUUUUCAAGAUUUUAAUAAGGGAUACUAAUAUCUUAUUUUGAUUAAUAAUAUCCUUUCAUUGUGUUAACUCAAAAAAUAUAUAUUUUAAUGUUUUGCAAUAAACAGAAACGUACUAUUAAAAUGAAUAUAUAAAGAAUUUAGAAAAUUUUGAAUGUUAUAUAAAAUAAUUUUAAGAUAAUGCGUGAGAUAUAUUUUAUUAAUUUAAAAUGUUAUUUUACCUAAAAAAUAUGAUAAAUUAAUAAUUACAUAUUUGAAGUUAUUUUAAAUAUUAAAAAAAUUUAAUAUUAUUAAUCUUUUAGAUAGAUUAAAUUAUUUUUUAUAAGAGAUAGAUUAAAUUAUUUUAAAAUACGUUAAUUGUUUUUACUUUUAACGUUACCGGCCUUUCUUUUAUUUUAUUGCAAAUUAAUGCUAACAAGAAAAAGCUAGAUCAUAUUCCACAAAAGCAAAAGUGACAAACACAACCAGCUGGAAUCUUUUAAUUACUAUUCAAUAAUUCGAGACGAUUAGGGUCUUUUAUUAAACUACAAAUUGUAUAGUCUUUUUAAAAUUGUUAUAAAUUGGUGGCACCUACAAUCCUCAAUAAUUGUACCGAUAUUCACAAGUUGGUGGCCCCUACAAUUCUGUUCGGAUAAUUUAACUGUGCAAGUGCUCAUUCACAAUAAUUGUUUUGUUUUUUUUUUCUGCAUUCCCUUUCAUGCUCUUAAUAAUUGAAGAGCAUACUUUUCAUUUUCAAAUGUGGAGCCGCAGCUAAUGUCGCUAAUUUAAUUUGGGAUUAAAUUAGGGGACCAUUAUAUUGCAGUGUGCACUAAUUUUUGUGUUUAUCUAAACUCCUUAAAUUUAAGACAUAUUAUGGCAUAAAUAAGAAUAUAACAAUAGCAAAAGAGUUAAAAAGUGUAGAGAAGAUCUUGCAGAAAUAUAAAUAAUAUCUAUUUUAAAAUAAUAUCAAUAUUUAAAAUAAUUUUUAAUAUUUUAUGAUUCAUUAGAUAUAUUUUAUUAUAUUAAAGUAAAUUUUAUAAUAAAUAAAAACAUACUAUUAAAAUGAAUAUAUAGAAAAUUUAGAGUAUUUUAAGUAUUAUAUAAAAUAAUUUUAAUAAAAUAUGUGAGAUAUUCAUAUUUUAUUAAUUUAAAAUACCAUUUAACCUAAAGAUUUAUUUAUGAUAAAUUAAUAAUUAUAUUUUUGAAGUUACUUCAAAUAUUAAAAAUAUUAAUAUUACUAAUCUAUUAGAUAGAUUAAAUUAUAUAUAUUAUUUUCUAUUUAUUAAAAAAUUUAAAAUUAUUUUUAAUUACUAUUCAAAAAAUAUAAUGAUAAAAAAGAAUCUUAACAUCUUUAUUAAAAAUUUAAAAAUUUACAUGAUCAAUUCUCUAAAUAUUUAGGGUUAUAUGUGAACAACGGUGGAGAAGCUUUAUUUAAUAUUAUUGAUUUAAAUAAUAUGUCAAUUAAAAAUGUACAGAGAAGGAAAUUUCGGUGGGUAUUUUAGUCUUUUCAGCAAUUAUCAUGAUCAGAUCAGCCUUUAGCCUUGAAUCGUCGGUCAGAAAAGUUUUAAAAUUAACGCUAACAAGAAAAAGCUAGGUCAUAUUCCACAAAAGCAAAACUGACAAAACAACCAGCUGGUUUCUUUUACUAAACUACAAAUUAAAAGUGGAUUCUUUUGAAUGCAAGUGGGACAGACGAUUAGGCUCUUUUUAUUAAAGGCAAGUAAAAACUAGUCGAAUAGUCUUUUUCAAAUUGUUGUUUUAUUAUUUUUCCUUCAAAAGUUAGUGUGGCUCAUGUUUGCAGGUGCGAAUGUGGGUCCCGAAUCAUUACUAAAAUUUCUAUUCCACAGCCCACCGCAGCUUCAGUUAAUCAAACUCAAAUCAAUUUUCUUUCUUAACAAAAUAUUCCAAAGAUGUGUAGCAUUUUUCAGAUCACAUGCGAUGGUGCUCUUUUCAAUCGUUGCUUGGAUUGCUUUCUUGGAAAAGCAGCAUACAUACGUAACCUCCAAGAUAAUGUUGAUACCUUGGGCACUGAAUUGGGAAAUCUGAUCGCUAGAAAGAACGAUCUGAUGAGGAGGGUUGUCGAUGCUGAACGGCAACAAAUGAGAAGGCUGGACGGAGUGCAAGUGUGGGUUUCGAGGGUGGAUUCUGUUAAAACUGAAGCUGAUCAAUUUAUAAGAGACGGCUCUCGAGAAAUUGAAAAAUUAUGUGUUGGAGGCUACUGUUCCAAGAAUUGCAUGUCAAGCUACAAGUUCGGGAAAAAAGUGGCUAAAAAGCUACGGGAUGUGCGGACUUUAAUCAGUGAAGGAGUUUUUGAGGUGGUGGCUGACAGAGCUCCAGAGUCUGUAGCAGAUGAAAGACCUACUGAGCGAACAGUAGUAGGCUUGCAAUCACAACUUGAACAAGUCUGGAGAUGUCUUGUAGAAGAAUCAGCGGGAAUCAUUGGCCUAUAUGGUAUGGGCGGUGUUGGUAAAACUACACUACUGACCCAUAUCAACAAUAAAUUUCUCGAGAGUCCAACCAACUUUGAUUGUGCGAUUUGGGUUGUAGUUUCAAAAGACCUGCGACUCGAAAAAAUUCAAGAAGAUAUUGGGAAAAAGAUAGGUUUGGUUGGUGAUUCAUGGAAGAGUAAAAGUGUAGAGGAGAAAGCUGUCGACAUCUUCCGGAGUUUAAGAGAGAAGAGAUUUGUAUUGUUGUUAGAUGAUAUAUGGGAGCGGGUUGAUUUAACAAAGGUGGGCAUUCCACUUCCCGGACCAAAAAAUACUACCUCAAAAGUCGUAUUCACAACCCGUUUCAUCGAUGUUUGUGGUAGCAUGGAAGUUGACAGGAAGUUUCAAGUAGCAUGCUUAUCAGAAAAGGAUGCUUGGGAACUGUUUCGAGAAAAAGUUGGGGAGGAAACUCUUCAGAGUCAUCAUGAUAUCGAUGAGCUAGCCCAAAUUGUGGUCAAAGAGUGUGGUGGUUUGCCACUCGCACUUAUUACUAUUGGUCGAGCUAUGGCCUACAGAAAGAAAGCGGAGCAGUGGAGACGUGCAAUUGAAGAGUUAAGGAGAUCAGCUUCAGAGUUUGCAGGUUUGGGAAAAGAGGUUUAUCCUCUUUUAAAAUUCAGCUAU